UGGCAAAUAAGUUGAAUCUCUGCCUUGAUUCCAAUUACAUCAAAUUGCAGACUAUUCCUUGUAUAUCAAUUGUGGAGGAGACAAAAUAACUUCAAAGAAAGGGAAGAAAUAUGAAAAAGACGAUGGAAUUGAGGGUGCAUCACAGUUCUCUAUUGAUAGUACAAACAAAUGGGCUUAUAGCAGUACAGGGGCUUUCAUAGGCAAAACGGAUCAUAGUUACCUAGCCAAAAACACAUCUGCUUUGAAGUCAGAGGAUGCAGAGAUCUACCAAACUGCUCGUCUUGCUCCCAUCUCACUCAAGUAUUAUGGGCUUUGCUUGCGAAAGGGCCCUUAUAAAGUGCGACUCCACUUUGCUGAAAUCAUGUUUUCUAAUAACCAGACAUUUGGUAGCCUUGGGAGGCGCUUGUUCGAUGUUUCAAUUCAAGUGAGUGAAAAAUAUCAAUUUCAUUAUCUCUAUUCCAAAUAUGUAAAGAACUGACUGUACUUUCUACAGGGAACUGUAGUUUUAAGGGAUUUUAAUAUCAUGGAAGAAGCUGAAGGUGCCGGUAAUGGCAUUUAUAGGGAUUUUGAUGCUUCUGUUAAUGGUAGCACUCUGGAGAUCCACUUAUACUGGACAGGCAAAGGGACUAAUUCCAUUCCGGAAAAAGGUGUAUAUGGACCUCUUAUAUCUGCUAUUGCAGUGACACCAAGUGAGCUUAUCUCAUAUUCCGGGUUUUACUACUUCUCUUGCCACUAGCUUGUCAUGGUGUUAUAUAUCUUACUGUUCUUGUAGAUUUUGAUCCCAACCCGGGGCUGUCUGUUGGAGGUAUUAUCGGCAUUGUGAUAGCUUCAUGUGUGGUCCUCGUAUUGAUUUUGGUACUCCUACGAAUGAAAGGCUACUUAGGAGGAAAAGACCUCGAAGAUAGAGGUGAGAUUAAUCAUGCAGGAAAUUUGAGACUGUAAUGCCUUACCUCUUUGAAAUUGUGACAAUACUUCGGAAAUAUUUGGAACUCUCUGUGCUUGUUUUUCACCAAUUUUAUUUCACUUGUUACAGAACUACGUGAGCUAGGAACUGGUUAUUUUAGUUUACGACAGAUCAAAGCUGCUACCAAUAACUUUGACUCUGCAAAUAAGAUUGGUGAAGGUGGAUUUGGCCCAGUUUACAAGGUAGUUGCAGAUUUGGAUUUUUCUUUAACAACUGUAUGCUAAAGUAGUUAUUAAGAGGGAAAUGCAAUACUUUUCUGCAGCUAUCUCAUAUCCUUACAUUAUCUGAGUUCUUGAUCUUAGGGUGUACUGCCAGAUGGUUCAGUAAUUGCUAUUAAGCAGCUCUCGUCUAAAUCGAAGCAAGGGAACCGAGAAUUUGUAAAUGAAAUAGGCAUGAUAUCUGCCUUACAACACCCAAAUCUUGUGAAGCUUUAUGGCUGUUGUAUUGAAGGGAACCAGUUGUCGCUCAUAUACGAAUAUUUGGAAAACAAUUGUCUUGCACGUGCACUUUUUGGUAAAUGCUUCACUAGAAUUUUGUAUUCCAUUUUAUUAUAUUUCAACAAUGAAUAUUAUGACUUAAGCCUCUCCCUCGACCACUUGUAGAUCGCAAUGAACAGCGGCUAAAUUUGGACUGGCCAACUAGGAAGAAGAUAUGCUUGGGGAUAGCAAGAGGAUUGGCAUAUCUUCAUGAGGAGUCAAGAUUGAAAAUUGUUCAUAGAGAUAUAAAGGCAACAAAUGUGCUGCUUGAUAAGAAUCUAAAUGCUAAGAUAUCUGACUUUGGCUUGGCUAAGCUGGAUGAAGACGAGAACACCCAUAUCAGCACACGGAUAGCUGGAACCAUGUGAGUGUUUUUGUUCAUUUCCUCCUUUUAUUAGCUUCCCUAUAUCAAAUUUGUAUAUGAUAUAAGAUUAUGACUUUGGCACUGAAAAUGUGGAGAUUAAUUUCUUCUAUGCAUUUGAAUCCAUGUCAGAUAAAUAAAAAAUUGAUACAAUGAGACGGAAGUGACCUUGAUCGAUAGAAAACUUAGUCAACCACUAAAGUAUGGAAUUUCCAACUAGCAGUUCUUUUUUCCAUUUUAGGUUUAAGAAGCUCAUUCACUUCAUUGUUUAUUCUGUAAAGUCGAUUAUUGAAACAGUUCUAGAAAAGUCUAUUAUUGAGAAUUUGUUGCUACAAAAUCUGAAGUAUCAGUGGCUUCCAGGCAUAAGUUGUCAUAUGAACCUCAAAAGGAAAUGGGGUGAUCUUCUUUUUGCGGUUUUAGAGAAGCAGAAUUUAGUAAUACUGUCGAGUUUCUGAAGUGGGUUUCAUGCAUAUUCAGAAAAUUUUUCCUCUCAAACAUGGUUGAUUAGUUCUUCUUGUCCUCUUUCUAACAAUAAGUUUUUGCAUAUAUUGAUUAUAUAUGUAUAGCACAAAACUCACCACUGAGUUGCUGAUUUUUCUUCAGAGGAUACAUGGCUCCUGAAUAUGCAAUGAGGGGUUACUUGACCGACAAAGCAGAUGUUUACAGCUUUGGAAUUGUUGCUUUAGAGAUUGUCAGCGGGAAAAGCAACACCAAUUACAGGCCAAAGGAAGAGUUUGUUUAUCUUCUUGAUUGGGUAAACAAUGGAUUCUUGCUCAUCCUUUUUGCUUUUUCUUUUCUUACCAUAUGUGCUUAUAAUGAAGAACGUGUUUCGGGUUCUACAUUGUUGGACUGCAGGCUUAUGUCCUGCACGAGCAGGGAAAUCUUCUGGAGCUGGUGGAUCCAAGUCUUGGUUCAAACUACUCAGAGGAGGAGGUGAUGAGGAUGCUGAACUUGGCCCUCUUAUGCACCAACCAAUCUCCCACUCUCAGGCCACCCAUGUCCUCUGUAGUGAGUAUGCUUGACGGCAAAAUUGCAGUCCAAGCACCAACAAUCAAGCAUGAUACUAUGAACCCGGAUAUGAGAUUCAAAGCCUUUGAGAAGCUCUCACUGGACAGCCAGUCUCAUGUCUCAGCAUUCUCUGUUGACAAUCAGGUCCAAGGCAGCAUAUCACUUGAUGGACCAUGGAUUGAUUCCUCAAUUUCCCUCCAUAGCAGAGAAGAAACAAGGGACUUUUCUUCAUCAAGCAAGCUUCUUACAGGACAUCAAGAUCUUUACAGUAUACAUUUGAACUGAUCAAUGAAAAUGAGGUAUACUAAUAAUACUUCCAAGUUGUUCUUGCUUGAAGUUUUCUGCAAGGAUGUUUUCUGAAAACUAUUUCAAAUUGAUUCUUGAAGUAGUAGAAGCAGAAAUAAGCUUAUUUUGUUGUAUAAUUACAAUAUUUGUAUAAAAUUAUGUGAAUAAGUGCUCCGGUUGAGGCUUGAUGAAGAAAAAUAUUUAUAUUUCUUUAUUUUUCCAACUUACUCCUAUGGUGGUAACUCAUCAUUCCACAGGGAGAAAUCAGUAUUUUUAUUUUAUUUUGUUCAACUUUAUUUCUGUCGUGUAUCCAAAAAAGUUGAUGAACGGAAGGAAAUAAAAGGUUUUACUCUAUUGGGCUUGAGCCCACUUGAAUUAUAAGACUAUACUAAAUCCAAAGUCCAUUUUCUAGGCUUCAGGCCCAACUGAAUUAACUGCGACCCCACCAAUUUGUCUUGGUAUGAUGUGGAAUGAGCAUCUCUACUCUAAUGGGGUUUGGGCCCCCUUGAAUUGUCACAUUGUUGAACCUAACUUAGACUCAGUCCAAUGCCAACUUGUUGAGCUUUUCGCCUACUUGAAUUGAGCGGGAGGCCCACCAAUUUUUAUUGAUUUGAGAUUCGAAGAAAUGAUGGUGACAACUAACAUGUGAGAAGAUGAUGUUUUCGUGGUAGAAAAUCAGAAAACUCCUUAGGGUUCUUAGACAAUCAAAGACAUCCAAAGGCACUUGGAAGUUUUUGGUCAGUAAAACAGUCAUAUAUCAAAAUUCCUUAGACAAACAAACCUUGAUGCCUGUCUUUCAAAUUUCCUUAGACAAACAAACCUUGAUGCCUGUCUUUUUACCAAUCCCCAUUUAUGUUCCUCUCAAUAUCUCUCCCNNNNNNNNNNNNNNNNNNNNNNNNNNNNNNNNNNNNNNNNNNNNNNNNNNNNNNNNNNNNNNNNNNNNNNNNNNNNNNNNNNNNNNNNNNNNNNNNNNNNCCCCCCCCCCCCCACCUUCAUACAGAUUACAUAAUUACAUUACUUCUAUCUAUGUGCCCAUACAAUCAAUUUAACCUUAGUCUAACUCUCCUUCCUUCAUGGUUCUCUAAACCUCACUUACAUUUAGUGUUUUAUUACUGUAAUUUCUUGUCCUUCAUGAUUUCUCAUGACAUUGCACUAAGAGCAUAUAGAAAACUCCCUGCCCUUCAAAAUUUUCCCUUCAAAAUUUUCCCCAUUUACUUUUCUUAGUAGUGCUUCUUGAUUUCAUACUUGUUUGCAGGGCAAAAGGAUUCUAACAUGGACCCAUCCUAGACCACUUUUCUGAAUUGAAACUAUUAUGAAUUCACUAUCUCUUGUUUUUAUUGUCCAACCCACUAACACCAUGAUAUUUUUUAAAUUAUAUAUCUAUAACCAUAAUAUCAAUUGCUUUUUAUCACACUUCAAAUUAUUUUAGGGAAAAUUCUAAGACGUAUGAUUAAAUCUCGAUCAAUGAAUGAAGGUAUAAAGAAAUAAGACAGCUACAAAGUAGCAAGAACUUUUUGGCCAUGUGGUUGUUCUUGAUUGGACAUCACUAGCACCAUAGCAAGAUCCUUAUCCUAGCUUUUGAGUUUAUGCAUGUUACUGAUAUAUGGAAAAACGUUUAUGCCAACACCCCACUGAGGAAGAAUGGGCCAUGUUUGUACCAACACCCAACUAAGGAACACCAAGCCUAAAGUUAGGUUUGAAAAAGCACUAUUUUUGGACCUUUUUUCUAAAGAAGAAUCUUCAAUGAUUGUACAGAGGCUGCUUGCUUAAAGAACAACAUCUUUAGGAACCAAAGGCUUUAUGAUUCGGAUGGCACUUUCAAAUCUAAACCCACACCUUGAACCAACUUGAUGAAAAUUUUUUUGGAAGAAAAUUAGGUAUUAUGCUUGAAUUUGCUCUUGAUUUCACUUUUAAUGGACUAAAAUCAAUGCUAUUCCUUGAAGACAUAGUCAAAAUUUUAUGUUGCUCUAGUGGCUCCUACAAUAAUUAAGAGAGGUACAGUAGAGAUUGAAGGGUUAUAGUAGUAGAGAAUUUUAGUGUGAUGAGGAGUUGAGUUCAAGUUUACCUUUAGGUAGUACCUAGGGUCCCUUAAGGUAGUACCUGAAGGCCACUAAGGUAGUACCUAAGGGCCCUUAAGGUAGUACUUAAGGUACAAUCCCAAAAAACCAUUGGUGGACUACUUCAACACUAAAGAGAACCACAUAAUGGGAUGCUCUAAGGGUCAUAAAGGAAAACCCGAGGCUUGGGAGAGGUUGAGUUCAAGUUUACCUUUAGGUAGUACCUGAAGGCCACUAAGGUAGUACCUAAGGGCCCUUAAGGUAAUACCUAAGGUACAGUCCCAAAAAACCAUUGGUGGACCACUUCAACACUUAAGAGAACCAUAUAAUAGGAUGCUCUAAAGGUCACAAAGGAAGACUCGAGGCUUGGGAGAGGUUGAGUUCAAGUUUACCUUAAGGUAGUACCUAGGGUCCCUUAAGGUAGUACCUAAAGCCCAUUAAGGUAGUACCUAAGGGCCCUUAAGGUAGUACCUAAGGUACAGUAGACCACUUGAGCACUCAAGAAAACCACAUAAUGGGAUGCUCUAAUGGUCACAAAGGAAGACUUGACUCUUAGGAGAGGUUGAGUUCAUGUUUAGCUAAGGUAGUACCUAGGGGUCUCAGUUCCUAUUUUGAGGCCCAAAAUCACAUAAUCAAAGAAAUAGAUAUACAGUCAAACUCUAAACCACUAAACAAAAGUAAAAAAGUGAAAUAGUAAUAAUAAUACAUAACACUUACAAAUGAGUUAAGAAUUCACCUCAUAAACAAAAGUAGCAAAAUUUUAGGCCAUGAGAGAUUAAAAAAGGUUAGUGAAUUCUAUAUUAUAGUAUUAACAGUGUGUGCAGAAUGGUCAUCUUUAAUAACCCAUUUAGGAGUGGGGGAAAGUGUAACCAACCAUAACAAAAACAUCCAUGGCACGGGACUUGAGUUUUGGGUUCUUCUCCAAAGAAAUCAUUUACUAUUUUAAGAAUGACAACAGUUUCUGACCUAAUGAGCUCUAUAUACUCACCAAACUCAUAGCAAAGCUGGAGGGAAUAAAUGGUAAACAUUAUAAACAAAUUUCACGAACUAAACUCAGUAAGAGCAUUCAACUUUAAACAUGUGUAGUAACUGAUACCAUAACUAUAUGCCCAAACAAAAUAAAUAAAGAGUAACAUACAAAGCCAAAAACUAAGAUGAUACGUAAUUAUUUACACUGUUAACAAAAAGCAAUUAAAUUAUACUAUAUAAAUUGGUAUAACCAUUGAGGUUUAUAAAGAUCUGUAUCUUAUCUUCAUUAAUCAGUUUGGCAAUCAUAUUAGAUGACAUAGCAAAAACAUCUAAAUGUGCUUAGCUUCUGACUGAAUACGAUGUCUCUAUUCAGUUCAAUCAUUUAGACUAACUACAUAACAGAACACCUAUCACACAAAAAUGACAGGAAAAAAGAAGUUUUUACAUUCUAAUGCAUAUGGCAGUGAGAUCAGGUUCUUAGAUUGGGAAUGUCGAAUUGUUCACUAGCAACAAACCUUAACAUUUUCUUUCUGGUGCAUACCAAAUACAGAGGCCAUGAGGUAUGAUAGGGAGUGAUUACUAAAGUCAUUGCUUAAAUUCCUACAAAAGUAGAAAAACGAUUAUAAGAUACAGAAACAAUGAAAUGAAAGAAUUCACAUGAUACAACACAACUUUACUUCCUACGGAAGCAUCAAGUAAGAUGUCUUUUGCUUUAUUCGCUCAUCUUCUGGAAGCAGAAAAGGACUGGGAUGUUAUCCAUCACACUCCUCCAUUUUGGAAAUGUUUUUGUGAAUUAUUUGGAUUUUAAAUUUAGAACCGCAGAGGUUUAGGCUUUGAACAUUGAGAGAGGUAACAGAGAAAGGGGGAAGCGUUGGAUUUAGAGGUGGCAAUAGAAAAUGCGGCGACAACAGUGAGGAAGAGGUGCUGCCCAUGGUGGGCGUGACAAUGAGCGGGAGAUAGAUGAUUUGAGGGGAAUGCUUGAGUUUCAUGCUUGAGUUUCUUUCGUUGAAUCAACCGUAACAGGUUCAAGUUAGGGCAAAAUGAGAGGAAGACAAAAAUCUUGUUUUAGAAAUAGGAAAAUUUCAAAUAACACUCUGUUCAAAUGAUGAAGAAGUCGAUGAAAGAGAGAAAUGUUGAUUGGGAAAUUUCAGACUGCAAAAAUGCAUGGAUGCUGAUGUGGAGAUUGGGUAAUGGUAAACUGGGUAUAAAAAUACCACUCAGCACAGAGUGCAUAAAAAUCAUAUAUUUUUUCAUAUUAAUGGGGGAAUAUUGGAUUUCCAAUUUUUAGGUUCAGAAAAAGCUAUUAUGUCCAAAUGGGCGGGCCAAAACACAACUUUCCCUUGUUAUUUUCCACAUUGUGACAUGACGUGAGUCCUUCCCCUUGGUCCUUUUGGACGCUCCUUGUAUUCAGUGGCAAAUUAGUACGGUUGACUAGUCCACAACCUUUGUUCAUCGUAUCUAGUUUGUUUCCAAAGAUUGAACGACAAAAUUCUCCUUUGUUUUAUUUAUAGCUAAAUAUAAAAAUAAUAAUAAAAAAUCAUUAAUAUUUACUAAGUAUUCAUUCAAUAAAAAAUAAUGGUGAUGAUAAAAGUGGGAGUCCAAUUAGAAUAUUUAAAUAGAGAAAUUUUCAAAUAUCCACACAUUUUAGUAUUAGACAAUUCAUUACAAUAUACUUUCUUUUUAUUUAAUAAUAUAUUUUCUUUCUAUUUUUAAAUUCAUCUAAUUAGUUGUAAUUUCCAAUUUUUGUGUUUUAGGCUAAUUGUAGGAUUGUUUUCUAUUUUUGUGUUUUGGGUAGACUGUUUCCUAUUUUUGUGUUUUAGGUUUGUGUAUAUAUAUUCAUUUUUAAUCAAUGAAAAAGUCAAACCAUUGUUUCUCAAUAAUCAUCUCUCUACUUUAACAUGGUAUCCAGGGCUUAAUCUUCUUGGGCGUAUUUUUUUUUUCCCUUCUCCUCAAUGGCUUUUGGUGCAUCAUUCUCUUCCACCAAUGAUCCUAUCACCAUCCAAAACUCCUAAGAUCGUCAACAUUCCCUUUUUACAAUCAAUCUUUCCAAUAUCACCAAAUUGUCAUCCACCAAUUAUCUCACAUGAAGCCUUCAAAUCCAAUAUUUUUUUGAAGGUUAUGAUCUUCAUCACUUCAUUGAUGGCGCUCAUACUCCACCACCACCCACCGUCACCGUCACUAGUGUUGCAUCCCCAAAUCCGACAUACACAACCUAGAAACGUCAGGAUCGUCUCAUCUCUAGCGCUCUCCUUGGUGUUAUUUCCAUUUCACUACAACUGCUUAUUGUUUGCACCACCACUUCCCUUGAUGCAUGACAACCUUAGCCAAUACCUAUGUCAAACCAUCUCGUGGUCAUAUUAAACAAUUGAAGGAACAAUUAUAGCGGUGUACCAAGGGCUCUCUAACUUAUUGGACUUACGCCUUUGUCACUACUGUAUAUCCCAUCAACUGUAUGCCCACACCCACACUACAUCUCUCAUUUCCUUUUGACAAACUCUUUGAGUCUCCACCCAACUACACUAAACUUCGGGUGUUCAGUUGCUUAUGUUAUUCAUGGUUUCGUCCUUAUUCUCAAUAUAAACUUGACUCUUGUUCUACUCUUUGUGUUUUUCUUGGUUACUCUUCAAUACAAAGUGCCUAUAUUGUCUAUCUUGAUCGUCACCCAAUUUCCUCAGCAGAUCAACUUGCCGACGCUCUUACUAAACCGCUUCCAAGAAGUCACUUCCAAGAAUUAUAGGUCAAGAUUGGUGUCUCCUCUAGAGCUCUUAAUAUUUUAUAUUUCUAAAAGUUACUAUAAUAAAUUUUAAUUAAAAGAAUUUAUUUGAAGUGAUCAUAAAUAGAAAUCUAAAAAAUUUAGAUGUUUAAUUAAUUUUAAAAAUGUUUGAAAAUAAUUUAUCAACAAACUACCCUUAAAAGUUAAAACUCUCAAAUUUAAUUUAAAUUAUUGUAUUUAAAACAGUAUAAUUAUAAUUUACAAAAGCUUUGUAUAUUUAAACUAAUAAAUUCAACUAUUUAUGUAAAUUUAUAAAAAAAGAAAAAGAAAAAGUAAUGAUACAUUAAUUUUUAAUAUUUUAAGUUUAUAAAGUUAUUGUCUUAGAUUUAUAACUAAAAAUGUGUUAUAAAACAAAGUAAGAGAAAAAGAAAGCAAGAAAGAAAGAAUAAAAUGCAUGAAAAAACUCUCUUGAAUUUUGAUAGGGGUCUCUCCUUUUUAUAAAGAGUUAUAAAAGAUAUUUAUGGAUGAUCUUCUACAAGUUACCAUAGUGGUACAGAAUCUCAUAUUUUAUAACACUCCCCCUUGGAUGAUCAUAAGAGUAUGCCCCAUUAAAAUCUUACUAAGAAAAACCCUAUGGGAAAAAACCUUAGUGAAGGAAAAAGAGUACAAUAUUCUUUUGGAUUACUACAACUACCUUGUUAAAAACCUUGUUAGUAAAACCCUAUGGGAUAAAACCUGGAUGAAGGAAAAAAGAGUGCAACGUAAUGACAUUCUUAUCAAUUAGCUCCCCCUCAUGUAGACAUGAUUAUAUUUUCUCUAAUAGCACAACAUAGAGAUCUUUGUAUAGACGUAUUCCAAUGAACUUCUUAAGUAUUGCAGUUGACAAUACCUUUGUGAAUAGAUCUACUAAAUUGUCACUUGAUCUUAUUCGUUGAAUAGUAAUUUUAUCACUCUUCUAGAGUUAAUGAAAGUAAAAGACUUAGGCAAUAUAUGCUUAAUUCUAUCACCCUCAAUGUAUCAUUCUUUAAUCUGUGCAGUGCAUGCAACAUUAUCUUCAAAUAAUAUUGUCGGGUCACCUUUGAUAGAGGAGAGUCCACAUGAUUCCCGAAUAUGCUGGAUCAUAGAUCUUAGCUAUAUACAUUCAUGAAUUGCUAGUAUUUCUAAAGGAUUUGAUGAUGUGACCACCAUUGUUUGUUUGACAGAUCUCCAUGAAACAAUAGUACCAUUGCAAUUAAACACGUACCCUGUUUGUGACUUACCUUUAUGUGAAUCUAAAAGAUAUCUUGCAUUUGCAUAUCUAAGCAAUUGUUGUUUUGAUUCCCUUGAGUAAAAUAAACCCAUAUUAGUAGUUCUGCGAAGAUAACGCAAUAUAUGUUUGAUACCAUUUCAAUGUCUUCGAGUUUGAGUGGAACCAUAUUUUGCUAAUAAAUUAACAGAAAAAGAAAUGUCUGAAUGUGUACAAUUGGCAAGAUACAUAAGUGUACCAAUAGCACUAAGAUAUGGUACUUUAGGACCAAGUAAUUCUUCAUCUUUUUCUCAAGGAUAAAACUAGUCUUUUUUCACAUCAAGUGAUCUAACAACCAUUAGAAAACUUAAAGGAUGCACUUUAUCCAUAUAAAAAUGUUUCAAAACUUUAUUAAUGUAUGUUGAUUGAUGUACUAAAACUCCAUUUGGAAAAUACUCGAUCUACAAACCGAGAUAAAAUUUUGUUUUUCCAAGAUAUUUCAUUUCAAAUUCCCACUUUCAAGUAAUUUGUUGUUCUUGUGAGCUCUUCAGGAGUUCCAACAAGAUUUAAGUCAUCAACAUAUACUGUAAUAAUUGCAAAUCCGGUUUCUGAUUUCUUAAUGAAGAUGCAUGGGCAUAUAGAGUUAUUCAUAUACCAUUUUUUUAGCAAGUAUUCGCUAAGGCGAUCGUAUCACAUGUGUCCAAAUUGUUUUAUUCCAUACAAUGAUCAUUUUAACUUGAUUGAGUACAUGUUACGAGGCUUUGUACAAUUUGCUUCAUGUAAUUUAAAUCUUUCAAGGAUUUUCAUGUAUAUAUCAUUAUCCAUGGAUCCGUAUAAAUAUGUUGUAAUAACAUCCAUGAGAUACAUAUCUAGUCUUUCUGGGACUGUCAAACUAAUUAAGAAACGAAAUGUGAUUGUGUCCAUGAUGGGAAAGAAUGUUUCCUCGCAGUUAAUCUCAGGUAUUUGCAAGAAAUCUUGUGCUACUAAUCGCACUUUAUAUCUUAUGAUCUUAUUAUUCUCAUUGUGUUUUCGUACAAUUACCCAUUUGUACCCAAUAAACUUUACAUCUUCAAGUGUUUGGACUACAAGUCUAAAAACUUCUCGUUUUAUUAAUGAGUUUAACUCUGCUUACAUAGCUUUUUUCCAUUUUGACUAAUCAUUUCUAUGUCAGCAUUCUUCCACAUUUCAUGGUUUGGGAUCUUCAUCAUUUCUUAUUAUAUUGGAAGCCACUUGGAAAGCGAAAAUAUUGUUAAUAACAAUAUUAUUUCGAUUCCAUUUUUCUCCUAUGUGCAUAACUUACUGAGAUCUCACAAUUUUCAUGUAUAUGUGCCUCUUCGAGGGCUUCUCGUUCAAUAUGUGCCUCUUCAAGGGCUUUUUGCAUUAUUUGUGCCUCUUCUGAUGUUAUAGAUUAUCAAUUUUAAACUGAUCAAUCAUUUUGAUGGUCUAUAUUAGAGUGUCAAGUUUUUCUUGGGUUCUCCUCUUUCGGGGAGUUAUAUCCUUUGAGCUGACAAGUCUAUCACGUAUUAGGCGUAUCUGAGAUUCAUUUGUUAAUUGUCCUAUAGGGACAUCAAUUCGUGUUGGAGUAUUUGCAACCAGGAUAUAUGACUUUGUCACUUUCUUUGUAUCAAUGAAUACAUCUGGUAAUUGAUUUGCAAGAUUUUGCAAAUAAAUAAUUUUUUAAACUUCCAAUUCACAUUGAUUGGUACGAGGAUCAAGAUAAGUCAAAGUCAAUGCAUUCCAAUAAUUUCUCGCCGUUCUUUUGGAGCUGGAUCUUCUUCUUGUAACAACGAGAAAAUUGUCUCAUUAAAAUGAUAAUAUGCACAACAUGUCAUUCUACCUUUUAAGUGUAUAGGUAGACUAGUCACUAAAUAAAAACUUUUGAUUUUAUAAUGUACAUCCAUACGACCUUUUAUCGUACGAGACCAAGUUGGUUUUACAAGAUUCUUGUGGAUCUAGCAUCGUAUAAAGUGUCAUUCACAUGGAAUCAAAUACUACUAGUGACAUAGUAUAAACUCUUUUGGAGCCUUUAAUCAGGUUUCUAUCACCUGAUAUAGUAUUGUUUGUCAUCAAUGUUGUGCAAUUAAUGAGACAAGUGUUUCAUCAAAGUAACAAGUCAUAAAACAUUGUCAUAAAUACCUCGUUUUUAUAGAGUUGAAGAAAUAUUAUCAUAGAGAAAGAGUUAAAAUCAAUGCAAAAAUAUUAGUCAUUGAUGAUGACUUAAUAAGUUGUAUAAAAGUAAUGAGAGCAUAUAUAACAUAAUAAAAUAUUCAAAUUUGUACAUAACUUUAAACUAUGAACUAUUUAUGUAUAACUUCUAGUUACACAAUAUAAUUAAAAAAAAUUAAAGAAAUUAAAAGUUAAUAACUUUCAUAGUUUUAGGCCAUGAUUAUUUUGUCAGAACAAAAAAAUAUUUAAAUUUGUAUAUAGUUUCAGGCUUUGAACUGUUUUUAUAUAAAUUUGUGCAUAACUUCAAAUUAUGAACUAUUCAUUUUACAACUUCCGACUAUAUAAUAUUAUUUGAUAUAACUUUCAGUUAUACCGUAUAAUUAAAAAUAAAUAAUUAAGGAUCAUAUACAUAACUUCUGGUCUUAUAUUUGUAAUUUUGUAAUUUUCCCCAUAACUUUUGAUUAUAAGGAUUACACAUAUUUUUCAUAACUUCUGGUUAUGAAUUUACCCUGUAAUUUAUAAUUUAUCCAAUAACUUCUAAUUAUAUGGAUUGUGCAUAUUUUUGUAUUCAAAUAAAAUUAGUGAAAAUAGAGAGUCAAUGGGUAAUAAAGUAGAAAAUAAUGAUAUAAAUUUAUCACAUACUUUUUUAUGAAAAAGAAGAAGGAAGAGUCUCUGUAUUUCUCUGAAGAGAAGAAAAUCUUUUUAUUUCUUUUGUUAUAAAAAAAGAAGAAGAAAACAAGAAAGAGAGAAUAAAAUGCAUGAAAAAACUUUUUUGAAUUUCAUUAGGGAUCUCUCUAUUUUAUAGGGAGUUACAAAAUAUAUUUAUGGAUAAUCAUCUAUAAGUUACCAUACUGGUACAGAAUCUCAUAUUUUAUAACAAAAUGUUAAUGAUCGAUAUUUUAAGUUUUUAAAGUUACCAUCAUAAAUUUUUAACUAAAAGUCUAGAUUAUCAUAAAAUAAGUAUAUAAAUUUUUAUAAAAAAUUAAAGAAAAAUCUUAUAUUAUUAUAAUAUAUUACUAUCUAUUAUAUAUUAAUAUAAUAUUAUAGGAUAAUAUAUUAUUAUAUUUAUUUAUAAAUAUUAUUCUAAUUUCCAAAAUUACCCUUAAAGUCUCCCAACCGGAUUUUUUUUUUCUCUUGGGGGUUUUGCAUGGAUUUUCUCGGAAAUCAAAUAAGGAUGAAUUUUCUCGGAAAACGAAUGGGGUGGGGGUUCAAUUUUUUUUUGUUUUCCUUGGGGGUUUUGCAUGAAUUUUCUCGGAAAUCAAACGAGGAUGAAUUUUCCCGGAAAACGAACAAGGAGGGGGUGGGGGCGAGGGGCAGCGCGACAGAUCCAGAAAACACAGGGAGCAAAAGAAAAAGCAAUUUUUUUUGUUUUCCUUGGGGGGUUUUUGCAUAGAUUUUCUUGGAAAUCAAACGAGGGUGAAUUUUCCCGGAAAAUGAAUGCGGGGAAGGGAGAUCCAAAAAACACGGGAGCAAAAAAUAAAAAAGCAAUUUUUUUGGUUUUCCUUGGGGGUUUUUGCAUGGAUUUUCUCAUAAAUCAAACGAUGGUGAAUUUUCCCGGAAAACUAAUGCGAGGAGAUCCAGAAAACAUGGGAGCAAAAAAAAAAAGCAAUUUUUUUGGUUUGCAUGGUUCCACAGAAAACGAAUGUGUGGGGAAGGGGGGCGACGACAAUAGAUCCAGAAAACAUGGGAGCAAAAAAAAAAAAAAGCAAUUUUUUUGGUUUGCAUAGUUCCCGGAAAACGAAUGGGGCAGUGAUGGAUACUGAAAACUCAGGGAGAAAAAAAAAGUAAAAAAAAAAAAACAUAUAAUAUUUCAUAAAUUUAAAAAAUAAAGGGUAAUUAUGAAAAUUAAAAUAUAAACAGUAAAUAAUGCAUGAAACCUAUAAUAUUUUUCUUAUUAUUAGUCAAAACCCAUAUUUGAGUUAUAUGGUUUCCAAAACCAUAUAUUUCUCGUAUGGAAACCUAUAAACAUAACUCCUUUUUUUUUUUGUUCGCCUCUUAGCCAGCCACCCUCUCGAAGUAUUUGUGCAGCAACGUGUCCUACCCUCGCAGCCUUACCUCUCUCUUUCCUCUAAUAGCCAUCUGUCAGGGCCCAUGCAUAGAUAUGGUUGAUUGGAUAGAAUAUGCUGUCUCCAAUCCAAGUGGUCCAAAAAAAAAAAAAAGUGAAAAAGGGGUUUAUAAAAAUAUGGUUGAUUUAUCUAUUUAUAAGUAUUAUUUAUUAAUUAAUAUUAUAUUUCAAUUUUUUUAUUUUAUAUAUUAUUUUAAUUAAUUUUAAGUUAUUUAAAAUAAAUAACUUACAAUUAUAUUAUUGUUUUUUAAUAAUGAAUAUAUAUAUAACUCUUAAAAUUAAUUUAAAUUAUUUCAUUAGUAAAAAAAUUAAUUCAUUCAUUGUCUUUAAAAAGAAUUUUUUUUUUUAGAUUUUAGUUAGAAGACUUGUAAAUUUUAUUUUUUUUAAAUUAAUAAUAAUAAAUAAUAUUAAAUUUCAAAAUUCUUAUUAAAAAAGUCAAAUGAUUAAAAGAUAUGUAUGGACCCCACAUUUCGGCUCAUGGGUUUCCCACUCGAUGGCGAUCUCGAUUUUUAUUUUGAAAAAUGAUUUUAUUUAUUAGAAAAUGACUUGGAGUCACCACUUAUUUUUGUUUUUAUUUUUAAAGGGUAAACAAAAUAAGAAAGAAAACCCUAAGUGUGACUCCUUACUUCGGAAAAGGUGGUCUGUGAAAAACCGGAUCGGGUUCGGGGGUCAGGUUACUUAUCGAGAAGCUACAGUAAAGACCGUAGCACCCUUCUAAGUCCCUAAAACGGGUCUCUACUAAUAAAAUGAAGCAAUCAUGACAAUUGAUUAAUCGAGCAUGGAUACCAAAUGAAUAUCACCCGAAACAAAAUAACUGAAUGAAUAGGAGAGACAAAGAAUGUACCUGAGUGAUGAUCUGACUUAUUUCAUGGAAAACAAAUGUUAGCAAUUAAACACAGAAUAAUCUUGUGUGUAUUAUAGAGUGGAAUAAAUCAAUCGCGCGUGACAAACAAAUCAAUAAAUAAAUCAAUCAAUCAUAAAAUCACGUAUGUGGGGCUCCCACCAAAGGCCGAUCUAUCUUGCACGAAUUAAUCCCACAAAUUCCAUUAAUCUGGAAUUAUGAAAAUUACAUUCAUGCUUAUGUAAAGUCGAGAGGAACAACAGAUUAUUUGAAAACUAAAGUGGAAUUAAAACAACUCGAGUGAAAACUGGAUUUUUAAAGUUUAUUUGAAAAUUGAAGUCCCGAAGAUUAUUUGAUAAUUGGAGUCUUAGGAAUUAAAUUUAAGAAUUGAAAUUUUAGAAAUAAAAUUUGAAAAUCGAAAAUUUUGAAGAAUUGUUUAACGGUGGAAUUUUAAAAUGAAUAAAUAAAAUAAUGAUGAUUAAAUAAAUUGAUGUGAAAAUUAAAAUUUUGAAACCUGAAAUUUAAAAUUAGAAAUCGGAAUUUUGAAGAGUUAUUUAAAGAUUGAAUUUUAAAAAUAAACAAAUGAACAAAAUGAUAAUGAUUAGAUGAAUUGGUAUGAAAAUUGGAAUCUCAUAAAUUGGGGUUUAAAUUUAGAAAUUGGAAUUUUGAAAAAAAUGUUUAAAAAUAGAAUUUUAAAAUAAAUAAAUAAAUAGAAUGAUAAUAAUAAAGAGAAUGAUGAUUAAAUGAAUAAGUGUGAAUAUUUGAAUUUUUGAAAUUGAAAAUUAAAUGUGGAAAUCGGAAAAUUUGAAUUGUCAACAGAUGAAAUUUUAAAGUGAAUAGUAGAAUUUUUUAAAUUAGAAAUUAAAUUUGGGAAUUAGAAUUUUUAAAGGAUUGUUAAUAAGUAAUUCAUUUUCUAAUAAAUAAAAUCAUUUUUCAAAAUAAAAAUCGAGCUUGCCAUCGAGUGGGAAACGCAUGAGCCGAAAUGCGGGGUCUAUAAUAUGAUAUAAAUCAUUAUUAAUUAUUAAAAAUUAAUAACUUAAAAUUAAUUUUUAAAUAUUAAAUUAUUAAUAUUUAAAAAUUUUAUCAUUAGAAUUAUCAUAAUAAAUUUGAAUUUCGUAAUAGUAAUAAAUGAAAGACUAAAAGUAAAAUAAGUAUAAAUAAAAAAUUUAAGGCUUUGCCAAACAUAAUGAAAAAAAAAGUUAAUUACUCUUAAAAAUAUUUUUUCAAACAUUAAAUGAUAUUUUUCAAAUUUCUUAGAAUUAUUAUAAUAAUUUUAAGUUAGAAAAUUUUAUUUGAAUUAAAUUUUCGGUCAUUAUGAAAAAUAAGAAAAAAAUAAAUUUACAUGUGAGUUUCAAUUUUUAUCCGACAUAAAAAAAUUAAAUAUAUAUUUUUAAAUAUUAAAUUAUUGAUAUUUUAUGAAUUUAAUAUCUGGAGUGAUAGUGAAUGAGAAAAAUAUAAAAAAAUAGGAUUAUAAAAUUAUAAAAUAAAUAAAUCAACAUCAUAUCAUUGACCCACAUGCACCAUUAGUUUCAUAAAGUAACUAAAGCUACUUUAAAAUUUCAUUUUUGUUACGUGUCUGAUUUUCCAUGCCAUAAAUUUCCUGGGAAUUCAUCCUUAAACUCAUUUGAAUUUAUAAAAAAUAAUUUAAUGAAAAAGGAAAAAGAAAGGAAAAGUAAUGCGCAUGAACGUACCUUCGUGUUGUUGAACAUGCAAAGCUUCUCCUCUUUAAAAACCUCCCUUAAACCCCUCGCUCCAACUCAUUCAAUUCAGAGUAAAGCGAACCAGCCAUUGCUACAGAGCGAAUCCAUGGAUUCUUCGUCUCUUCUCCUCUUGUUGUUGCUGGGUUUCUUUUGUUUUUCUGAGUUCACAUCCCAUGAUCAACUUAUUCCAAAAGAUGAAGGUAUCACCACUGUAAUCUCACUUGUUCUUUCCAUUUCUGGGGAAAAUGAAACUUGGGUUUUGUUGUUAAAGAAAUUUGGGGAGAAAGAGAAGUAAAUUUGGUUUCGGAACGUGGGUUUUUUCGAGGUAUCUGUGCUUUGUUUAAUACUUCACUGCUAUAAUUUUUUGGAAUCUUGUGGAUUUCUCAUGGUUUGCGAGAAUUUUGACAUCUCUGUUUGUCUCACAGUUGUUUAAAUUUUAUCAUGCUCUGGGAAUUCUUAUGGAAACAGAAAAGCAGGCAUAUCAAAUUAUGUUUUAUUUUCUUUUUCAAAUUUUCCUCUGCUUUCUCUGCUACCAAACGUUGGCUUAUAUCAUUCUGCUGGAAAAUUGUUCGUGCCUCUGAGCCAUAGCGAAUUUUUGAUCUGAAACGAUAGGCUAUAUUUGGUUACCGGGAAAUAAGAAAUUUUAAAAUAUAUAAAAUUUUAAUUAAUUUAAUUAUUUUUAUUUUCUUUCAUAUUUAUACACUUGAAAACAAAUGUGAGAAAAAAGAUUUGAUAUUAAUUACUUUGAAUAGCUUUUGGAUAGAGUCCAGAGUUAUCAAUCCAUCAGUGGACAAAGAAAAAUAUUUAUAUUUGUAUUUAUUACCAUGGUGGCAAAUUCCAUUUUAUUAAGGAAAAUACAUAUGUUUAUUUUAGUAUUUCGACUUUAUUUACAUUGAAUUAUUACCUAUAUUGUCAGUGUUAAAGUAUAUUGUAUUGUGGGCUCUAGGCCCAGUUAGGUUACUUGUAUAGUACUUGUACUAUACACUUGUACUACACCUUUGUACUGCACCCUUGUACUACAUAUACAUGCCUCCUAUAUAAAGGCACUGAUGUAUACUCUUUUAAUCACAGAAUAGAAUACAAUUAUUCUAUAUUUCUAACAUGGUAUCAGAGCCACUGCUCUGACCUUUGUUUUUUUUUUUUUUUCUUAGCAGUCUUGUCUUCAUUAGUGUGACUUCUUUUCACUAAGCGCUUCCGCCAUCACAACUGCCGCUGUAGCCUCUUGUCGUUGAACCUCCGACGUCAUCCAGCCGUCAUCCCUGGGUUCCGGACCUGCAACCGCAGUCAUUAAGAAGUCUCACACUGCACAGACCACUGCCCUUUGCAUCACCGCUGCGAAUAUUGCUCCGAUUUCACUUUCGAAGGUACCACUGAGAUCGUCCAGCGCCGAUCUACACAUUCGUGGAUAUCUCAUCGCCAUCGGAGACCGCACGCGCCCCCACGCGCCGCUCAAAGAUUCUGCGGCGCCUCCACACGCCUCCACGUGCCUCCACGCGCUGCCACGUCAGCCCUAGCUCGUCAGGCCUCCACGCGCUGCCACGUCAGCCCUAGCUGCGUCAGCAUCCACUGAUCUGUUGACGUCAUCUCCAGUCGUUGACCGUUGACCGUUGACCAGACGUUGACCGUUGACCAGCUGUUGACCGAGCGUUGACUUUGACCGUUGACCGGACGCUGACCGUUGAGCAGCUGUUUCACGAGCGUUGACUUUGACCGUUGACCAUCCCGUUGACUUUUUCCCGGGCCAGGUUCUCCUUACUCAGUUUUUCGCAUAGAUUUCAUUUCUGCAGUCGGUUUUUUUGCCUACUGUGUCCCUAAAUGGAUAAGAAGGAUGUUUUUCUUCCUCGCCCCAUCCAUACUGUAUUGGAGGGGACUAAAAAUUACUUAUCCUGGUCUCAAGCUAUGCGCAGUUUUCUUAAGAGCCGCAUGCUCUGGCAUUAUUGUACUGGUGCAAUGACUAUUCCUGUCAAAGGAGCAAGUGAAGAAGAUGCUGUCUUUCUUAGUCGCAUGAUUGAAUGGGAUAGUCAUAACCACAUGAUUCUCACAUGGAUCCGGAACACUUCCAUUCCCUCUAUUUCCAACCUAUUGGGCAGCUUUGACGAUGCAAAAUCUGCAUGGGAUAUGUUGACCAAAAGGUACUCCACUACUCAUGGAUCCAUGAAAUAUCAGUUAGUGGUUGAAUUGCAUCAACUCAGGCAAGAACCGGGGCAAUCCAUCAAUGACUAUUAUGAUCAGCUUCGGUUCAUUUGGGACCAAAUUGACCUUUCUGAUCCAAUUUGGGAAUGCUCAAAAGAUGCUCAACAAUAUGCUUCCAUUAGAGAUGAAUUUCGCCUCUAUGAAUUCUUGAUGUCACUUCACAAGGACUUUGAGCCCAUUCGUGGUCAGCUACUAAAUCGCAGUCCUGCUCCCUCUCUUGAUACUGCUGUGAAUGAGUUGGUUAGAGAAGAAGCUCGUCUUGCAACCCUUCAAGCCCAGAAUAAGCUCAAUAUUUUGGCCAUUACUCCAUCUACUCCACUCAUAGAGCAACCUCAGCAAUUAGGUGAUUUUUCUGGCUCUAACAAUCGUCGCAAGCAAAACAACAAGAAGUUCUGCAACUAUUGCAAGCGUCCUGGCCACACCAUUGAGACUUGUUACCAUCGUAACAAAUCUACUGCUGCUUGAGCACAACAAACUUGAGCCUCGAUCUAGACUCUGUUGUUUUCUUGGUUAUGGCGAAACUCAAAAGGGGUAUAGGUGUUAUGAUCCUGUUUCUCAUCGUCUUCGCGUUUCUCGUAAUGUUGUCUUUUGGGAACAUCGAUUGUUUGUUGAACUCUCUCACUUUCGUUCUUCCUUGACUAACUCCUCUGUUUUAGAAAUCUUUCCCGAUGAGUCUUCUGCAAAUACUCUUGAUCUUCAUUUAGACUUCUCUCCAGAUAUCUUUGAUGCUUCUCCUAGACAGGUUGCAGAUGAACAGAUUAUUCACGAGCUACCCCACUUUGAGCCUGGGUCCCCUGCUCCUGCUCUGCCUGAAGAUCCUCCACAAGACAUUCCACCUCGCCACUCAACCCGGGUAAGAUCCAUUCCUCCACACCUCCUUGACUAUCAUUGUUACACUGCCCUUGCUACACUUCACGAGCCUCAAACCUAUCGUGAGGCCUCUACUGACCCUUUAUGGCAGAUUGCAAUGAAAGAGGAACUUGAUGCAUUAACCAAAAAUCAUACUUGGGACCUGGUUACUCUCCCUCCUGGACAGUCUGUGGUUGGUUGUAAGUGGAUCUAUAAGAUCAAGACUCGCUCUGAUGGAUCCGUUGAGCGCUAUAAGGCUCGUUUUGUUGCCAAAGGUUUUACACAAGAGUAUGGGAUUGAUUAUGAAGAGACGUUUGCUCCAGUUGCUCGUAUCUCAUCUGUUCGUGCUCUCUUAGCUGUUGCUGCUGCUCGUAAAUGGGAUCUUUUUCAGAUGGAUGUUAAAAAUGCCUUCCUUAAUGGGGAUCUGAGUGAAGAAGUCUAUAUGCAACCUCCUCCUGGUCUCUCUAUUGAAUCAAACAAAGUUUGUCAUCUUCGACGUGCACUUUAUGGUCUCAAACAAGCCCCACGUGCUUGGUUUGCCAAGUUCAGCUCCACUAUUUUUCGCUUGGGUUACACCGCCAGUCCAUAUGAUUCUGCCUUAUUUCUUCGUCGUACUGAUAAAGGCACUAUUUUGCUUCUUCUCUAUGUGGAUGAUAUGAUCAUAACUGGUGAUGACCUUAGUGGCAUUCAAGAACUCAAGGAUUUUCUCAGUCAGCAGUUUGAGAUGAAAGAUCUUGGACAUCUCAGCUAUUUCUUGGGUCUUGAAAUUACUCAUUCCACAGAUGGUCUUUAUAUUACUCAAGCCAAGUAUGCUUCUGACCUGUUGUCUCAAGCUGGGCUCACUGACAGCAAAACAGUUGACACUCCAGUUGAACUUAAUGCGCAUCUGACACCCUUGGGGGGGAAACCAUUGUCUAAUCCUUCUCUUUAUAGACGAUUGGUUGGCAGCUUAGUUUACCUCACAGUUACUCGUCCAGACAUCUCCUAUGUUGUUCAUCAGGUGAGCCAGUAUUUGUCUGCUCCACGAUCAACUCACUAUGUUGCUGUUCUGCGCAUUCUUCGAUACCUGAAGGGUACUCUUUUUCAUGGCCUUUUCUACUCAGCUCAGUCUCCUCUUAUACUCCGUGCAUUCUCAGAUGCUGAUUGGGCAGGAGAUCCUACUGAUCGCAGGUCCACUACAGGUUAUUGCUUCCUCCUUGGUUCUUCUUUGAUUUCUUGGCGAAGUAAGAAACAAACCUUUGUGGCCCGCUCCAGUACUGAAGCAGAAUAUCGUGCCCUUGCUGAUACCACAUCUGAGCUCCUUUGGCUAAGAUGGCUUCUUAAGGAUUUGGGUGUAUCCACCUCCUCUGCUACUCCUCUUUAUUGUGACAACCAGAGUGCUAUUCAUAUUGCUCACAAUGAUGUCUUUCAUGAACAGACUAAACACAUCGAGAUUGAUUGUCAUUUUAUCCGUUAUCAUCUUCUCCAUGGUGCUCUUAAGCUUUUCUCCGUCUCCUCCAAAGAUCAACUUGCAGAUAUCUUCACCAAGUCUCUUCCUAAGAGACGCACUCGUGAUUUAGUUGACAACCUCAAGUUGGUCUCAUAUCCACCUUGAAGUUGAGGGGGGCUGUUAAAGUAUAUUGUAUUGUGGGCUCUAGGCCCAGUUAGGUUACUUGUAUAGUACUUGUACUAUACACUUGUACUACACCUUUGUACUGCACCCUUGUACUACACAUACAUGCCUCCUAUAUAAAGGCACUGAUGUAUACUCUUUUAAUCACAUAAUAGAAUACAAUUAUUCUAUAUUUCUAACAGUCAGGAAAUGGUAGAAAAAGAAGGAAAAGGAACAGUACCAUGUCCACUUGAAUUGUCAGACCAUAUUGAAGUCAUCUCUGAGUCAGUCCCAGGUCCACUUGCUAGACUUUGGGCCUACCUGAAUUAAUCUUUAGGCCCACCAAUUUGUCUUGAUUCCAUGGUUGCGUGGAAUAAGGAGAUCGGGUUGCGUGUGGAAAAUUGGAUGAGUUACGGAUUGUUGUUGAUUGGUAGUGUCAGUGUGAUAUCAACUGGUCUUCAAUAUCAAAGGCAGAAGAAGAACGUCGAUAUGGACAGGUCUUGACCAUAUGAAAUGCAUAUUUUUGGACUAAAUACAUUUGCCCUUGUUUGCAAUUGUUUUUGAAAAUAAUUAUGAAAAAUAGGCCGUAUUUGUCAAUUGUUUUUUUUUUUAAAACAUUUUUUUUGUUCUUUAGGAAAAAAUGAAAAAGAAAAUAUGUUUUACAACCAAAAAACAAAAAAUGAAAAAUAAAUUUAUGUUAUUAAAAACUAAAAAUAAGAUAUUUUUAGAAAAUAUCUUUUAUUGACUUCACUUAUUUUCGUUUUAUAAAAAUUAAUUAUACAAAUAUAAAAAUUUAAAGCAAUAUAGAUAAAAAUUAUUUUAAAAAUAUAAAAAAAAAUAUGUCAACGGUUUAGUUCUUAAAGAUACUUUUGUACUACAAAAUAUUAUAAAACAAUUUUGAGAAAUAAUUUUUCGAAACUAUUUUCGAAAACACUUCCCAAAUAAAGCUUAGCUUUUGAAAACUAUUUUAUAAUGAUUUGUUAGAACAAAAUUUUGCUUUGAAACUUAAAACAUUUUAAACCGGUUUUCUAUGUUUUGAAAAAUAGUUUUUGUAAAACAAAAUUUUGUUUGGGAAUUUAAAAUAAUCUAAAUCUAUUUUUUAAAAUAACUUUUAUAUAUAGUGCUUCGUUUUAAUCACUCUCCAUAUUUGUAUAAUUGUUUUUUAAAACAUCUCUAAAAAAGCAAUUAAAAUCACCUUAAAGAUGUUAUAAAAAAAUACCAUAUUUUUUGUUUUUUUGAUUGUCAAACACGUUUUUUUUUUUUUUUUUUUUUAAUUCUUGAAAACAUAGACAAGCAACUUACAUGGUGCGUCAAAGGAGAGGUCAUAUGCAAUUAAAAUUUAAUGUAGUAUAAAUUAUUGUCUUGUUUUAGUAGAGGUUUGGCUGAGUAUCAUCAAUAGUGCUUUAAAAUUUGGUAAUAUUAGAAGUCACUUUAAGAUUGAAAUUAAUUGUAGAGGAUUACACUUCAUAGAGUUGUUAUUAUUAGUCAUUCUUUUUUUUGUACAUUUAUAAAUCCUUAUAAAUGAUCAUUUUGUAUCUACUCUGUAACAGUGCAAACUCUUAAAACAAUAUCCACAAAGCUUAACAACAAAUAUUGGAACAUAAGCCAAGCCUCAUGCAAUGGAGGUUUCAAGCGAGCCAUCGAUGAGAAUAACUACAGCAAUGUCACAUGCAACUGCACCUUCAACGAAGGAACUAUUUGCCAUGUCACAAACAUGUAUGAUUUUCUUUUCUUGUUCUUCCCUAACAUAAUACAUAUAUAAAAAAUUCAAUCCAUUAGAUUAAUGGAAAAGUAAUUGCAUGAGUAUAUGGAAUGGAAUAUUAGUUGCUUAAUGUUAAUAGGAAAUAAUUAAUGACAUCUUUGGAUUACAUAGGCAUUAUUUUUCCUUUCUAUCUCUUUGUAGGGCCUGUGAUUUGUGUGCUUUGGUAAAUUCCCAUUGCAUUCAUAGACUAAAACCUUGUUUUCAUGCAAAAUGAAUUGCCCAAAGUCUAGUGAAUGAAAGCCUUGUCUUUGUUUUAUAUUGAUUUAGUUUCGAUUUGUUGAACCUGAUAUGCAAAUGCCUUAUUUCCAUAUCAAUUAACAUUUGUUGGUGAGCAAUUAAUUUUGUCACUAAAGAGAGUAUUUGUUUUUUUGGCUUUUUACUAAAAGUAAUUUGUUUUCAGAAUUUAGAUUGUUUAUUUUUCUACUUUUUUGGACUAAAAUACAUGAAAUGCAUAUUUUGGACUAAAAUACAUGUACCAAAAUAGGCCGUAUUUUGUCAAUUUUUUAAAAAAAUAUUUUUUUGUUCUUCGGGAAAAAAUGAAUAAGAAAAUGUGUUUUACAAUUAGGAAAAAAAAAGGAAAAUAAAUUUAUGUUUUUAAAAAUUAAAAAUAACGUAUUUUUAGAAAAUAUCUUUUCGUAUUUUCAUUUGUUUUCUAAUGAUCAUUUUAAAAACUAAUUAUACAAAUAUAGAAAAUAAUUAAAAAUAAAGUGUUACAAAUAAAAAUUAGUUUUAAAAUAUAUUUAAAAAUAUAAAAAAUAUGUUAAAAACGUUUAAGUUCCUAAAGAGAUUUUUGUACUACAAAAUAUCAUAAAAGUUUUUUGAAAAACUAUUUCUCAAAACUAUUUUUGUAAACACUUCCCAACCAAAGCUUAGUUUUUGAAAAUUAUCCUACGAUGAUUUGUUAAAACAAAAUUUUGCUUUUGAACUUAAAACAUUUUUAACCUUUUGAAAAAUAGUUUUUCUCUCAUGUUUUGUAAAACAAAAUUAUGUUUGAAAAUUUAAAAUAUUUUAAACCUAAUUUCCAUUUUUAAAAUAACUUUUAUAGUGCUUCGUUUUAACCACUCUCCAUAUUUAUAUAAUUAUUUUUUAAAACAUCUCUCAGAAAACAAUUAAAAACAUCUUAAAGAUGUUUUUAGAAAAUACCAUAUUUUUCUAUUUUUUGAUUGUUAAACAUGUUUUUUUAUUCUUUUAUUCUUGAAGACAAAGGCAAGUUGGUCAUUCAUGUAGCUUACAUGGUGUGAUCACUUCAAAGGAAAGGUCAUAUGCAAUUAAAAUUUAAUGUAGUAUAAAUUAUUGGCUUGUUUUAGUAGAGGUUUGGCUGAGUAUCAUCAAUAGUGCUUUAAAAUUUGGUAAUAUUAGAAGUCACUUUAAGAUUGGAAUUGGUUGUAGAGGAUUACACUUCAUAGAGUUGUUAUCAUUAGUCAUUCUUUUUCUAUAUAUUUAUAAAUCCUUAUAACUGAUCAUUUUGUAUCUACUUUGUAAUAGUGCAAACUCUUAGAACAAUAUUCAAAAAGCUAAACUACAAAUAUUGGAACAUAAGCCAAGCUUCAUGCAGUCGAGAUUUCAACCGAACCAUCGAUGAUAAUAGCUACAGCAAUGUCACAUGCAACUGUACCUUCAAUGAAGGAACUGUUUGCCAUGUCACAAACAUGUAUGAUUUUCUUUUCUUGUUCUUCCCUGACAUGAUACAUAUAUCAAAAAUUCAAUCCAUUAGAUUAAUGGAAAAGUAAUUGCAUGAGUAUAUGGAAUGGAAUAUUAUUUGUUUAAUGUUAAUAGGAAAGAAUUAAAGACAUCUUUGGAUUACAGAGGCAUUAUUUUUCCUUUUUAUCUCUUUGUAGGGCCCUUUGAUUUUUGUGCUUUGGUAAAUUCCCAUUGCAUUCAUGGACGAAAACCUUGUUUUCAUGCAAAAUGAAUUGCCCAAAGUCUAGUGAAUGAAAGCCUCGUCUAUGUUUUAUAUUGAUUCAGUUUCGAUCUCUUGAACCUGAUUUGCAAAUGCCUUGUUUCCAUAUCAAUUAACAUAUGUUAAUGAGCAAUUAAUUCUGUCAUUAAGUCCACUUUCUAGUGGCUGAAUGAAAUGGCCCAAUGCAACUAGAGCUUUCUUGUGGAUUUUCACUUGGUCAUAAUGCCAGAGUGCUAAAGGGUAAAUGUUGGUUCCCACACUAUUCGAUCAAAGCUUCAAAUGAUUGUUUACAUUGAUUAUUAGGUUUCCUGUCAUAACUUUGACCUUUUCCACUUUUCAAGAUAAAAUUGAAUGUCUAUUUUUUAUUAUACAUAUUAUAAUAUAUGGUUAAAAGAACACUUUGCAGAUCAAUCUAUAAAAGAUUUGAAAUGGUUUGAUUCCUCAAUUGAAUCAAUAGUAUCUCUAGAGUCUGCUUCUUCUCAAUGCUAUGCGUACAAAGAGAAAAAGUAAGAACUAUCAUUAAAGCAGUCCAAGCAAGACUUAGAGUGCGCUUGAUAAUGUUUUUAUUUGAAGUAUUUUUAGUUUAAGUGUUUUUAAGAGAAUUACCUAUCAAAUACUUCUCCAAAAAGUACUACUAGUGAUUUUUCAAUUUUUUAAAAGUAUUUGUCGAAUUUUGUCAAACACCUAAUUUUUCUUUACAAAUGCCUUUUAUGCUAGAAGUGCUUUCUCAAAUAGUGGAAUCAAUAGCAUAAGUCAAAAAAGGAUAAUGACCCAACACCAUUGAUGAACCAAUCCUAUAAAUCCACUUAUGAUAAAACAAGUGAUUUUAAGGGAAAUGUAGUUUUAAGGGAUUUUAAUAUUAUGGAAAAAGCUGAAGGUGCCGGUAAAGGCAUUUGUAGGGAUUUUGAUGCUUGUGUUGAUGGUAGCACUCUGGAGAUCCACUUAUACUGGAUGGGCAAAGGGACUAAUUCCAUUCCGGAAAAAGGUGUAUAUGGACCUCUUAUAUCUGCUAUUGCAGUGACACCAAGUGAGCUUAUCUCAUAUUCCGGGCUUUACUACUUCUCUUGCCACUAGCUUGUCAUGAUGUUUUAUAUCUUACUGUUCUUGUAGAAUUCAAUCCCAAGCCGGCGCUGUCUGUUGGAGGUAUCAUCGGCAUUGUGAUAGUUUCAUGUGUGGUCCUCAUAUUGAUUUUGGUACUCCUACGAAUGAAAGGCUACUUAGGAGGAAAAGACCUUGAAGAUAGAGGUGAGAUUAAUCAUGCAGGAAAUUUGAGACUGUAAUGCCUUACCUCUUUGAAAUAUUGACAAUACUUUGGAAAUAUUUGGAACUCUCUGUGCUUGUUUUUCACCAAUUUUAUUUCACUUGUUACAGAACUACGUGAGCUAGGGACUGGUUAUUUUAGUUUACGACAGAUCAAAGCUGCUACCAAUAACUUUGACUCUGCAAAUAAGAUUGGUGAAGGUGGAUUUGGGCCAGUUUACAAGGUAGUUACAGAUUUGGAUUUUCCUUUAACAACUGUAUGCUAAAGCAGUGAUUAAGAGGGAAAUGCAAUACUUUUCUGCAGCUAUCUCACAUCCUUACAUUAUCUGAAUUCAUGAUCCAAAAUUUUGUCCUGCUUGAUCUUAGGGUGUACUGUCAGAUGGUUCAGUAAUUGCUGUUAAGCAGCUCUCUUCUAAAUCGAAGCAAGGGAACCGAGAAUUUGUAAAUGAAAUAGGCAUGAUAUCUGCCUUACAACACCCAAAUCUUGUGAAGCUUUAUGGCUGUUGUAUUGAAGGGAACCAGUUGUUGCUCAUAUACGAAUAUUUGGAAAACAAUUGUCUUGCACGUGCACUUUUUGGUAAAUGCUUCACUAGAAUUUUGUAUUUCAUUUUAUUAUAUUUCAACAAUGAAUAUUAUGACUUAAGCCUCUCCCUGGACCACUUGUAGGUCGAGAUGAACAGCGGCUAAAUUUGGACUGGCCAACUAGGAAGAAGAUAUGCUUGGGGAUAGCAAGGGGAUUGGCAUAUCUUCAUGAGGAGUCAAGAUUGAAAAUUGUUCAUAGAGAUAUAAAGGCAACAAAUGUGCUGCUUGAUAAGAAUCUAAAUGCUAAGAUAUCCGACUUUGGCUUGGCUAAGCUGGAUGAAGAUGAGAACACCCAUAUCAGCACACGGAUAGCUGGAACGAUGUGAGUGUUUUUGCUCAUUUCCUCCUUUUAUUAGCUUCCCUAUAUCAAAUUUGUAUAUGAUAUAAGAUUAUGACUUUGGCACUGAAAAUGUGGAGAUUAAUUUCUUCUAUGCAUUUGAAUCUAUGUCAGAUAAAUAAAAAAAUUGAUACAGUGAGAUGGAACUGACCUUGAUUGAUGGAAAACUUAAUGAAAUGCUCAAGUAUGGAAUUUCCAACUAGCAGUUGUUUUUUCCAUUUUAGGUUUAAAAAGCUCAUUUACUUCAUUGUUUAUUCUGUAAAGUCGAUUAUUGAAACAGUUCUAGAAAGGUCCAACUAUUAUUGAGAAUUUGUUGCUACAAAAUUAUCCUAAGUUGUCAUAUGAACCUCAAAAGCAAUUGGGGUGAUCCUCUUUUUGUGGUUUUGGAGAAGCAGAAUUUAGUUAGACUGUCGAGUUUCUGAAGUGGGUUUCAUGCAUAUCCAGAAAAUUUUUCCUCUCAAACAUGGUUGAUUAGUUCUUCUUGUCCUCUUUCUAACAAUAAUUUUGUGCAUAUAUUGGUUAUAUGUAUAGCACAAAACUCACCACUGAGUCGCUGAUUUUUCUUCAGAGGACACAUGGCUCCUGAAUAUGCAAUGAGGGGUUACUUGACGGACAAAGCUGAUGUUUACAGCUUUUGGAAUUGUUGCUUUAGAGAUUGUCAGCGGGAAAAGCAACACCAAUUACAGGCCAAAGGAAGAGUUUGUUUAUCUUCUUGAUUGGGUAAACAAUGGAUUCUUGCUCAUCCUUUUUGCUUUAUUUUUUCUGACCAUAUGUGCUUAUAAUGAAAAACGUGUUUCGGGUUCUACAUUGGACUGCAGGCUUAUGUCCUGCACGAGCAGGGAAAUCUUCUGGAGCUGGUGGAUCCAAGUCUUGGUUCAAACUUCUCAGAGGAGGAGGUGAUGAGGAUGCUGAACUUGGCCCUCUUAUGCACCAACCAAUCUCCCACUCUCAGGCCACCCAUGUCCUCUGUAGUGAGUAUGCUUGACGGCAAAAUUGCAGUCCAAGCACCAACAAUCAAGCAUGAUUCUAUGAACCCGGAUAUGAGAUUCAAAGCCUUCGAGAAGCUCUCACUGGACAGCCAGUCUCAUGUCUCAGCAUUCUCUGUAGACAGUCAGGUCCAAGGCAGCAUAUCACUUGAUGGACCAUGGAUUGAUUCCUCAAUUUCCCUCCAUAGCAGAGAAGAAACAAGGGACUUUUCUUCAUCAAGCAAGCUUCUUACAGGACACCAAGAUCUUUACAGUAUACAUUUGGACUGAUCAGUGAAAAUAUGGUAUACUAAUAAUACUUCCAAGUUGUUCUUGCUUGAAGUUUUCUGCAAGAAUGUUUUCUGAAAACUAUUUCGAAUUGAUUCUUGAAGUAGUAGACGCAUAAAUAAGUAUGUUUUGUUGUAUAAUUACAAUAUUUGUAUAAAAUUAUGAGAAUAAGUGCUCCGGUUGAGGCUUGAUGAAGAAAAAUAUUUAUAUUUCUUUAUUUUUCCAACUUACUCCCAUGACGGUAACUCAUCAUUCCCCAGAGAGAAAUCAGUAUAUAUUUAUUUUAUUUUGUUCAACUUUAUUUCCAUUUUAUCAUCAUUGGUCAUGUAUCCAAAAAAGUUGAUAAACAAAAGGGAAUAAAAGGUUUUACUCUAUUGGGCUUGAGCCCACUUGAAUUAUCAGACCAUACCAAAUCCAAAGCCCAUUUUCUAGGCUUUAGGCCCAACUGAAUUAACUGCGACCCCACCAAUUUGUCUUGGUAUGAUGUGGAAUGAGCAUCUCUACUCUAUUGGGGUUUGGGCCCACUUGAAUUGUCACAUUGUUGAAGCUAACUUUGACUCAGUCCAAUGCCAACUUGUUGAGCUGUUCGCCUACUUGAAUUGAGCGGGAGGCCCACCAAUUUUUAUUGAUUUUGAGAUUCGAAGAAAUAAUGGUGACAACUAACAUGUGAGAAGAUGAUGUUUUUGUGGUAGAAAAUCAGAAAACUCCUUAGGGUUCUUAGACAAUCAAAGACAUUCAAUGGCACUUGGAAGUUUUUGGUCAAUAAAAGAGUUAUAGGGUCAUUGAUUGGAGCCAAAAUAUGUGCUCUAAUGACACAUAUUCUAUAUGAUUUGUGCACCAAAGGACAUUCAAAUCACCCAACUUGACCUAAAUCAAUGCUAAGACCCUAGCCAUGAGUUUAAUUUGUACUUUGGAGACUUAUCUUAGGUUCAAGGGAAGAAAAUGGUGCAAGUUGAAUCACUUUAGAUUUUGAAAGAUCAAGAAAGGGUUAAAAGAGGAAAUAAAUGAGUCAAGACUCAUGGACCGUAAGAAAAGGCAAGACGAGGAUAUCAUGCAUUUGGAAGAUGAGAAAUGGCCAUUAUGGAGUAAGAAAGAAAGGCAAGAAAGCAUGGGAAAUGAGGCAUGAAGCAAGAUUCAGCUGCAUGAAAAUUUAGAACUCAAAAAUCUGAUGACAUUAUAUACUCUGACUUCGAGAACAAAUUUAGAGCACUUUAUGGAGUCCAUUGUAUACAUACUAUAUAUCGUUUUGAAGCUUGGGAAGUCAGAAAUCCAACGCUCAAACAGUGUGCAAAUCGGAGCUGAAAUGAAGAAGUUAUGGUCAUUUGAAGACAACUGCACCAAGUUAAAGGGUCAUUUCGAAAUGAUUUCGAAAUUCAACUUAUGAAUUCGAAAUCCACUUCGAAAUGACACCAAUUUUGAAUUCACCCACUACCACUUUGAUGAUCCGCCUCCUUUACCCCGGGAAUUGCAUCUAUUCAACUUAUGAAUUCGAAAUCCACUUUGAAAUGACACAAAUUUCGAAUUCACCCACUGCCACUUUGAUGUUUCACAUCCUCUACCUCGGGAAUUGCAUCUAGGGCACUCCAUCUGCCCAAAAUGGACCCCACACGACUAGAAAUCACCAUUUUAUUAUUUUUUAAUCAUUUUUAGGAAUUUAUUUUGUAAUAAGUGGCCAAUGAGAGUGUGCCACAUGUUAGGUAAUUGAUGGUAUUAUAUAAACUCUCUCAAUUCUAGGUUUUAGGGAUCUUGGAUUUCUUUUUCUGGAGAGUUUGACACUGAAGGUGGAAGAAGACGAGAACUUUGGUUUGUUUUUUUUUUCUUCUUUAUUGAAUAUAUUGUUUUUAGUUUCUUUUUAUUCAAAUUAUGGAUUUUUACCCUAUUAUGGAUUGUGAAUGUGACAUCACCCCCAUGAGAGGCUAAGAGCCAACUUGGGACUUGAAGCAUGAAAACCUAAGGGCUAGGAAACCUAUAAGGACAAUGGGUAAAUUAUUAUAACAAUGAGAUUAAUUAUUGGUUGGGUGACAAUUUAUCAUUUUUUUUUAAUCCUAUCCUUGUGAGUUCGUUUAGGUAAUGAUACGGUAGGUUAUUACUUGAUAUUAGUGAUUCUUGGUAAUUCUUGAUCAUUAGUUAUCCUCGUUUUACCUACCAUUAUUUGCCCCUAAACAAAGCUAUAAGGAGUAGGAAGGGUUAAAAAGCCAAAUCUUAAAUUGACAAUCAAUCUCAUUCAUUUGAUGGUUUUAGGAAUCUGUUUUAAAAAGGAAAAAUUAGGUUUCUGAUGCAAUUUUGAGUUAUAGAUUUCAACUUGAUCGCGAGUGGCCAAGGAUCCCAAAACCCUAAGAUCAUAUUACUUAAAAUACCCUUGUUUUCUCUAAUUUCUAUACCCUAGGUUGGAUUGUGGAAAACCCCAAACUUAAAUCAAUUGAAUUUAAAAUCAAUAUUCAUUUUUUCUUAUUAAUUUAAUUUCUUUUACUUAGUUUCACAUUAUUCACAUAUUGUUUUUCACUUAAGGAUUUAAACAAAAACAAUUCAUUUAUUCUAGUAUUGACAAUUUUCAUAAGCCAGUCCUUGAGAACGAUACCCGGAAUAUUACAAAGCCAUAGUGACUCUUUCUAUAGUUUUUCUUGACCAGAGUUAUUACGUAAAAUGACUAAUUAUUUUGGUACAAUAGAGAAUUUCGGUCAGUCAUAUAUCAAAAUUCUUUAGAGAAUUAAGUUUUGCCCUCUCACAUCUUCCUUGAAUGGUUUUGUUAGGUAACAACAGUUUGUUAUAUUUCAUUGCUUUCAAUUCAUUAAUUAACACGAGCUUUGACUCUUGAAAGUGGGUCAAUGUGUUAAGUAUUAGCUUACUUAAUAGACAUCAUACAUUGAAAUAUGAUAUUAUUGAUUGGCUCAAAUAUUUAAGUGUUUCAUUUCUUCUUAGCAACUUUGAAUGAGGAGGAGGGGUGAAAUGUUUGAAGAAUUGCAAUAGUUAAGGGUCCUUUUCUCGUAUGGGCAAGGGAUAAGAUCCCACAGACACAACCUCAGUGAAUGUUAUUUUCUAGAACAUUUUUUUAUUAUCUUUUGUAUGGGAUUAGGUGUAUAUAUCUAUAUAAUUCAUUGCAUGAAGGUAUUUUCUUGUGGGUCAGUUAGGUUGGGUGGUUAGGGUUAAUGGUUGGGCCAGAUCGGUGGGUUAUGGUAUUUGGUUGACUGGUUCCUUGGAUGACAUUGCAUUGUGAAACCAACUGAUGUUGAAAUGUCAAAGGUAAGAAAAAGAAUUAAUCAAUGAUAUGGAUGGUUCUUGACCUUAUGAUUAUAAAUUAAUCUAUAAUGUAGAUUAUUAAAUUUUCAAUAUACAAAAUUUAGAUUAAAUAGGUCUCUAAGACAAGGCAAUGCAAUGAGGCAAACCAGGGUUCAAAGCAAGUCUUUACUCACUAGCUUUUAGUCCCUAACUUCUACUGCUGAGUCUUGUAGCAAAGUCCAUGCCUUACAUAGCAUGAUCAGUUCAAAGAAGAGGUCAUAUACAAGUCAAUCUAAUCAAGUCUUCUGUCCUGGUGAUGGGUCCCUCAUCCAAUAGAAUCAGAUCGUCCCUUUGAUUUUAUUGUCCAUCAAAAGCAAAAAUUAGACAUUGUCGAGGUUCUGAGGCAAGUUCAUGGAUAUAUAGAAAAUUUUAACUCGUAGACAUUGUUGAUUAGCUCUUCUUAUCUCUAUUUCAAAUGAUGAUUUUGUGCACACAUUGCUUGUUCAUAUAUUACAAGACUCAACAUUUAGGUGCUGAUUUUUCUUCAGGGGAUACAUGGCUCUUGAAUGCUCAAAGAAGGGUUGCUUAACUGAGGAACAACAACACCAGUUGCUGGCCAAAGUAGGAAUUUGAUUAUCUUCUCCAUUGGGUAAUCUUUUGGCUUCCUUCACAUCCUUUCUGGGCAGUCUUUUUCUCUACAUUUUCAAGUUUCAUUAUCAAUGUCCUCUGUAAUUAGCAUACUCAAAGGCAAAUCUACGGUCCGAGCAACGAGCAUCAAGCAUGACACAAUCAACUCAGGUAUGAGAUUCAAAGCCUUUGAGAAGCUCUCACUGGACAACAAGCUUCAUCUCUCAAUAUUCUCUUAGGCCGGUCAAGUCUGAGAGUGUUUGAAAAACUACAAAGAGAAUGCAAAUGGAAAGCCUUGAAUUAAGGUUGAGGAUCCUUAGCAUGAUCCUCGACACCCCCCCCCCCCCCCCAUUACUUGAUGGGUCAACGAUGGAUUCCUCGGUUUCCUUCAAUAGCAGGGAAGACUCGAGUAUUCUUCAUAAAGCAAGCUUCUUAUCAGGUCUGGAACAUUGAAGGUUGAGUCUACCCUAAUCUAACCAACUCGCAUCCAACUAAAAAAAAAAACGCAAGCUUUGGUUGACUGAUAAUGAAAACAUGAGGUAUGCUAAUAUUAUGAAAAAUGAUGCUUGAAAACUAUUUUGAUUUGAAUAUGUGCAAAUUCUUGUNNNNNNNNNNNNNNNNNNNNNNNNNNNNNNNNNNNNNNNNNNNNNNNNNNNNNNNNNNNNNNNNNNNNNNNNNNNNNNNNNNNNNNNNNNNNNNNNNNNNAAAAAGGGUUUUUUAAAAGGGGAAAAAACACCCCCGGUGGGGGCCAAAGAGAGAAUUUGAUUUUUUUUCCCCAGGGGGAAUUUUUUGGCUCCCUUCCCCCCCUUUUGGGGGCUUUUUUUUUUUAAAUUUUUAAAAUUUUUUUUAAAAUUUCCUUUUAAAUUGGAAAACCAAAAGGAAAAUUUUGGGUUGGGGCAAGGGGCCUCAAGCCGGACCAAAAAAAUUUGGGUUGGGGUUUAAAACCCUUUGAAAAGUUUCCCCGGGAAAAAAAAUUUUUUUUUUUAAUUUUUUUUUGGGCCGGUAAAUUUUGGGGGGUUUUAAAAAACCAAAAAAAAAAAAAAAAGGAAAACCCCUAAAUUAAGGGGGGGGGUCCUUUGCAUUUUCCCCCCCCCCCCCCCCCCCCCCCCCCCCCCCCCCGUAAGUUGAGCGUCGGAUUUAAGCGGACAUGAAACUUGGAUCGGAAGAGUUUAAAGAGAGGUUUUGACACACUUUUGGUGAAGAUGUCGGCAACUUGCAAGUGAAAAGGCACAUACUAAGUGCGAAGCUUGCCAGUGAGGACAAGUUCACAAAGAAAGUGAUAGUUGAGCUCAACAUGCUUAGCCCGUUUAUGAGAAAUUGGAUUGGAGCUCAAAAAGAUGUCACUCUUGUUGUCACAUAGGAGGAGAGGCCACUGUGGAAUUGAAACUUUGAGGUCACCGAGGAGAUGCAUGAGCUAAAGAAGUUCGGAGACAGUGAGCGCCAAAGCACGAUACUAAGAUUCACAACUGGAGCGAGAAACAGUAGGUUGCUUCCUGGCAUUCCAAGAAACCAAGUUACUGCCGAGAUAAAUAGAGUAACCAAAGGUAGAACGGCGAGUAUCAAGGCAACCUGCCCAAUCUGCGUUUGAGUAAGCAACUAAAACACCAGGAGCAACAGAGGGAUGAAAGGUAAGGCCAAAGUGUAGCGUGCCUUUAACAUAGCGAAGAAUGCGUUUGACAAUAAGAAAAUGGUCUUUAGUUGGGGAAUAGAGAAAUUGACCGACAAAGUUGACAACAUGAGAAAUAUCCGGACGGGUGAUGGUUAGAUACUGGAAAACACCAACAAGAGAUCUGUAAAGUGUAGAAUCCGAGAACAAAGGACCAUCAGCAGACAGGUGCUGUGAAACAACCAUGGGGGGUGUGAACAGGUUUGCUGUUAAGUAGCUGAGCUCGUGUGAGAAUAUCCCAUGCAUAUUUCAACUGGCUGAUGAAGAGGUCGUCAGAGGUGGUCGUUGCUUCAAGACCAAGGAAAUAACUAAGAGGACCCAAAUCCUUAGUAGCAAACUCAUAAUUGAGUUUGCAAGUAAAAUUGUUAAGAAGAGAUGAGUUGUUGCAUGUAAUAAUGAUGUUAUCAACAUAGAGAAGCAAAUAGAUUAUGUUAGAGUGCUUAUGAAAAACAAAUAGUAACUACACGACUGCAAUAAAAACUAAGUUUAAUGAGGAAAGAGCUGAGGUGCUGGAACCAGGCACAAGGAGCUUGCUUUAGACCAUAAAAGGCUUUUUGCAACUGAUAGACAUGAUUAGAAAAAUGAGGGUCAAUGUAUCCAAGGGGCUGCUCCAUAUAAACAUGUUCACUGAGAUGGCUAUUAAGAAAUGCAUUUUUUACAUCAAGUUGGCGAAUGGGCCAUUUGUUUGUCACAACAAGAGAGAGGACAACAUGAAUUGUAGUGGCCGUGAUGAUAGGGCUAAAAGUAUCAAUGUAGUCAAGACUAGGUACUUGUGUAUAGCCCUUGGCAACAAGACGGGCUUUGAAACAUUCAAUAGAUCCGUCAGGCAAAUAUUUGGUUCGAAACACCCAUUUGGAACCCACAAUGUUGGUGUCGAUAGGUCGAGGAACCAAAAUCCAGGUACGAUUGUUUUGCAAGGCUUGAACUUCUUCAUCCAUUGUAGUGAGCCAAACAGGAUUCUUAGCAGCAGAUUUGAAUCCUUUUGGCUUAGUAGAUGCAAGAAGAGCGAAAAUAAGUCCAGAGGAACCCACGAGUCCGAGAUGUGCCGAGUGGCGCGUUUUGAAGAUGUCGACUUUGGCUCGUGUGAGCAUAGGAUAAGAACCCAAGGGAACGACUGUAAUGGAAGGGCGAUCAACCAUGGGUAACUCAAUAAUAGGCUUCGGAGAAGCUGAUCUGAAGUCUGAGUGUGAGAAAGAAGGACCUAUAUGAGAAUUAGUUGCCUGCAAAGACUCAUCCACUGUAUCAAUACAAAUAAUACACGAGGUGGAUAUGAAUUGAGGAAUAUGUUGGGAGUUUGAUGCAGGGAAAGACAAGGGCAUGUCUAUAAGAGGGAGGCUCGAUUCCAAAAAAAUUGAGAUUUGGAGAGAGGAUAUGGGUUGAGCUUGGGAAGUAUGGUGAAAAUGAAAGUGGUUUUCGCCAAAUUGAGCAUGGCGGGUAAUAUAGAGUUUGGAGGUGGUGGGGUCAAGACAACGAAAACCUUUAUAAGAUGAAUGAUAACCCAUAAAAAUGCAAAGGAUGCUCCAAGGGGAAAACUUGUUAGUCAUGUAAUUACGUGAACAAGGAUAAACACGAUAACCAAAUGGAUGAAAAAUUUCGUAAUUGGGAGAGGAACCAUAUAGGAGUUGAAAAUGUGAGUUACCUUCGAGAAGCAGUGUGAGCAAACGGUUGAUGAUAUAAGCCGCAAUGCUAAAAGCAUCAACCCAGAAGUGCGUAGGAAUGUGAGAAUGAAAAAGGAGAGCUAGACUUGUUUCAGUCACAUGGUGGUGUUUCCUUUCGGCGAGACCAUUUUGGGCGGGUAUAUAAGGAUAAGAGAUUUGAUAAUCAAUGAUAGAGGUACUAAGGUGGGCUUUAAAGCAAUUGCUAGUGAAUUUUGUACCACCGUCACUUUGAAAAUUUUUUAUACGAGCAGAAUGUUGAUUUUCAAUAAACUUUUGAAAUUGAAGAAAAGUAUUAAAGAAGUCAGAUUUCAAUUUCAAUGGGUAAAGCCAAGUGAAACGAUAAUAAUCGUCAAUAAAUAAAGCAUAGCAUGUGAAACCCAAAUUGGACUGUACAGGAGAUGGUCCUCAUAGAUUGCAAUGAAUAAGAUCUAAAACCUUUGAAGAUCGAUGUUCAGUAUGAGAAUAAGCCAAACAAUGAUUCUUUGCGAUUUGACAUGUACUACAUAACGCAGGAGAUGACAAUAAAGAAGUAAGAGAAAUCUGUCAUUUUUUAUUCAGAAAAGAAAUAACAGAAUAAUUCACAUGUCCAAGGCGAGCAUGACAUAAAGCAUAUGAAGCGUGAAGAGAUUUAUUUUUCAGGACAGAAACAAAAGCUGAAUUUCUGCGUUCUAGCACAUAUAGGCUGUCAUCCUGUUUACCGGUUGCCACCACCCUUCCCGUUUGGCGAUUUUGAACAGUGAAAAAAUUAUUAGUAAUUGUAACGGAUAACGGAAAGUCAGUUCUUAAUUUACUAAUGGACAAACUAUUUUUAGUGAUGUGAGGAACAACCAGAAUGUCUAAUAGUUGAAAAUAAGGGGAAUGAGAAAGUUUACUAGUGUGGCUAAUAGGUAGAGACGCAUCAUUCCUGACAAUAACACAAUCCUUACCUGUAUAAGAAAUGGACUGGUCCAAGGAAGAUUGAGCUGGAGUCAUAUAGGCCGAGACCCCUAUGUCUAAAAACCAAGCCGAAGCCUCAUUUCUGAAAAUGGAACAUGAUGCAUUGAGGGUUUCGGCGAGUUACGCUUCAAGGGUUUGACCAUGGUAGUCAUAUCGUUGCUAGCACCGAUCCGCAUAGUGACCCUCCACAUGACUUAUUUGAUAGUGUGGAAGUCUACCAGAGGAGUGUCUUUGUCCGCGUCAGUUGUCGCCAAUGCGAGUUGGUUGAUUGUGGAAAGAAGAGCUGCACUUGUUCAAUUUUGCUAAAUUGCGAUUGGUGGCGAUGAACACCACAAGGGAUGGUGCAACAGGUUCUAAAGAUUUUUGGAAAAAAUCAAAGCUCUUUGCUUUUGGCACAAGAUCUACAAAACAGGGCAAAAGGGUGAGGGCCAUUUGGGUCGUGGGGAAGGUUGAGAAUUUCCAGCCCAGACCUCAGAGAAACCAGUGCACUUUGUCAAUGCCAUUGACGGGUCGUCCGAUUGCAUGGAGUUGAUCGUAGAGGGCCUCUAAGGUGCGGGCAUACUCCGAAAUAGAUCUGGUGCCUCGUUUCAUCAGUUGCAAGUCAUCAUUGAGAUAGAUUUCACGGGCUUUGGAGUGGUGGUUGAAUGUGUUUUCCAAGGCAACCCACACCUCGCAUGAAGUGGAGAGUCCCACAACUUCAGCCAUGGCCUCCUCGGUAAGGGAGGAUAACAGAAGGCUAAGGAGGCAUUGAUCGGUAUGUUUCCAUGCCACAUGUUUGAUGUUUGGUGUCUGAGAAUUUUCAAUGGUGAAAUGGGGUGGUAUUUCUAUAGUUUCAUCCACAUAGUCGAUUAGUUCUUGACUCUCUAAAAGGGGAAGCAAUUGGCUUUUCCAUAGGAGGUAGUUGGAAGAGGAUAGUUUGAUGGUAACCAUGUGGAUGAGGGUAUUGAAGGGGAGAAGAGUGGAGAAGGGUUCGACAGCCAUGGAAAGGGAAAGAAGAUCGUGAAAGAGAUGUUAAUCUAUCUUGCUCUGAUACCAUGAGAGUGUUUGAAAAACUACCACACAUUUUAGUGGUGGGUUAAUUUCAUAUAUAUAUAUACACACAUAGUUACAUACGUGAAUAUGGUAAUUACAAGUAUAGAAAGAAUCAAUAAAAUAAAACUAGAAGCUAUAAUUGUGGAUUCAAGAGAAUGCAAAUGGAAAACCAUGAAUUAAGGCUGUGGAUCCUUAGCAUGAUCCUCGACAAGGUCCACAACAACAUAUUAGUUGAUGGGUCAACGAUGGAUUCCUCGGUUUCCUUCAAUAGCAGGGAAGACUCGAGUAUUCUUCAUAAAGCAAGCUUCUUAUCAGGUCUGGAACAUUGAAGGUUGAGUCUACCCUAAUCUAACCAACUCGCAUCCAACUAAAAAAAAAAACGCAAGCUUUGGUUGACUGAUAAUGAAAACAUGAGGUAUGCUAAUAUUAUGAAAAAUGAUGCUUGAAAACUAUUUUGAUUUGAAUAUGUGCAAAUUCUUGUGUGAAUGGAGUGGUUCGAGUCAACACAGAGACAAGGAUUCAAAUACAGAAAAAUAAAAUUCUGGAUGACACUUACUAACGUUGGAUCCAUGUUCUUCUCUUCUUUCUCAAGUGUUAAUUGUUGAUUGUCACUUCGAUUUUUUUUAGACUAUUGAUCACAAUCAAAUUAAUUUCAAUAUGAAAAAAUAAUGUAAUUUCAAUAUGGAAAAAAUGAUGAAGGAAAAAAAAGAAGUUGGGAAAAUAAUUGUGAUAAAGUUAAUAAAUCUAUGCAUUUAAUUAAUUUUAAAAACAUGUGAAAAUAAUUUAUCAACAAAGUAUUCUUAAAAUUUUCAAAUUUAAUUUAAAUUAUCUUAUUUAAUAUAAUUAAAAUAUAAUUCAUAAUAGUUUUAUAUUUAAAAUUAUAAAUUUAACCAUUUUUAUUAAAAAAAAGUCAUGAUAGAACAUAAUUUACAAAAUUUUUGUAUAUUUAAAAUAAUAAAUUCAACUAUUCAUAUUAACUUUAAAUUUCAUAUUAAAAAAAGUAAAAAUAUGAAAAAAAAAAAAAAAAAAAAAGAUAUGAUACUGUAGACCUCAUUUUAGGGGCCUAUUUUCCUCACAUUCCUAUAGAUUUUUUUCAGGUGUCGCAACUGUGAGUAGCCACAUGUUGAUUCCCAUUUGGUUGUUAUGGCAUCAGGUAGUGGAAUCAACGAGCAAACAAGAGGAUGACAUGUGGAAAGAAUAUUCGAGAGAUGUUGUAGUCUGUUAGGAGGAGCGUAGGAAAGAGAAGAUUCAGGCCAGAGAUAGGUGCUUUUCAUGCUGGUUUGGUGAGAUUUUUUUUGGGAGGGCAUUCAUUCUUGAGGGGCAAAUGAGACGAGUGGGAGGGGGCUAAAGAUUUUUUGAAAGGAGGUUUUUCUGGCUGGGGUAACAAGCCAGAGGGGACAAGCGUUUUAGGACUAAGAGAAAAAGUAGAAAACCAGAGUUUUGAGAGGGUUACAGUGAGUAUCGAGCUGGGAGUUGCAGGGAGGCAUAGUGAGUUUUUUUAAAGAUAUUAUGUGGAGUUAUAGAGGGAUAUUCUUGCUUUCCUGAGGAGUAAGUUUGAGGAGAAAGAGGCUUUCAGGUAUGACCAUUUAUGAUUUUCCCGUAUAUUCUCAUCUUUCAUAUUUCUUCUAUCUUAUUCUCUAUGAUUUCAGUUUUGCUUGAUGGGUUGCUUUGUUUCGAUGAUCGUUGGUUUAAUAUUUGAAAAGCUGGCUGCAUUUUUGUGUUUUACCCAAGCAAACCUCUUUCAUCUUAACCCACUGAUUGCUAAACUCAUGGAUAAAAGAAUGAAAUGAGGUUAGCAUAUUCGUCAAAAGGUUCCCUGCUCUGUUCCUAUUUCUGUUCCCUUUCUCCUCUGUUUUCCUUUGAAAGAGACUUCCAAGCUUUAAGACUGGAAAUCUGGGGAGAUUGGCUUAUGGAGAAUGAUGAUGAUAAGAAGAGGAGGUUAUCAACUAUAGAAUCUGAAUCUGAAUCUGAAAAUGUCUGAAGCGGGUAUCAGUAGUUUUUGGGAUUCCAGGAGUUUUUCCUUGAGUAUGUGGGUAUCGAUGCUAAUAGCUGCAAAGUCCUAGCCAACAUUGUACAGUAGAGCCCAGAUGUUGCUCAAAGGGUUCAUGGUCAUCUUGUCAAGUACCUAAGGGCAAAUGGUGCUUGUGACCUAGGUCACAUGUUUGGUUACGCCGUCACGGAGACCCUUGAACUUAUGUCUCUAAGGCAUGUUCUCUCUACCAAGCUUGAUGCCUGCCUUACUAAGGAUGGGAGGACGAAACCUACUCACAGUUGAAACCCAGUGGUAAGAUUCAAGUCACUGUUGAGUAUCACAAUGAGAAUGGUGCCAUGGUUCCUCCUUCAUGUGUACAUUGUUCCCAUCUCUACCUAGCUUGACUAGACUGUCACCAGUGAGGAGAUUGCUGCCGAUACCAAAUAAUGCAUCAUCCAACCUGUUAUUCAUGAGAAAUACUUAGAUGAGAAGUCCAUCUUCCAACACCCAUUAAGCCACUUCUCACACUACUCAUUUCACCAAUGAUGCCCAUCCCUUCUAAACCCAUCAAACCCGUUUCAUCUCACCAUCACCUUCCAGCAACCACAAGUCUAUUCCUCUCAUAACCUAUUUCAUUAAUGAUGCCCUCAUAUCUCAUACUCAACAUAUCACCAUCUCUUCAUCUCCCUAACUUCUUUUACCCUUCCCACCGUUCAUAUUUCCUAACUUUUAUGCACCCAUGCAAGCCCUCUACGUCUAUAUAUCAUACCCAGCAUGCCUAUUGAACCCUUUUCUUUCAUCAUAUUCCGCUUCACAUCCCUCUAACCAUAUCCUUCUCCAUCUACACCACGGGCAUGGCUAUUAUUCCAUGCAUAUAUUCACACCCACUGAACCCUUCAAAUCCAUUUUCUUUCUCCAAGUCUACCCAUACCCUUUUCAUACAUCCUACAUAGCCACUCUUAUUUUUCCACAUUGCCCAUCCAUGAAAGCCCACCCUCUUGUUUUGAACCUAAUGAAGCUAUCAACAUGUUUGCUGAUGAAAUACUUGACAUAUGGUUUACAUGUAUAAGGCUCCUGAAGGAUGAGGAUGUUGGACUUAGUUAAAUGCUUGCCAUGGACGUCCAGAAGUGUUUUGCUCCCAGCAGAUUUGGAAAAGGCUUUCUAGCUAGUGUGGUACCAUCCCAGGUAAAGAAGUGCGGGAAAUUGUGUGGCAUCUGGAGGAGAUUUAGUCAGACUUGUUUUUGAAAAGGAGAUAGACAAUCACCAUGAAGAAAGACUACUUAUAUGCCAAAUUUUGUUGUUCUCAUAUGGAAAAUCUCAUAGUUUCGAAACCCCUGGCAAACCUUUACGACAAAGCUUGGCUCAAUGAAUUUUUACAGCAUUGGAGGAUGAGAUUUUGCCAACAAUUGGUGUCCUUUGCCAAUGGCCAUGUCGGGAAAUACCAGGAAGUCAAUUGGGUUGGCAGCAUGGGUAACUACAAGGAUGUGUUCCUGCCGUUGUAUGCAAAUAUGCUUGGCUUUCAUGCCGUCUCAAAUUGCGUUUUCAUUAGAGGAGGAAUCACGAACGGUGGGUCUCUACUAUCUGAUGUCAUCAAACCAGGAGAAACUGUUGAUUCCUUUCUCAUGGACGGUGGCUUCCAGGCUGCAUUCCAUGCUUAAGGUGUCAUAUAAGGAAGACCAUGGAGUCCUUGUAUUUUCACAAAUGACAAAACUUCUCGAUAUUCUUGAGAAUUAUUAAACCAUUGAAUUUGGGCCCAGAACAUUCGAGAGGGUGGAUGGUUCAAUUUCUUAUAGGGAAUUAAACCGAAUUCCCAACUCGUGAGAAACAAAAAUAGAGAAAAAACACACGCCAAAAAAAAAACAAUCACAUGCACAAGACAUUAUUUACGUGGUUUGGCAAUUUGCCUACGUCCACGAAGUUGUAGGGAUAUCACUAUUAUUAGGGAAGAAUAUAAAGUACAACGACAACGACUACAAUAUUUUCUCUUUAUAUAUAACACGAUAACCACACCACACUAAAGAACCUUAAUUACAAAAGAUGGUUCCACAAUGGGCUAAACGGGCCCAACAAGCCUUAGUAAAUCUUCCAUUAAAAAAACCGUGCAAUAUUAUUCGGGUUGAGUCGUCAAACUUGAUCAAACAAAAUUAGGCUCCACAAAGCCUAACAAAUCUCCCACUUGGAGACUAGUUCAAUCACCAACAUCAAACCGCUAUCCUCCAAGAAACAAUCCCUCAUCCCUGCAACUCAUCCUCCUGUCCUCAAGCUAGAAGACCAAUUGAAGCUGAUACGUUCCCAAUUGGUGUCUCAGCUUAUUCAUGUCCUCUCAAUGGUCCCUGAUAGUGGUGCCAUUUGAUUCGUGUCCAGUUGGUGUCCCUUGAUUGUGGUCCUCAGAAGGGAGCAAUCAACAAAAAUUAUAACCUAUUAUACCAUGUACUAGGAUAGCCUUAACUAGCAUAGCAUAGUGGCUCUAGGGUCGUUCACUGGGAUGGGUUUUCACUUCACAAUUGAUAUUAAUUCAAAGUUGAAUUGGUGCCUUUUCAUUUCAAGGUUAGCUUUAAAAGAAAACAUAAAGAUGUUUGAAAAGGGAUUGGUUUUAAGCUAACAAAAAAUAGUAACUGAUUUUACUUACAAAGAAAAGUGUUUCUUGGAGUUUAGAUCACUAGGCUCAGGUUCCUCAUACAAAAAGGAGAGUUCCAGUCACUUGUUUCUUUUCCUCGCAUUAGAGAAUUAACAUAUAGUUAAUUCUCUAACCGGUGUGAUACAGAUGCUUCCCUUUAAUGGAUUCAAACAAUAAUUCCCUCUCACUGAUGCAUCUUGCAAUGGCUCAUGUCUCUCACCUAGCAUUUGCCAUUCAAGGUGAUCCUUAACCUUGGAUUACCCGUCAAAAGCUCGCAAGAGAUAACUAAUGGAUGUCUCCUUAGAGUCCAAAAGCUUACCAAGUGUUGGCUAUUCUAGAAAAUCCUACCUUCAAACCACCUCCCAAAGGCUUGCAAGAGAUAAACUAGAGUAUCUCAAUGGACGGAGAUCACUUGUCUUACCAAGUUUUGGCCCAGGUGAUUUAAAGGCGUUUUAAGUUAACUAAAAAGAUAAAAACCAUUAACGGGUCACACUUUCUCUUCAUUAAAAACUAAAACAACAAAACUUCCAAUUUAUGCAUGAGGAAACUUACCCGGCUUUCUUCACUCCAAGAGAUGAAGAGCCUAGCCUCUCAUCCUCUGAGGAAAAAUCCUCAGAGUUUGAUUGGCUAGAAAGAAAAAUAAUGAGAAAACAAAAAUAUGAAGGAAAAAUAGAGCAAGUGCUCUGCAAAAUAUAUUUCUUCCUUAUACAAAAGGUUGUCUCCAAGAACAAGCUCCCGAGAGAUUGAUUAUAUCUUGUAAAGAAAAUUACAACUAUAUAUAAGAGGUUAUUCAUCCCUUUGUUCUUGCUUAAAGACUAAGGAAUCCUAUGAUAGAUGGGUUACAAGGAGAGUUUGGGGAUUUAGACAUCAAAUAUCUAAAGAAAAAUAUCUCAAAAUGUCAGUCAGGAAGCUUCAGGAGAACACCGCGGCACUGUUCAAAAUGGUUGAGAAAUUUUCGCAACAAAAGGACAACAUUUUUGCAGCCAAAGGCUAAUUUCGCAGUCGUGCACCAUUCUGCCUUCAGCUUGGAGUGAUAUGCUUGUAAUGGCUGUAACUCCUUCAUUUCAACUCCGAAUCGUGCACCAUUUGAAGGAUUGGAUUGUUGACCUCCUGAGCUUCGAAACGACAUAUAGUAUGCAUAAAUUGGACUUCAGGAAGUGCUCCAAGAGUGGCUAAAAUGACUGUCAUCAAGAAUGCUUCAUGACAGAUUUCUCUUUGCUUCCCCUCCUUGCAUUCCGGAUUUGCUUAUGACAAAGGACUUCAAAGCUUCGGUUCUUCAUAUUUCUGAGCUUUCCAUUUGCUUUGCCAUGGAUUCCAAAUAACUCUCCUUAAUCUUGGAUUGCUUUGGUGAUAAAAAAAGCUAUCAAAACACCAAAACUUAACACAAUUUGAUUAGAAUUGAUUGCAAGGGUCCUUAAUAUGUUAAGUGGGUUAAAAAGUAAUAACUACUACUCAAAAGUGUUUAAAAGAGUUAAUUACAAGCUAUCAAAUAACACUUUUUGAGUAGUAAUCAGAAGUUGCGCACAGCUUCAACUUCUCAAUAGUGACACCUUUAGUCAACAUGUCUGCCGGGUUCUUAGAUCCACAAAUCUUCUCAAAUGUUACCAGUUUAUCUUCAACAAGAUAACGGAUAAAGUGGUAUUUUGUUUGUAUAUGCUUCGACUUCGAAUGAAAAACCGAAUUUUUGGCAAGAAAAAUUGCACUCUGACUGUCACUGUGUAGAAUGCCCAUCUCCUACUUCUUAUCCAAUUCAUCUAAGAAACCAUGUAGCCAAAUCAUCUCCUUUCCAGCUUCAGUUGCUGCAACAUACUCAGAUUUUGUAGUAGACAAAGUAACAAUCUUCUGUAGAUUUGAAGCCCAUGAUAUAAUUGUACCACCUAGAGUAAAAACAAACCCAGUAGUACUCUUUCUACUAUCAAUAUCACCAGCAAAAUCAGCAUCUACAUAACCCUACAAUUUCAAACUUGCACCUGUGAAGCAAAGACAUGUAUCUAAUGAACCCUUCAGAUAUCUUAGAAUCCACUUAACUGCCUCCCAAUGCUGCUUUCCAGGCCUACUCAUGAAUCUACUCACAACUCCCACUACAUGUGCAAUGUCUAGCCUUGUACACACCAUAGCAUACACCAAGCUGCCAAUAGUUGAGGCAUAGGGCACCUUGCUCAUAUGGUCAUUUUCUUCUUCUGUCUUCGGUGACUGUUCUUUGCUUAGUUUGAAAUGACUCCCUAAGGGUGUGCUCACUGGUUUAGCUUCAUUCAUGUUGAACUUGCUGAGAACUUUCUUCACAUACUCUAACUGUGAAAGCUUCAAUGUACCAUUAGUCUUGUCUCUAAUGAUUCUUAUACCAGGGAUUUGCUUUGCAGCUACCAAAUCCUUCAUUGCAAAUUGUUUGGACAAUUGCUUCUUCAGAUUAUUAAUCUCCUCAAUGUCAUACCCUGCAAUAAGCAUAUCAUCUACAUACAACAGUAAUAUGAUGUAAGAAUUGUCAAAAGACUUAACAUAACAACAGUGAUCAACUUCACAUCUCUUGAACCCAAUUCUAUGCAUAAAACUAUCAAACUUCUUGUACCACUGUCUAGGAGCUUGUUUAAGGUCAUACAAACUCUUUCUCAGUUUGUAGACUAGAUUCUCUUGUCCCUGAGCAAUGAACCCUUCUGGCUGAAUCAUUUAAAGGUCUUCCUCUAAGUCACCAUGAAGAAAUGAUGUCUUCACAUCUAACUGCUCAAGAUGUAAUUUUUCUGCAGCUACCAUUCCCAGUACAAGUCUGAUUGUUGACAUAUUCACAACUAAAGAAAAUAUCUCUGUAUAGUCAAUGCCCUCCUUCUGGAACCCUUUAACAACUAAUUUGGCCUUGUAACGUUUGCUACCAUCAUGCUCAUUCUUUAUUCUGUAUACCCACUUGUUGUGCAAAGCCUUCUUCCCUACUGGUAAUUUAGUUAGUUCCCAUGUUUGAUUCCUCAACAAGGAAUCCAUCUCAUCCUUCAUGGCUAACUCCCACUUGCUUGAAUUCUCAUCUUGCAAGGCUUCAUCAUAACACUCUGGCUCACCACCAUCAGUCAACAAAAGAUAAUUUAAAACAGGUGAAUAACGCUGUGGAGGUCUAAUGUUCCAGGAAUAUCUGCAAACUUCAAUUAUAGGUGUACUCAGAUCUACCUGUGAAUUAACAUUCUCUUUAACUUCUUCAUCCCCUUUUUGGACAGUACUUUCAGUCAAUUCAUCUAACUUGACAAACUCAGAUUUCUUUUGAUCUAUCUCUAUAACAUCUGACACUACAGUUGACCUGUCCUUGUACAUAACCUGUUCAUUAAAUAUCACAUUUCUACUUCUGAUGAUUUUCCUGUUUUGUUCAUCCCAAAACCUAUAGCCAAAUUUCUCAUCACCAUAGCCAAUGAAAAAACAUAUUUUUGACUUUGCAUCAAGUUUACUACGAGCAUCAAAAUCAAUAUGAACAUAAGAAACACAACCAGAAACUUUUAAAUGUGAAAACUUCAUCUCUUUAUCGCUCCAAACCUCCUCAGGAAGUCUGAACUCCAUGGGAACUGAUGGUCCUCGGUUUAUCAGGUAAGCUACAGUGCUAACAGCAUCAGCCCAAAAAGUUUUUGGUAGUCUAGCAUGCAACCUUAUACUUCUAGCACGCUCAUUAAGAGUUCUGUUCAUGCUCUCAGCCACACCAUUUGUUGUGGUGUCCCAGGAAUAGUUUUCUCCAUCCUAAUUCCCUGUGCAGCAUAAUACUCACUGAACCCUCCAUCUAUGUACUCUCCUCCAUUAUCUGACCUCAAACAUUUUACUUUUAAACUUGUUUCUAUCUCAACCAUGGCCUUCCACUUCUUAAAAGUUUCAAAUACAUCAAAUUUAUUUUUCAAAAAAUAAACCCAUACAUUUAUGUUUGAGUCAUCAAUAAAAGUGAUGUAGUACCUUGAAGCACCAAGGGACGCAACCGGAGAAGGCCCCCACAAAUCAGUGUGUACUAGUUCCAAUUUUUCAGCCUUUGGUGUCCUGCUAGUUUUCAAGAAGCUCACAUUUUUUUGCUUUCCUAAGAUGUAACUUUCACACAUGUCCAAAUCAAUGGACUUCAAUUCUGGUAGUUUUUCUUUUGACAACAGCAUCUUCAUCCCUUUCUCACUCAUGUGACCAAGUCUACAGUGUCAUAGGCUUAUAUCAAUACUUGCAUCAGCAACUACAAUUGUGUCUCUUGGACAUGAGGUCAUAUACAGAGUACCAGUCUUCUUUCCACAAGCCAAUACCCUAGCUCUCUUUGUAACCUUCCAAGUACCACCAACAAAUAGUAUUGCAUGUCCUUCAUCAUCAAGUUGUCCAACAGAAAUCAGAUUCCUCCUCAGGUGAAGAAUAUGUCGAACCUUCUCCAGUAACCAAACAGACCCAUUGGGCAACGAUAUUCGGAAGUCUCCCAGACCCACAACAUCCAAGGCUGAACCAUCAGCCAAAUACACCUUACCAAAAUCACUUGCAGCAUAAUUCUGUAUGAUUUCUCGGUGUGGAGUGGUAUGAAACGAAGCUCCUGAAUCCAAAACCCAAUCAUCAAGUGGACUGUCUACUGCAAGAAGUAAUGCAUCAUGUACCUCUUCUGUUACAACAUUAGCAGAAUCAUCUUCAUUCUUUUUCUUAGGGCUUUUGCAUUGCCUUUUAAAGUGACCUGUUUUCCCACAGUUCUAGCAUUGUACUUGUUGGCCUGAUCUAGAUUUGCUUCUGUUCCAAUUAAAAUUUCUGGAUUUUGAUCUACCCUGGUUUGAAUUUUUGUCAUUACCUCUGCCUCUUGUCUCAAGGUUUAGGGCAGAACCAGAACCUGAAGUUUCGCCUGCAUCUCUUCAGCGAAUCUCCUCAGCCAUAAUUAAAUCUCGUAUAUCAUUGUACUUGAACUUUUCCUUUCCCGUAGAAUUGCUUAUUGCCAUCCUCAUUGCCUCCCAACUGUUUGGCAAAGAAGCCAAGACGAUCAGAGCACAAAUCUCAUCAUCAAAAUCAAUUUUUACAGACGAUAAUUGAUUUGUGAUUGUAUUAAAUUCAUUCAGAUGUUGUGCUAUUGAUACAUUCUCUGCCAUCUUCAAAUUGAACAAUUUCUUCAUCAGAUGCACCUUAUUGUUUACGGACGACUUUUCAUACAUACCGGACAAAGCCUUCAUCAAAUCUGCUGUGGUAUUCUCCUUUACAACAUUGUGUGCAAUAGACCUAGAGAGAGUUAACCUAAUAACUCCUAGAACCUGUCUGUCAAGAAGUAUCCAUUCCUCAACCUUCAUACUCUCAGGUUUUGUCCCCAAAAAAGGCAGAUGCAAUUUCCUCCCAUAGAGAUAAUCUUCAAUCUGCAUCCUCCAAUACGCAAAAUUUGUGCCAUCAAACUUUUCUAUUCUGGACGCCUUUCCUGCUUCCUCUGUCAUUGCUCCUACUCAAACCUAACCCUAGGCUCUGAUAUCAGUUGUAGGGAAUUAAACCGAAUUCCCAACCUGUGAGAAACAAAAAUAGAGAAAAAACACACGCCAAAGAAAAAAACAAUCACACGCACAAGAUAGAUUUACGUGGUUCAAUAAUUUGCCUACGUCCACGGAGUUGUAGAGAUAUCACUAUUAUCAGGAAAGAAUAUAGAGUACAAUGACAACGGCUACAAUAUUUUCUCUCUAUAUAUAACACGACAACCACACCACACUAAAAAACCCUAAUUACAAAAAAUGGUUCCAUAAUGGGCUAAACGGGCCCAACAGGCCUCAGUAAAUCUCCCAUUAAAAAGACCAUGCAAUAUUAUUCGGGUUGGGUCGUCAAACCGGAUCAAACAAAACUAGGCUCCACAAAGCCCAACAUUUUUGUGGCUGAUUGCCAAGCUUACAGUGUUCUACCCAUCAUUAAUGUUGAUUUUUUCUCAGGUUAGAGGAAGCUCGUUCAUGGGGUGUUAGCAUCUCAAUCUGAGAAAUCGACUAAGGCAGAGGAGAUGGAAUGAGACCUUUGUUUAUGUAAGCUUUAUUUUCCACCAAUAACAACCACAUGAAAGGCCUAAUGAAGACGAAAGCCAGACAUAACAGGUCCAAAUGCCAAUAUACUUGGAGCAGUUCCACUUUUGGAUCUAAAAGAAAAAAGUACUGAAUUUGCAUCCCAUUCGAGAUUAUCCACUGACCAAUCAUCUGAGAGAAUGGGUGUCUUUGGGUUGGUAUUCUCUUGUUGAAAUUCAUAGCUGGGAUGAGAACUUUUAGGUUUUGACAAAAUGAUUAAUGAAAAAAAAUGAACCAUGUUUGAAUGAGUGAGGAAAAUACAGCAGGAGAUGUGGCAUAAUAAAUACGACCUCAUGAGAAAUUCCUACAAUGUUGGCUUGAUCACUAGUUGGAAGUCAUGGUGGAUGUGCAUGAAGUUCAUUUUGGAUAUGAGAAGUGAAGCCAAGUACAAGCUGCAUUGGAUGAAGAGUUAGCAGUGCUGAAAUAAGUGGAAUACAUGCUUGGGGAAGAUAAAGAUAUAUCACUGAUUCCAGCAGAUGAUGAAGUAGAACCAGUGGUAAAAACGGGCCUUUCCCAGAUUUGUUCUUCAUUCGAAAAGGAAUUAUCUUCAUUGCUUUUGGAGCCUGAUCUUACAUCCGAGACAGUGGAGGGUAUAGAACACCGGGAAACCACGUGUCAUUUGUGAUGCCCAAUCACCUCAACUCACAUGCAGAUUAUCUUUCACAUCUUUUGGGUUGGAAUUAUUAAUAUCUUGUCCUGCAUCUGUUGGGUUUUCUCUUGGUUGUACUGAUGAUCCUAAUGCAUUGGAAAUCUCAUCUCUUGUUCCCUUAAUGCCAAGCUUCCCAUUCUCCAGCCUUUGCAUCUUCACUGUGCGAGAGAGUUAUACACUUUCAGCCAACAUAUCCAUUGUAAGUGCAAUUCAGAAAUAGGUAAGCUUGGGAAAAUGUUUAUGUUGUCAGAUUCUUCUGUUUGCCCCUGGGCGUGAAACAAAAGACACUCAAUAUGGGAUAGCUAAAGUGAAGGGAGUUAGAGGAAUAUCAGGGUACAAGAUGUCAGACACUCAUAACAAGAGGAACAACUCCAUUGGCCUUGGUGCAUUUGACUAGCUUGAUCUAGUGGUGACUAAAUCAGUGAUUCGUUGGGCCAACAUGCACACAUAUCUCUCACUCAUGCCUUUAUGCAUGGCUACAUUCAGGUCACGUGUCCUCUCUAUGUUUCUUCAUCCCCUUUCAUCAUCCUUAAUUUUAAAAAUAUUUUUCCAAAUCCCAUUCUUCAAAUAAUUUUAUAGAUUUUAGUUUGUUCAAAAAUAAUUGUAACUCUUCCAUUUUUCAUCCUUAGCAUUUUUCUUAGGUUUCAAAAUUAUGUCUUUUUUUCAAUAAAAUUUUGCUCCCACUUUUUCUUUUGGCAAGCAAUUUUCAUAACUCUCAGGAUUUUUAAAAAAUGUUUUAAAAUAAGUAUGAAUUUAUUUCCAUAAUUCUGAACAAGGGAAAUUCAUGGGAUUGGUUCAUACAAAAAUAAAUCGGGCAUUGGUGGGGGCCCAACAUAUGUGAUUUUAUAAUUGAUUGAUUGAUCGAUUGAUUCAAUUCUCAUACAUGAUUGAUUUAUCCUGCUCUAUGACAUGCAUGCGAUUAUUCCUUAAUUGUGCACUAACCUCUUUUCUUGAUAGCGCAUUGUGGAUCGUUGCUCAGGUACAUAUCUAUUCACAUCCUGGUCCUUUAUGCAUAUUCUGAUACUCCUAUGUGCAUGAUCGAUUCGAAUAUUCAUUGAUUUUCUCAUUGAUUGCCAUGUCAGCUUUAUUUUAUUAGUAGAGACCCGUUUUAGGGACUUAGAGGAGUGUUACGGUCUUUACCGUACCUUCCCGAUAAGUAACCUGAUUCCCGAGCCCGAUUCGGUUUUUGCACAGACCACCUUUUCCAAAAUAAGGAGUCACACUUAGGGUUUUCUUUCUUAUUUUGUUUACUCCAAGUCAUUUUCUAAUAAAAUCAUUUCUCAAAAUAAAAAUCAAGCUCGCAAUCGAGUGGAAAACGCAUGAGCCGAAAUGCGGGGUCCACAGAUACACAUCUAAUGAUUAAAAUUAGUUCUUAAUAUUUUAUAUUUCUAAAAGUUAGAAUAAUAAAUUUUAAUUAAAAGAAUUUAUUUGAAGUAAUCAUAAAUAGAAAACUAAAAAAUUUAGAUGUUUAAUUAAUUUUAAAAAUGUUUGGAAAUAAUUUAUCAACAAACUAUUCUUAAAACUCUCAAAUUUAAUUUAAAUUAUUUUAUUUAAAGCAAUAUAAAUAUAAUUCACAAAAGCUUUAUAUAUUUAAAUUAAUAAAUUCAACUAUUUAUGUAAACUUAUAAAAAAGAAGAAGUAAUUAUACCUUAAUUUUUAAUAUUUUAAGUUUAUAAAGUUUUUGUCUUAGAUUUAUAACUAAAAAUGUUAAUAGUCAAUAUUUUAAAAUUUUAAAGUUACCAUCAUAAAUUUUUAACUAAAAGUCUAGAUUAUUAUAAAAUAAGUAUAUAAAUUUUUAUAAAAAAUUAAAGAAAAAUCUUAUAUUAUUAUAAUAUAUUACUAUCUAUUAUCUAUUGAUAUAAUAUUAUAGGAUAAUAUAUUAUUAUAUUUUUUAAAUAUAUUUAUUUAUAAAUAUUAUUUAUUAAUGAAUAUCAAAUUUUUAACUAAAUUAUUUAUCAAUUUGUGGAAUCGCAUUUCUGCUUUAUGGGUUCCCACUCAAUGGCGAACUCACUUUUUAUUUGAAAAAUGAUUUAUUGAUUAAAAAAAUGACUUGGAGUCGCCACUUAUUUUUGUUAUAUUUUUAAAAGGUAAAUAAAAUAAAAAAAGAAAACCCAAAGUGUGACUCCUUAUUUGGAAAAGGUGGUAUGUGAAAAACUAAAUCUGGGCUUGGGGGUCAGGUUACUCAUUGGGAAUGUACGGUAAGGACCGUAACACCCCUUUAAGUCCCUAAAAACGGGUCUUUACUAAUAAGAUGAGGCAAGUAUGACAAUUGAUCGAUUAAACAUGAAUACCAAACAAUGAUCAAAUGUGUGAAAGCAAGACAGGCAUGAUAACAAAUAAAUCGAUGAACACAAUCGAGACUACGAGGCAUACCUUAGUCACAAGCUGAGCGCUGUCAUAAGAGACAAGGUUAGUGCACAAAUGUAAAAUAAUCGCAUGCAUGUCAUAGAGUGAGGCAAACCAAUCAAGCAUAACAAUCAAUCAAUCAAUCAAUGAGAAAAUCUCAUAUAUUGGCCCCCACCAAAACCCAAUUGAUCUUACAUGAGUUAAUCUCACCAAUUCCAUUAUUUUGGAAUUACGAUAAUUGUUUUCGUGCUUAUUAAAAUAGUGAAAAACGAGAAAAUAAUUUAAAAAAACAAAGAAAAUCACAGGGCGCAUGCCUGAAUGAAAAAUGGCAGCACGUUUAUUAAAAAUUAGGUUUUGGUGAAUUGGGAUUUUAAUAAAGAAAAGAAAAAUAAAGAAAGAGAAAAAAAAUAAUGAUGAUAAUAAUAAUAAUAAUAAUAAUAAUAAUAAUAAUAAUAAUAAUAAUACUAGAAAAUAAAUAAAUAAAUCGAAUAACACAAACUAAAAUAAUAAAAUAAAUAAAUAAAUAAUUAUAUGAAAUAUGAACGAAUAAAAAUAAUUAAGUUAGGUGAAUAAACAUAUCAAAUUAAUGAAUUUAAAAGAUUUAAAACUAUCCGAAAGACAAAUAUUUGAAAAUCAAGCUUUGAAACUAAAUUGAAAAUUGAAGUUUUAAGAAAUAAAUUGGAAAAUUGGAAUUUUAGAAAAAUAAUUUGAAACUGGGAGUCGUGAAAAUUAGAACUUUGGAAAAUUGAGAAUUAAAUUUGGAAAUUGGAAUUUUGGCGGAUUAUUUAGAAAUGGAAUUUUAGAUAAAUGAAUAAGUGGAUAAAUAAAUGACUAAAAUAAUAAUAAUAACAAAAAUAAUAAAGAUUGGAUAAAUAAUUGUGAAAAUUGGAAUUUUGGGAAUUGAAAAUUGAAUUUAGAAAUCGAAAAUUUGAAGAAUUAUUUAGAAAUGGAAUUUUAAAUAAUUGAAUAAGUGAAUAAAUAAAUGAAUGAAAUAAUAAUAACAACGGAAAUAAUAAUGAUUAGAUAAAUAAUUGCGAAAAUUGGAAUUUUGGAAAUUAGAAAUUGAAUUUAGAAAUUGGAAAUUUGAAGAAUUAUUUGAAGAAAGAAUUUGAAAAAUAAAUGAAUAAGUGAAUAAAUAAAUGAAUGGAAUAAUAAUGAUUGGAUAAAUAAUUGUGAAAAUUGGAAUUUUGGAAAUUGAAAAUUGAAUUUAGAAAUUGGAAAUUUGAAGAAUUAUUUAGAGAUGGAAUUUUAAAUAAAUGAAUGGAAUAAUAAUAAUAACGAAAAUAAUAAUGAUUGGAUAAAUAAUUGCGAAAAUUAGAAUUUUGGAAAUUGGAAAUUGAAUUUAGAAAUCGGAAAUUUGAAGAAUUAUUUAGAGAUGAAAUUUUAAAUAAUUUAAUAAGUGAAUAAAUAAAUUAAUGGAAUAAUAAUAACGAAAAUAAUAAUGAUUGGAUAAAUAAUUGUGAAGAUUGGAAUUUUGGAAAUUGGAAAUAUAAUUUAGAAAUCGGAAAUUUGAAGAAUUAUUUAGAUAUGGAAUUUUAAAUAAAUGAAUAAAUGAAUGAAUUGAAUAAUAAUAAUAAUAAUAAAAAUAAUAACGAUUAAAUAAAUAAAUGUGAAAAUUGGAAUUUUGGAAAUUGGAAACUAGAAUUUGGAAGAAUUAGUUAAAGAUAGAAUUUUAAAAAUGAAUAAAUAAAUAAAAUAAUAAUAACAAAAAUAAUAGUGAUUAAAUGAAUAAAUGUGAAAAUUGGGAUUUUGGAAAUUGGGAAUUAGAUUUGGAGGUCAGAAUUUUGAAGGAUUAUUUGAAGAUAGAAUUUUAAAAAAUAAAUAAGUAAAUAAAUAAAUAAAAUAAUAUUAAUAACGAGAAUAAUAAUGAUUAAAUAAAUGAAUGCAAAAAAUGGAAUUUUGGAGAUUGGAAAUUAAAUUGGGAAAUCGGAAAUUUGAAAAAUUAUUUAAAGGUGGAAUUUAAAAUAAAUAAAUAAGUAAAUAAAUAAAAUAAUAAUAAUAACAAGAAUAAUAAUGAUUAAAUAAAUAAAUGUGAAAAUUGAAAUUUUAGAAAUUGGAACUUAAAUUUGGAAAUAAGAAUUUUGAAGAUAUUUAUUUAAAGAUGGAAUUUACCGAAAUCAAACCUUGACACGUGAUAGAAAAGGAGAAAAAAAAAAAACAAUAAUUCACCAUGCCACUUAGAGAACUUAAAGUGCUCCUGCCACUAAUAAAACCUCAUGCCACAAUACACCAAAUCAAGAAAAAGAAGGCCAUCACUACCCGCCACCCAUUUUUUAAAUAAUAAAAAUAAAUCCUUCAGGAAUUGCCAUUCCACAACCAACUCUAUCCACUUUACUCUUUCAAAAAUUCUUCUGUUGUGCUCUUCUAAAUCAAGCAAAAAACACAGAGAGGCUGAGAGGGGUCAUCCUUCCAAACUGCCUUAGAAUUGCUACAAUAGAGGAGCCACUAUGUGAACAAAGCAGCAUCUCUCUGAUUUGACCAUGAAAGAACCCAGGACAUCCUGAACAAGGAGAAAAUCAAUGCCCACAAACUAGAAGACCAUCACAAAGAAUGACUAAUGAGGAUGUGCUCCACCAGCUCCAUCAAAUGCAAGCGGAUAUUGCUAGCUCACAAAACUGCUACUUUAUGCACCAUGACCAAAGAAGGCAGAUUUGAGGACAAGUGAACGGACGUUGGAAGCACAUGGCGGUGAAGCCAAGCUUAACCCAACACCAAUGGGGACUUUCAUAGCCUUUUUUUUUUUUUUUUGGGAAACAAAUUUCUAAAGAGAGAAAGCGUAGGAAAAUGUGAGGGUUUUCCACUCCCACACCUUUGAUUGUUUGGGUUCAUUCUUCUUGUCCCUUCUUCCUGGUUUGUGGUGUGUGAAGGAAAUGAAAAUGGCCAUGCAUGCAGAUUCUUUUGCAUGAGUGAGAAAUGAGUAGUGGGGCAACCGGGUGUGAUGGGUAGCCAUGCAUAUGGCUUCAUGCACGUGAGAAAAGGGUGGGAAUGAGCUGAAAAUGAGUAUUGGUGGGAGAAAUGGGUCUCAUGGGCAUUUGAAAAAUGGUCACGUGGUGUAGAGAGAGAAGAUGGUGGUGAUGGGUAUGUCGGUAAGAAGGAUGAUGAGAUGAGGGUGACCAUGCAUUUUGGACCUCAUGCACAUGGGGAAAUGGUGGAAGUAAGUUGAAAGUGGGUUAGAUGGGCGAGCAAGAAGGGUGGUGGAGUGAUGAGGAUUAAGCAAACACUAGAACAUAAAACACAUGAUGAUACGGAGCCCCAUUACAAGUGACACCCAUGAGCUUAAAGUGAGUGAGAUUAACAAAGAAAAUAAAUAAGGGUCCCAUAUGUCAAGCUUCAGAAAUGAACUCAUGCAUCAAUCUUGUACAGAGAAAGGCAAAGGAACCCCAAAAACGGAGCAUGCACAUGGAAGAAUAAAUUCAACCAAGACAAACAAAUGGCUCUUCCUAUCCAUACCGAAACAGGAAGUUGAUGCCCAAAAAAUAAGAAAAAAAAAAGUUGAAAAUGAGAAUAAAAAGCCCUAUGGAAGUGAGAAAACAAGGAGCUAUAUUAGUCAAACCUGAAAAGCCCUCCUCAAGCAAAAAGUUGCUCGUCUUCGAGCUCCCCUACUCUAAGAAUGAUUUCUUCUUUCACUCAGUUGCUUGCAUGCUCCAACUUUCUUCCUCCUCAAGUUGCUUUCUAAGGCUCCUCACUAGUUCACUCUCCAGUUCUCUUCAUGUGCUCUCAGUUGGUAUCUCCCUCAAAAUCGUUCCCUCGUAACUACAAAAAACUUUUUUUUUUCUCCUCUCCCCCGUUUGCUAUGUCAAAAAAAUCUUUUUUUUUUUUCUAAAAAUCCCCCAGCCAGCUCGCAGAACACGCUCUCCCUGUCCCUUACAGCUCACCCCUCCUCUGUAACCCACCACCUUUUUGUUCAGUUUCUUCCUUUUCAAAUGGUUGUCCCUUUUGUACCAAGCAACUUACCCUUCCUUUUCCUUCUUGCUUCCCGUCCUCUUUAGCUGCCCAAUAUAACCAAGGAUGAAAAUAUCGGUAAUCACGGAUAUAUCGAUAUUUCGAUUUUACGGAUAUAUCGGAGAUAUAUUGGAUAUAUCGGAGAUAUAUUGGAUAUAUCGGAGAUAUAUCGAUGGAUUUUUUGGAAAAAAAUAUCAGUAAGCUUAAAAUUGUUAAAAACUCAUGAAAAUGUAAGGAAAACCUCAUAAUAAUAUAAUUAUAAGUAUAAUAGACAUUUUAAAGUUAUUUUAUUGAAAAUUUUGAUAUAUGUAUAACAUGAUUUAUCAUAUUUGAUAAUAAUAUCGUAUGCAUUGAUAAAAAUAUGAAUUUUAUAAGUGUACAUUUAUUAUUAAAUUACACCUAAUAUUAUGAUAUUUGAUUAUAAUAUAUCUAAUUUUAAAAUAUAUAUUAGUAUUAAAAUAUGAUCCAUUUAAUUCAAUUGUAUUAAACAAUAUAAAAUAAAUAAUGAUAUAUAUAUAAAUUUUUAAUAUUUAAUUAAUUAUUAAUGAUAUUAAAAAUAUUAUGAAGAAAAUUAUAUAAUUUUUAUAUUUUUGGUAAUUAAUUAAAAGACUUUGCAUUUAAUUAUAAAAUAAUUAUUAUUAAUUUGCUCUUUAAAAUAUUCUUAUAUUUUCUUUAUAUAAUGAGUUUAAGUAUAUAUAUAUAUUUGUUGCAUAUUAUGUAUCAAAGGACAAGUUAGCCCAGGUGGUACCCCAAACCUUUUGGUUUGGGGUUCAAAUCGUCUCGGCUCCAAGCAAAUGGAUAGGCACUGUAGCAACAUUGUAGCAACAUCGCCGAAAUAUCGCUAUCAGUCUUCUUUGGUUGCCAGUCUUGUCUAGCCGUCCCUUACAGCACAUUCUUGAGUUGAUGAAGAAGAAGAUAUAAUAAAAUAGUAAUAAAAAAAACCAAAGAAAUGCCCCCCAUUUGAGGGGGUCCACACAAUCACAUAAAUAACAAAUCUUUAUGGAUGAUUAAUUUAAAAAUGGAGAUCAAAAUAACUUCUUUUUUUUUUUUGACAUAUCUAGAAAUAUUAGGAUAAUUUCGAUUUAUAUGAUUUAAGAAAAAUAUAUCACAUAUAAUAUAAAUAUAAAAAUUAAGUUAACCACUUAAUUAUAAAAAUAUAAAAAUAUAAAUUAUUUUAAAAAAUAUAAAAGAUAAUUUUAUAUUAUUAUAAUAUAUUAUGUAUUAAUAUAAUUGUGAAUCCAUGUUUUUCAUAUCAAUCACCUUUUAUUUGAAAAAUUGAUAUUUUUUUCUUUUUUCUUUUUUCUUUUUUUAAUUGUUUUGCUCUUUCCUUCCGUAGAAAUUCUCCAUCCCCUCUUUUCUCCGUAGAACUUUUUCCUUUUUGGUUCGCCUCCUAGCCAGCCACCCUCUCGAAAUAUCUCUACAACAACAUAUCCUACCCUCGCAGCCUUACCCUCUCUUUCCUGUAACAACCAUCUGCAGGGACUAGGAGAGAAUAUGUUGUCUCCAAUCCAAGUGGUCCCAAAAAAGAUGUGAAAAGGGGGCCCAAAAUGGGGUCUAUAAAAAUAUAGUUGAUUUAUCUAUUUAUAAGUAUUAUUUAUUAAUUAAUAUCAUAUUUUAAUUAAUUUUAAGGUAUUUAAAGUAAAUAACUUACAUUUAAAUUAUUGUUUUUUAAUAAUAAAGAUAUAUAUAUAUAUAUAUAUCUCUUAAAAUUAAUUUAAAUUAUUUUAUUAAUAAAAAAUUAAUUCAUUCAUUGUCUUUAAAAAAAUUAUCUCUUUCAUGGUUUUAGUUAUAAGACUUGUAAAUUUUAUUUUUAAAAUAAUUAUUAAUAAUAAAUAAUAUUAAAAUUCAAAAUUCUUGUUAAAAAAAAGUAAAAUGAUUAAAAGAUAUGGUACAAAACAAUAAUUUAAAUGUAAGUUAUUUACUUUAAAUACCUUAAAAUUAAUUAAAAUAUGAUAUUAAUUAAUAAAUAAUACUUAUAAAUAGAUAAAUCAACUAUAUUUUUAUAGACCCCAUUUUGGGCCCCCUUUUCACAUCUUUUUUGGGACCACUUGGAUUGGAGACAACAUAUUCUCUCCUAGUCCCUGCAGAUGGUUGUUACAGGAAAGAGAGGGUAAGGUUGCGAGGGUAGGAUAUGUUGCUGUAGAGAUAUUUCGAGAGGGUGGCUGACUAGGAGGCGAACCAAAAAAGAAAAAGUUCUACGGAGAAAAGAGGGGCUGAAGAAUUUCUACGGAAGGAAAGGGCAAAACAAUUAAAAAAAGAAAAAAGAAAAAAGAAAAAAGAAAAAAAUAUCAAUUUUUCAAAUAAAAGGUGAUUGAUAUGAAAAACAUGGAUUCACAAUUAUAUUAAUACAUAAUAUAUUAUAAUAAUAUAAAAUUAUCUUUUAUAUUUUUUUAAAUAAUUUAUAUUUUUAUAUUUUUAUAAUUAAGUGGUUAACUUAAUUUUUAUAUUUAUAUUAUAUAUUAAAAAACAAUAAUUUAAAUGUAAGUUAUUUACUUUAAAUACCUUACAAUUAAUUAAGAUAUGAUAAUAAUUAAUAAAUAAUACUUAUAAAUAGAUAAAUCAACUAAUAUUUUUAUAGACCCCAUUUUGCAUCUUUUUUGGGACCACUUGGAUUGGAGACAACAUAUUCUCUCCUAGUCCCUACAGAUGGUUGUUACAGGAAAGAGAGGGCAAGGCUGCGAGGGUAGGAUAUGUUGUUGUAGAGAUAUUUCGAGAGGGUGGCUGGCUAGGUGAUGCGACUCAUGGUAGCUUAGCUUUAAAGGCGUAUCAACAAAAUUUAUACCUUGAAUACUAUUACUAAAGUAGCCAAGCUACUAUAGCAUAGUGGUUCUAGGAUCGUUCACUGGGAAGGGUUUUCGCAAACACAAGUGAUAUUCAAGUUAGGAAAAUAGGUGAUUUUCUUAUGGAUGUUAGCUUUAAAAGAAGAUGUAAAUGUUUUAGAAAGAUUUAAACUAAUCUAAGCUAACAUUAAAGACUAAAAUGAAAGGGUGUAAAAACAAGUUUCUCAAAGAUAGGAUAGCUAUGCUCUGGCUCUUAUGCAAAUUGGAAAUCUCAGGAUAGGCUCCUCGCGUUGGGGUUGCAACUAUGGUGAUGCUUGCUUCCCGAACCGGUAUGGAUUUAGCAAAUCACGUUUUAAUCCUUUAAAAUGGCAAAACAGAUGGUAGUGAAUUUCAUCAAUGGUUAUUCACCUUAGACUUCCUUUGAAUGGCUCGUAAGAGAUAACUAAUGGUCUAAAGCCAAAAGCUUACCAAAUAUUGGCAACUCAAAGUCAUUCCAGGUGAUAAACUCACCUUUCAAUGGCAAUUGAAAUUGGUUCNNNNNNNNNNNNNNNNNNNNNNNNNNNNNNNNNNNNNNNNNNNNNNNNNNNNNNNNNNNNNNNNNNNNNNNNNNNNNNNNNNNNNNNNNNNNNNNNNNNNNNNNNNNNNNNNNNNNNNNNNNNNNNNNNNNNNNNNNNNNNNNNNNNNNNNNNNNNNNNNNNNNNNNNNNNNNNNNNNNNNNNNNNNNNNNNNNNNNNNNNNNNNNNNNNNNNNNNNNNNNNNNNNNNNNNNNNNNNNNNNNNNNNNNNNNNNNNNNNNNNNNNNAAUUACAUCAAAAAUACAAAAAGAAAAUAUCUAAAGUGGAGUCAGCAAAAACAGAGCAAAAUUCGCACCACGCAUGGGGUGUGCGAAAUUUUCGCACACUGAGGGGGGUGUGCGAGUUUCGCACACCAUUCGCACACCUUUCGCACACCUGGAGCAGUUGUCUUCCGAAGGCCAUAUCUUCCUCAUUUCAGCUCCAAAUCAUACACGGUUUGAAGCGUUAGAUUCUUGACUUCCUGAGCUUUGAAAUGGUAUAUAGCAUGUAGAAAAUGGACUUCAGGAAGUGCUCCAAAAGUGCCAAAGAAGACUGCAGCUGCCGUCCUCUGUUUUCCUCUUUGCUUUUUUUUGCUUCUCUUUGCUUCUCUUUGCUUCUCUUUGCUUUUCUCCUUUUGUUGGCUUGCUUUGGUGUAGCUAAAAGCUUGCUUUAACUUGUCCAAGUAGCUCCUCCAUCAUUUGGCAUGCUUGAAUUGAUUCAUAAGCUGAUAUAAACAUGUAAACUUGCCACAAAAUGGUUAAAACCAAUUACUAAGGACCUUAAUGAAUUAAUUGGGUUAAAUGAAUAUGAUUACUACUCAAAGGUGCUUAAAACCAUUAUAAUUAGGUCUACAAAAUAGCACUUUUUGGUAGUAAUCACUAGGAGGCGAACCAAAAAAGAAGAAGUUCUACGGAGAAAAGAGGGGCUGAAGAAUUUCUACGGAAGGAAAGGGCAAAACAAUUAAAAAAGGAAAAAAGAAAAAAGAAAAAAGAAAAAAAUAUCAAUUUUUCAAAUAAAAGGUGAUUGAUAUGAAAAACAUGGAUUCACAAUUAUAUUAAUACAUAAUAUAUUAUAAUAAUAUAAAAUUAUCUUUUAUAUUUUUUUAAAUAAUUUAUAUUUUUAUAUUUUUAUAAUUAAGUGGUUAACUUAAUUUUUAUAUUUAUAUUAUAUAUUAAAAAACAAUAAUUUAAAUGUAAGUUAUUUACUUUAAAUACCUUAAAAUUAAUUAAAAUAUGAUAAUAAUUAAUAAAUAAUACUUAUAAAUAGAUAAAUCAACUAUAUUUUUAUAGACCCCAUUUUGGGCCCCCUUUUCACAUCUUUUUUGGGACCACUUGGAUUAGAGACAGCAUAUUCUCUCUUAGUCCCUGCAGAUGGUUGUUACAGGAAAGAGAGGGUAAGGCUACGAGGGUAGGAUAUGUUGCUGUAGAGAUAUUUCGAGAGGGUGGCUGGCUAGGAGGCGAACCAAAAAAGAAAAAGUUCUACGGAGAAAAGAGGGGCUGAAGAAUUUCUACGGAAGGAAAGGGCAAAUAAUUUAAUUGAGGAUAUGAGAAAAAGGAAACAAAUAUCAGUUUUUCAUAUAUAAGGUGAUUGUUAUGAAAAACAUGGAUUCACUAUUUUAUUAAUANNNNNNNNNNNNNNNNNNNNNNNNNNNNNNNNNNNNNNNNNNNNNNNNNNNNNNNNNNNNNNNNNNNNNNNNNNNNNNNNNNNNNNNNNNNNNNNNNNNNGCAAAUAAUUCUUCAGCCCCUCUUUUCUUCGUAGAACUUUUUCUUUUUUGGUUCGCCUCCUAGCCAGCCACCCUCUCGAAAUAUCUCUACAGCAACAUAUCCUACCCUCGCAGCCUUACCCUCUCUUUCCUGUAACAACCAUCUACAGGGACUAGGAGAGAAUAUGUUGUCUCCAAUCCAAGUGGUCCCAAAAAAGAUGUGAAAAGGGGGCCCAAAAUGGGGUCUAUAAAAAUAUAGUUGAUUUAUCUAUUUAUAAGUAUUAUUUAUUAAUUAAUAUCAUAUUUUAAUUAAUUUUAAGGUAUUUAAAGUAAAUAACUUACAUUUAAAUUAUUGUUUUUUAAUAAUAAAGAUAUAUAUAUAUAUAUCUCUUAAAAUUAAUUUAAAUUAUUUUAUUAAUAAAAAAUUAAUUCAUUCAUUGUCUUUAAAAAAAAUUAUCUUUUUCAUGGUUUUAGUUAUAAGACUUGUAAAUUUAAUUUUUAAAAUAAUUAUUAAUAAUAAAUAAUAUUAAAAUUCAAAAUUCUUGUUAAAAAAAGUAAAAUGAUUAAAAGAUAUGGUACCAAUCAUUAUUAAUUAUUUAAAGUAAAUAACUUACAUUUAAAUUAUUGUUUUUUAAUAAUAAAGAUAUAUAUAUAUAUAUCUUAAAAUUAAUUUAAAUUAUUUUAUUAAUAAAAAAUUAAUUCAUUCAUUGUCUUUAAAAAAAAAUUAUCUCUUUCAUGGUUUUAGUUAUAAGACUUGUAAAUUUUAUUUUUAAAAUAAUUAUUAAUAAUAAAUAAUAUUAAAAUUCAAAAUUCUUGUUAAAAAAAGUAGACCCCAUUUUGGGCCCCCUUUUCACAUCUUUUUUGGGACCACUUGGAUUGGAGACAACAUAUUCUCUUCUAGUCCCUGCAGAUGGUUGUUACAGGAAAGAGAGGACAAGGCUGCGAGGGUAGGAUAUGUUGUUGUAGAGAUAUUUCGAGAGGGUGACUGGCUAGGAGGCGAACCAAAAAAGAAGAAGUUCUACGGAGAAAAGAGGGGCUGAAGAAUUUCUACGGAAGGAAAGGGCAAAACAAUUAAAAAAGGAAAAAAGAAAAAAGAAAAAAAUAUCAAUUUUUCAAAUAAAAGGUGAUUGAUAUGAAAAACAUGGAUUCACAAUUAUAUUAAUACAUAAUAUAUUAUAAUAAUAUAAAAUUAUCUUUUAUAUUUUUUUAAAUAAUUUAUAUUUUUAUAUUUUUAUAAUUAAGUGGUUAACUUAAUUUUUAUAUUUAUAUUAUAUAUUAAAAAACAAUAAUUUAAAUGUAAGUUAUUUACUUUAAAUACCUUAAAAUUAAUUAAAAUAUGAUAUUAAUUAAUAAAUAAUACUUAUAAAUAGAUAAAUCAACUAUAUUUUUAUAGACCCCAUUUUGGGCCCCCUUUUCACAUCUUUUUUGGGACCACUUGGAUUGGAGAUAGCAUAUUCUCUCCUAGUCCCUGCAGAUGGUUGUUACAGGAAAGAGAGAGUAAGGCUGCGAGGGUAGGAUAUGUUGCUGUAGAGAUAUUUCGAGAGUGUGGCUGGCUAGGAGGCGAACCAAAAAAGAAAAAGUUCUACGGAGAAAAGAGGGGCUGAAGAAUUUCUACGGAAGGAAAGGGCAAAUGUGAAAAUUGGAAUUUUGGAAAUUGGAAACUAGAAUUUGGAAGAAUUAGUUAAAGAUAAAAUUUUAAAAAUGAAUAAAUAAAUAAAUAAAAUAAAAUAAUAAUUACAAAAAUAAUAGUGAUUAAAUGAAUAAAUGUGAAAAUUGGAAUUUUGGAAAUUGGGAAUUAGAUUUGGAGGUCAGAAUUUUGAAGGAUUAUUUAAAGAUAGAAUUUUAAAAUAAAUAAUAAAUAUAAUAANNNNNNNNNNNNNNNNNNNNNNNNNNNNNNNNNNNNNNNNNNNNNNNNNNNNNNNNNNNNNNNNNNNNNNNNNNNNNNNNNNNNNNNNNNNNNNNNNNNNGAAUUUUGAAGGAUUAUUUAAAGAUAGAAUUUUAAAAAUAAAUAAAUAAAAUAAUAAUAAUAACGAUUAAAUAAAUGAAUGCGAAAAAUGAAAUUUUGGAGAUUGGAAAUUAAAUUGGGAAAUCGGAAUUUUGAAAAAUUAUUUAAAGGUGGAAUUUAAAAUAAAUAAAUAAAAUAAUAAUAAUAACGAGAAUAAUAAUGAUUAAAUAAAUAAAUGUGAAAAUUGAAAUUUUAGAAAUUGGAACUUAAAUUUGGAAAUAAGAAUUUUGAAGAUAUUUAUUUAAAGAUGAAAUUUAAGGAAAUCAAACCUUGACACGUGAUAGAAAAGGUGAAAAAAAAAAUAACAAUAAUUCACCAUGCCACGUAGAGAACUUAAAGUGCUCUUGCCACUAAUAAAACCUCAUGCCACAAUACACCAAAUCAAGAAAAGGAAGGCCAUCACUACCCGCCACCCAUUUUUUAAAUAAUAAAAAUAAAUCCUUCAGGAAUUGCCAUUCCACUACCAACUCUAUCCACUUUACUCUUUUAAAAAUUCUUCUGUUGUGCUCUUCUAAAUCAAGCAAAAAACACAGAGAGGCUGAGAGGGGUCAUCCUUCCAAACUGCCUUAGAAUUGCUACAAUAGAGGAGCCACUAUGUGAACAAAGCAGCAUCUCUCUGAUAUGACCAUGAAAGAACCCAGGACAUCCUGAACAAGGAGAAAAUCAAUGCCCAUAAACUAGAAGGCCAUCACAAAGAAUGACUAAUGAGGAUGUGCUCCACCAGCUCCAUCAAAUGCAAGCGGAUAUUGCUAGCUCACAAAACUGCUACUUUAUGCACCAUGACCAAAGAAGGCAGAUUUGAGGACAAGUGAACGGACUUUGGAAGCACAUGGCUGUGAAGCCAAGCUUAACCCAACACCAAUGGGGACUUUUGUAGCCUUUUUUUUUUUUUUUGGGAAACAGAUUUCUAAAGAGAGAAAGUGUAGGAAAAUGUGAGGGUUUUCCACUCCCACACCUUUGAUUGUUUGGGUUCAUUCUUCUUGUCUCUUCUUCCUGGUUUGUGGUGUGUGAAGGAAAUGAAAACGGCCGUGCAUGCAAGUUCUUUUGCAUGAGUGAGAAACGAGCAGUGGGGCAACUGGGUGUGAUGGGUAGCCAUGCAUAUGGCUUCAUGCACGUGAGAAAAGGGUGGGAAUGAGCUGAAAAUGAGUAUUGGUGGGAGAAAUGGGUCUCAUGGCCAUUUGAAAAAUGGGGACGUGGUGUAGAGAGAGAAGAUGGUGGUGAUGGGUAUGUCGGUAAGAAGGAUGAUGAGGUGAGGGUGACCAUGCAUUUUGGACCUCAUGCACAUGGGGAAAUGGUGGAAGUAAGUUGAAGGUGGGUUAGAUGGGCGGGCAAGAAGGGUGGUGGAGUGAUGAGGAUUAAGCAAACACUAGAACAUAAAACACAUGAUGAUACGGAACCCCAUUACAGGUGACACCCAUAAGCUUAAAGUGAGUGAGAUUAACAAAGAAAAUAAAUAAGGGUCCCAUAUGUCAAGCUUCAGAAAUGAACUCAUGCAUCAAUCUUGUACAAAGAAAGGCAAAGGAACUCUAAAAACGGAGCAUGCACAUGGAAGAAUAAAUUCGACCAAGACAAAUAAAUGACUCUUCCUAUCCAUAUUGAAACAAGAAGUUGAUGCCCAAAAAAUAAUAAAAAAAUAAAGUUGAAAAUGAGAAUAAAAAGCCCUGUGGAAGUCAGAAAACAAGGAGCUAUAUUAGUCAAACCUGGAAGGCCCUCCUCAAGCAAAAAGUUGCUCGUCUUCGAGCUCCCCUACCCUGAGAAUGAUUUCUUCUUUCUCUCAAUUGCUUGCCUACUCCAACUUUCUUCCUCCUCAAGUUGCUUUCUAAGGCUCUUCACUAGUUCACUCUCCAGUUCUCUUCAUGUGCUCUCAGCUGGUAUCUCUCUCAAAAUCGUUCCCUCGUAACUACAAAAAACUUUUUUUUUUCUCAUAUCCUCCGUUUGCUAUGUCAAAAAAAUCUUCUUUUUUUUUUUUUCUAAAAGUCCCCCAGCCAGCUCGCAGAACACGCUCCCCCUGUCCCUUACAGCUCACCCCUCCUCUAUAACCCACCACUUUUUUUUUUUUUCUUUUUCUUUUUUUUUUUUUUUUCAGUUUCUUCCUUUUCAAAUGGUUGUCCCCUUUGUACCAAGCAACUUACCUCUUCUUUUCCUUCCUGCUUCCCGUCCUCUUUAGCUGCCCAAUACAACACAUCCAUCAGUCUUCUUUGGUUGCUAGUCUUGUCUAGCCGUCCCUUACAGCACAUUCUCGAGUUGAUGAAGAAGAAGAUAUAAUAAAAUAGUAAUAAAAAAACCAAAGAAAUGCCCCCAUCUGAGGGGGUCCACACAAUCACAUAAAUAACAAAUCUUUAUGGAUGAUUAAUUUAAAAAUGGAGAUCAAAAUAACUUUUUUUUUUACAUAUCAGGAUAAUUUCGAUUUAUAUGAUUUAAGAAAAAUAUAUCACAUAUAAUAUAAAUAUAAAAAUUAAGUUAACCACUUAAUUAUAAAAAUAUAAAUUAUUUAAAAAAAUAUAAAAGAUAAUUUUAUAUUAUUAUAAUAUAUUAUGUAUUAAUAUAAUUGUGAAUCCGUGUUUUUCAUAUCAAUCACCUUUUAUUUGAAAAUUUGAUAUUUUUUUUCUUUUUUCUUUUUUCUUUUUUUAAUUGUUUUCUCCUUUCCUUCUACAGAAAUUCUUCAGCCCCUCUUUUCUCCGUAGAACUUUUUCUUUUUUGGUUCGCCUCCUAGCCAGCCACCCUCUCGAAAUAUCUCUGCAGCAACAUAUCCUACCCUCGCAACCUUACCCUCUCUUUCCUGUAACAACCAUCUGUAGGGACUAGGAGAGAAUAUGUUGUCUCCAAUCCAAGUGGUCCCAAAAAAGAUGUGAAAAGGGGGCCCAAAAUGGGGUCUAUAAAAAUAUAGUUGAUUUAUCUAUUUAUAAGUAUUAUUUAUUAAUUAAUAUCAUAUUUUAAUUAAUUUUAAGGUAUUUAAAGUAAAUAACUUACAUUUAAAUUAUUGUUUUUUAAUAAUGAAGAUAUAUAUAUAUAUAUAUAUAUAUAUAUAUAUAUAUAUAUAUAUCUUUUAAAAUUAAUUUAAAUUAUUUUAUUAAUAAAAAAUUAAUUCAUUCAUUGUCUUUAAAAAAAAUUAUCUCUUUCAUGGUUUUAGUUAUAAGACUUGUAAAUUUUAUUUUUAAAAUAAUUAUUAAUAAUAAAUAAUAUGAAAAUUCAAAAUUCUUGUUAAAAAAAGUAAAAUGAUUAAAAGAUAUGGUACCAAUCAUUAUUAAUUAUUAAAAAUUAAUUUUUAAAUAUUAAAUUAUUAAUUUUAUCAUUAGAAUUAUCAUAAUAAAUUUGAAUUUGUAAUAGUAAUAAAUGAAAGACUAAAAGUAAAAUAAGUAUAUAUGACAAAUUUAUGGAUUUGCCAAACAUAAUGAAAAAAAAAAAAGUUAUUUACUCUUAAAAAUAUUUUUUCAAACAUUAAAUGAUAAUUUUCAGAUUUCUUAGAAUUAUUAUAAUAAUUUUAAGUUAUAAAAUUUUAUUUGAAUUAAAUUUUAGGUCAUUAUGAAAAAUAAAAAUAAAAAUAAAUUCAUAUGUGAGCUUUAAUUUUUAUCCAAUAUAAAAAACUGAAUAUAUUUUUUAAAAAUAUUAAAUUAUUGAUAUUUUAUGAAUUUAAUAUAUGGAGUGAUAGUGAAUAAGAAAAGUAUAAAAGAUAUGGUUAUAAAAUUAUAAAAAAAAAUAAAUAAAUCAACAUCAUAUCAUUGACUAAAACUAUAAAAAAAAAAAAAUAAAUCAACAUCAUAUCAUUGACCCACAUGCGCCAUUAGUUUCAUAUGGUAUAGGAGGGGAGAGAAGAAGUGGGUGGGUGAGGGUUGGUGGAGGAGAAAAAGGAAGAGAUAGGAAAGAGGAAAAAUAAAAUAAUAAAGAAAAAAAUAAAUAAUAUAAUAUAAUAUAAUAAUAAUAAUAAUAAUAGCAACAAAUAAAAUGAAUAAAUAAAAAUAAAAAAUAAAAAAAUAAAAAAACAUAAGAAAAGAAUUUGAAAAAUAAUGAAAACUAAAAAUUAAAGGGUGAGUGUGUCAAAAAAACACAUGUAAUUGAAAUUUAAAAUUGAGCUCAAAAUUAAUAUAAAAAUAAAAUUAGGACAAAUUUUAGGGUGUACAAGUUGAUUUAUCUAUUUAUAAGUAUUAUUUAUUAAUUAAUAUUAUAUUUUAAUUUUUUUAUUUUAUAUAUUAUUUUAAUUCAUUUUAAGUUAUUUAACGUAAAUAACUUACAAUUAAAUUAUUAUUUUUUAAUAAUGAAUAUAUAUAUAUAACUCUUAAAAUUAAUUUAAAUUAUUUCAUUAGCAAAAAAAAUAAUUCAUUCAUUGUCUUUAAAAAGGUUAUCUCUUUCGGGGUUCACUUAUAAGACUUGUAAAUUUUAUUUUUAAAAUAAUUAUUAAUAAUAAAUAAUAUUAAAAUUCAAAAUUCUUGUUAAAAAAAAGUAAAAUGAUUAAAAGAUAUGGAACCAAUCAUUAUUAAUUAUUAAAAAUUAAUAACUUAAAUUAAUUUUUAAAUAUUUAAAUUAUUAAUAUUUAAAAAUUUUAUCAUUAGAAUUAUCAUAAUAAAUAUGAAUUUCAUAAUAGUAAUAAAUGAAAGACUAAAAGUAAAAUAAGUAUAAAUAACAAAUUUAUGGUUUUGUCAAACAUUAUGAAAAAAAAAAAAGUUAUUUACUCUUAAAAAUAUUUUUUCAAACAUUAAAUGAUAUUUUUCAGAUUUCUUAGAAUUAUUAUAAUAAUUUUAAGUUAGAAAAUUUUAUUUGAAUUAAAUUUUAGGUCAUUAUGAAAAAUAAGAAAAAAAUAAAUUCAUAUGUGAGUUUUAAUUUUUAUCCUACAUAAAAAACUAAAUAUUUUUUAAAAAUAUUAAAUUAUUGAUAUUUUAUGAAUUUAAUAUCUGGAGUGAUAGUGAAUAAGAAAAAUAAAAAAGAUAUGGUUAUAAAAUUAUAAAAAAAUAAAUCAACAUCAUAUCAUUGACCCACAUGCGCCAUUAGUUUCAUAUAGUAACUAAAGCUACUUUAAAAUUUCUUUUUUGUUACGUGUCUGAUUUUCCAUGCCAUAAAUUUCCUGGGAAUUCAUCCUUUAGAAAGAAAGGAAAAGUAAUGCGCAGCCAUGAACGUACCUUCGUGUGGUUGAACAUUCAAAGCUUCUCCUCUUUAAAAACCUCCCUUAAACCCCUCGCUCCAACUCAUUCAAUUCAGUGUAAAGCGAACCAGCCAUUGCUACAGAGGGAAUCCAUGGAUUCGUCGUCUCUUCUCCUCUUGUUGUUGCUGGGUUUCUUUUGUUUUGCUGAGUUCACAUCCCAUGCUCAACUUAUUCCAGAAGAUGAAGGUAUCACCACUGUAAUCUCACUUGUUCGUUCCAUUUCUGGGGAAAAUGAAACUUGGGUUUUGUUGUUAAAGAAAUCUGGGGAAAAAGAGAAGUAAAUUUGGUCUUUUCGAGCCAUCUGUGCUUUGUUUAAUACUUCACUGCUAUAAUUUUUUGGAAUCUUGUGGAUUUCUCAUGGUUUGCGAGAAUUUUGACAUUUCUGUUUGUCUCACAGUUCUUUAAAUUUUAUGAUGCUCUGGGAAUUCUUAUGGAAACAGAAAAGCAGGCAUAUCAGAUUAUGUUUUAUUUUCUUUUUUCAAAUUUUCCUCUGCUUUCUCUGCUCCCAAACGUUGGCUUAUAUCAUUCUGCUGGAAAAUUGUUUGUGCCUCUGAGCCAUAGCGAAUUUUUUAUCUGAAACGAUAAGCCAUCUUUAGUUACCGGGAAAUAAGAAAUUUUAAAAUAUAUAAAAUUUUAAUUAAUUUAAUUAUAUUUUAUUUUCUUUCGUAUUUAUACACUUGAAAACAAAUGCGAGAAAGCUAGCAUUUUUUUUCUUAUUUAAAAAAAAAAGUCAAUUUAUUUAUUUAUAUUUAUAUUUGUAUUUAUUACCAUGGUGGCAAUGCCAUUUUAUUAAGGAAAAUACAUAUAUUUAUUUUAGUAUUUGGACUUUAUUUCCAUUGAAUUAUUACCUAUAUUGUCAGGAAAUGGUAGAAAAAGAAUGGAAUGAGUCCACUUGAAUUAUCAGACCAUAUUGAAUUCAUCUCUGAGUCAGUCCCAGGUCCACUUCCUGGACUUUGCGCCCACCUAAAUUAAUCUUUAGGCCCACCAAUUUGUCUUGAUUCCAUGGUUGUUUGGAAUAAGGAAAUCGGGUUGCGUGUGGAAAAUUGGAUGAGUCAGGGAUUGUUGUUGAUUGGUAGUGUCGGUGUGAUAUCUACUGGUCUUCAAAGUCAAAGGCAGAAGAAGAACAUUGAUAUGGAUAGGUCUUGACCAUAUGAAAAGCAUAUUUUGGACUAAAAAUACACGUACCAUACAUGUGCCUUUGUUUGAAAAUAAUUAUGAAAAAUAGGUAUUUUGUCAAUUGUUUUUUUGUUUUUUAGGAAAAAAAAUGAAUAAGAAAAUAUAUUUCACAACCAAAAAAUAAAAAAUUGAAAAUAAAUUUAUGUUCUUAAAAACUGAAAAAUAAAAUAUUUUUAGAAAAUAUUUUUUUACUGUUUUCACUUGUUUUGUGAUAAUCAUUUUAAAAACUAAUUAUACAAAUAUAAAAAAAAUAAAACACUAUAAAUAAAAAUUAUUUUAAAAAUAUAAAAAAUAUGUUAACGUUUUAAUUUCCUAAAGAGACUUUUGUACUACAAAAUAUUAUAAAAUAAUUUUGAGAAAAUGUUUUUCAAAACUGUUUUCGAAAAUACUUCCCAAAUAAAGCUUAACUUUUGAAAACUAUUCUAUGAUAAUUUGUUAAAACAAAAUUUUGCUUUGAAACUUAAAACAUUUUUAAUCUGUUUUAUAUGUUUUGAAAAAUAGUUCUUCUCUCAUAUUUUGUAAAACAAAAAUUUGUUAGGAAUUUAAAAUAUUUUAAACCUAUUUUUUAUUUUUUAAAAUUUUUAUAUAACGUCUUUGUAUAAUUAUUUUUUAAAUCAUCUAUUAGAAAAUACCAUAUUUUUUGUUUUUUGAUUGUCAAACAUGUUUUCCUUUUUUUUAUUCUUAGAAACAUAGACAAGUAGGUCAUUCAUGCAGCUUACAUGGUGUGAUCACUUCAAAGGAGAGGUCAUAUGCAAUUAAAAUUUAAUGUAGUAUAAAUUAUUGGCUUGUUUUAGUAGAGGUUUGGCGAGUGUCAUCAAUAGUGCUUUAAAAUUUGGUAAUAUUAGAAGUCACUUUAAGAUUGGAAUUGAUUGUAGAGGAUUACACUUCAUAGAGUUGUUAUCAUUAGUCAUUCUUUUUCUGUACAUUCAUAAAUCCUUAUAACUGAUCAUUUUGUAUCUGCUCUGUAACAGUGCAAACUCUUAGAACAAUAUUCACAAAGCUAAACUACAAAUAUUGGAACAUAAGCCAAACUUCAUGCAGUGGAGGUUUCAAUCGAACCAUCGAUGAUAAUAGUUACAGCAAUGUCGCAUGCAACUGCACCUUCAACAAAGGAAAUGUUUGCCAUGUCACAAACAUGUAUGAUUUUAUUUUCUUGUUCUUCCCUGACAUAAUAUAUAUAUAAAAAAUUCAAUCCAUUAGAUUAAUGGAAAAGUAAUUGCAUGAGUAUAUGGAAUGGAAUAUUAUUUGCUUAAUGUUAAUAGGAAAGAAUUAGUGACAUCUUUGGAUUACAUAGGCAUUAUUUUUCCUUUCUAUCUCUUUGCAAGGCCAUUUGAUUUGUGUGCUUUGUUAAAUUCCCAUUGCAUUCAUGUACUAAAACCUUUUUUUUUUCAUGCAAAAUGAAUUGCCUAAAGUCUAGUGAAUAAAAGCCUUGUCUUUGUUUUAUAUUGAUUCAGUUUCGAUCUCUUGAACUUGAUUUGCAAAUUCCUUGUUUCCAUAUCAAUUAUCAUACGUUAGUGAGCAAUUAAUUCUAUCAUUAAGUCCACUUUCUAGUGGCUGAAUGAAAUGGCCCAAUGCAACUAGAGCUUGUGGAUUUUCACUUGUUCAUAAUGCCAGAGUGCUAAAGAGUAAAUGUUGGUUCCCACACUAUUCGAUCAAAGCUUCAAAUGAUUGUUUACAUUGAUUACUAGGUUUCCUGCCAUAAGUUUGACCUUUUUCACUUUUGAAGAUGAAAUUGAACGUCCAUUUUUUAUUAUACAUAUUAUAAUAUAUGGUUAAAAGAACACUUUGAAGAUCGAUCUAUAAAAGAAUUGAUAUGGUUUGAUUCCUCAAUUGAAUCAAUAGUAUCUCUAGAGUCCGCUUCUUCCCAAUACUAUGCGUGCAAAGAGAAAAAGUAAGGACUACCAUUAAAGCAGUCCAAGCAAGACUUAGAGCGCGUUUGAAAGUGUUUUUAUUUGAAGUAUUUUUAAUUUAAGUGUUUUUGAGAUAAUCACAUAUCAAAUAUUUCUCCAAAAAGUACUACUAGUGAUUUUUCAACUUUUUAAAAGUACUUGCCGAAUUUUGCCAAACGCCUUAUUUUUCUUUACAAACGCCUUUUAUGCUAGAAGUGCUUUCUCAAAUAGUGGAAUCAAUAGCAUAAGUCAAAAAAGGAUUAUGACCAACUACAUUGAUGAACCAAUCCUAUAAAUCCACUUAUGAUAAAACAAGUCCUUAUAGGAUUUCUAGUAGAGUCAGAAAACAUUAAGCAGAAGCACAAUAUGCUUGGGUAUGAGAACUUUAGCCUGACUACCAAGUCUAAUUAUUUUGUUAUACGUCAGUUGUACUUUUCAUUUUCUUAUUUUUUACUUCCUUUUGUGAAUUACAGCCAGCUGAAGGGUCUUGAUUUGGAUGGAACUUUACCUGAUGAGUUUGGAAAUCUUUCUUAUCUGCAAGAACUGUAAGUGACAUGUUUCUCAACAUUGGGAAGUCAAUGGACCAAAUUUGCCUUGAUGUUUCAUUGGGUUUUUCAACUUAUCAAACAAAUUUCUUAACUCACCAAUACCUUAAUCCCUACUACAUGGGGUUGCAGUUUCACUAAAUUAUAGAGGUUAGUUCACUUCUGAUGUGUUUGAAUAUCCCAUGAAAUUAAGUUAGACCAUUGUGUUUCAAAUAACAUUCAAAACAAGUCCAUUGCGUUUACUAUAGUAUUUACAUGAUUUUAUUGCCUUUUUAAAAAAAAAUAAUAAUAAUAAUAAUAAGUGCAGGCAAAGAUUAAAACAAAUGAUCUCAUUUCACUUUUGUUGUGGUGAUUACCAAUUUUUGUGUUUUCUAGUAAUAGUAAUAGACUGGAUAAACUGUCAUGAAAAUUAUUUGAUCAUCAUCAUCAGAUUCAGUUUUUGAUAUUGUACAGUCAUCUCCAGUAUCUGACUUGAACCCAAAUGAGGGAUUCUUCUUUUAUCCGGUGACCAUGUAAAAUUAAAAUAUACUAAGGGAUUCUUUUUUUUUACUAAAGCAGUGAUCUCUCCCGAAACUAUAUCAAUGGAUCGAUCCCUACAAGUCUCGGUCGGCUUUCUCUUACCAUUCUGUAAGUUCUGAUUAAUUGCAUUUGCACUUGUGAGGUGAGGGUCUUGUUUUCCAGUAAUUUACUAAGUACUUCAUAGUUGGGAAAGUUUAACUUUUGGUACACUGCAGUGCUCUUGUUGGAAACAGAAUCUCUGGGUCGAUUCCUGAAGUAAUCAGUAAUAUCAGUACACUUGAGGAGCUGUAAGUCAUGAAACGGAGUUGAAUGUCUAUUAGAGAAAUUAAUGAUGCCCAACCUUGAUUAUAAAUCCAAAUUUACUUUUCCAGGGUCUUGGAAGCUAAUCAGCUUGGAGAACAUCUCCCUCCAAGUCUUGGAAAGUUGAGUCAUUUAAGGAGACUGUAAGAAUGUUGUUCUCAUCCCUUUCCUUAUAUGCAUAUUAAUUAUUCAUUUCUUUUAUUUCAAAUAAUCACCAAGUCCUUGUAUUCUGGUUGUAGUCUUAGCUGCCAAAAUGCCCAAAAUCAAUUUGAGGAAGCUAAUUUUUUGAGUCAAAGACUUUUAUAAUGCAUUUUGUGUGAUGAAAUGACUCAUGGAUAUGGUGAUUGUAUACUGGUUGAGUUCAUUUUCAGUUGCACGAUUGCUUAUUUUUUAGUUCAUUUACAUCGAGUUAAUGAAAAUAAUGGGAAGAUGGAUUUUCAUAUAUCUGAAAGUGCAAUCUACCUUUUUUGUUCUUUUAUCUCCAGGGUGAAUCAUGAGAAAUAUUUAUAACCAAGAACACAAAUAUAGGCAAAUAUGGCUAUGAACUAGGCGGUUUUUAUGGACUGACAGAUGGAAAUUCAUAUAGGCUAUUUCUAUUUUUCUAACAUUAAGAAACCAAGUUUAGUAUUCAUUAAUUCAUCCUAUGAUGAAAUGGAGAUGUAGAGCAUGAUUUGUAAUGCUUCAUAGAGAAUAGAAGUAAAGAUGAUAAGGACUAAUCUGCUGGGUAUUUACACAUUGUGUUUUUAAUGCCAAAGUUCAUCAUUUGGGAAGUUACUUUGUUUUGGAGGGUGAUUAACAUUGUUGGGGAAUUAUUUUUUCUUAAUGUUUUCAACAAAAGACUUUGCAUUGACCAUCUAUUCUGGUUCUGUUGUCUAAUAACUAUUUCCAAGGAAUUCAUUUGUUUUUUUCUUUCGGUGCUCCUACAGUGUUCUUUCUGCAAACAAUUUCACAGGAACAAUACCAGAAAAUUUUCACAAUCUCAAGAACCUAACUGAUUUGUAAGUGGUGUAAUUAUUUGGACAUUUAUCCUUUUAUGCAAAUUUAGCAUUUUCUGAACUGCAUGUACCAUUUGUAGUAGGAUAGAUGGGAAUAAUUUAUCUGGGAAGAUACCAGAUUGGAUUGGGAAUUGGACCAAACUUGAGAAACUGUGAGUGUUAUACUUCAUUUCAUUUAUCUGCCAUUUUGUCCACUUAGAAAAAUUUCAUACAAACUCAGCUAAAUUCUCUAGUAAUCUAUAAACAUAUUAAACUGUUGCAGGUAUCUGCAAGGCACAUCAAUGGACGGGCCCAUUCCUUCUAUUAUAUCCCAGUUGAAAAACUUAACCGAGUUGUGAGCAUGUGUUCCACUAUCUAAUAGUUGCUGUAUUCAGUUCAUGAUGUUAUUCAAGAUUAAAAUUCAAUUCAUAGAAAUGUAAUUAUUUAAUUUGUUUUGUUGUAUCUUAAUCAUCAGGUUAAUAUCUGAUUUGAGUGGACCGAUUACAUCUUUCCCCAAUUUGAAGGAUAUGAACAAAUUAAAAACAUUGUGAGUUGAAGAUAGAUAUAUUUCAUGAAUCAUGACAAGCUGCAGUCCUAAGUUAUCCACAUUAUGUUCCAUUAACUUAUCAAGAUGUUUUACCUCAUUUGUGUUAUGCAGGGUGAUGAGAAAUUGCUCCAUUACAGGUGAAAUCCCAGAAGACAUUGGAAAUAUUGAAAGUUUAAAACUUUUGUAAGUUUUUUUGAAUGGACAUUCUUAGAGAUGUUCUUAAUUUUCUUCAUUGGUAUAUAUGUAUGUAUGUAAGAAGAAGAAAAAUAUAAUCAGGAUAUAAUUCUCCUAUGGCAUACAAUCAGUACAUUACAUGGUUGUAUGGAAACAACUUUUCUGAUUCAUGUUGAACUUUUUUCUUGCAGAGACCUGAGCUUCAACAGACUGAGUGGUACAAUUCCAAAGAGCUUUAAGCAAGAAAAGAAGGUGAAAACAAAACUCGAUUUCAUGUAAGUUAAAUACUUGUAAUAAAGUACAAGUCUAAAUAUCCAGAAAUCUACAUUUUAUUGGCUCCUUAACCAGUCAUUUUUAUCCAUUAAUAACUUGUUUAAUUAUAACUGAGAUAUGGUGCUAUCUAUGUACACAGGUUUCUCACCAACAACUCACUGACUGGAGAAGUGCCCAGCUGGAUAAGAUCGGACACUGAAAACAAAAUGUUAGUAUUUCUCAGUCUCCAGUUGUUCUGAUUUGGCUAUGAUAUCAUUCAUGUAUUGUACAAUGUUACAUACACAUGUGGUCUCUUUUUAUCAGUGGUUCUUUGAAACCAAAUUAAUAUUUGAGUCUCUCGUUCAAUCAAGAAAUAUAACACUAACUCCAUUUCAAUCUCGGUUGCAGUGAUUUAUCUUACAACAAUUUUACAGGGCCACGGCUUGAUUCUUGCAAACACCAAGUGUAAGCUUUCUUCCUUCCAUUAUUUGUACAUUUGGUUCUGUUUUUCCCUCAUCUUCUUGAAACAUUUUUUCACAACUCCACAGGAACUUGGUUUCCAGCUAUGCAUCUUCAGCAAGAAACAUGUAAGUUCUUCCAACCUUGUUUUACAUGUGCAUUCAGCAUUAGAAUUAUAAACAGGAGACUGAAUCAUAGUUCAACUUUCUAGGACCCCUUGGUGCUUACAGAAGGAUCUCCCUUGCUCUAGAAAAGCCAAAUGUAAGCUUUUGUAACCUAUUGUACUCUGUUAGUAUGAAGUGGCAAAUAAGUUGAAUCUCUGCCUUGAUUCCAGUUACAUUUAAUUGCAGACUAUUCCUUGUAUAUCAAUUGUGGAGGAGAGGAAACAACUUUUAAAGGGAAGACAUAUGAAAAAGACAAUAAUGUUGAGGGUGCAUCACAGUUCUUUACUGAUAGUCUAGACAAAUGGGCUUAUAGCAGUACAGGGGUUUUCAUAGGCAACCGGCAUGGUAGUCACCUAGCUAAAAACGAAUCUGCUUUGAACUCAAAGGAUGCAGAGAUCUACCAAACUGCUCGUCUUGCUCCCAUCUCACUCAAGUAUUAUGGGCUUUGCUUGCAAAAGGGCAAUUAUAAAGUGCGACUCUACUUUGCUGAAAUCAUGUUUUUUACUAACCAGACAUUUGGUAGCCCUGGGAAGCGCUUGUUCGAUGUUUCAAUUCAAGUGAGUGAAAAUAUCAAUUUCAUUAUCUCUAUUCCAAAUAUGUAAAGAACUGACUGUACUUUUCUACAGGGGAAUGUAGUUUUGAAGGAUUUUAAUAUCAUGGAAGAAGCUAAAGGUGCUGGUAAGGGCAUUUAUAAGGAUUUUGAUGCCUCUGUUGAUGGUAGCACUCUGGAGAUCCACUUAUACUGGACAGGCAAAGGGACUAAUUCCAUUCCGGAUGAAGGUGUAUAUGGGCCUCUUAUAUCUGCUAUUGCAGUGACACCAAGUGAGCUUAUCUCAUAUUCCAGGUUUUACUACUUUUCUCGCCACUAGCUUGUCAUGGUGUUAUAUAUCUUACUGUUCUUGUAGAAUUCAAUCCCAACCCGGGGCUGUCUGUUGGAGGUAUCAUCGGCAUUGUGAUACCUUCAUGUGUGGUCCUCAUAUUGAUUUUGGUACUCUUACGAAUGAAAGGCUACUUAGGAGGAAAAGACCUUGAAGAUAGAGGUGAGAUUAAUCAUGCAGGAAAUUUGUGACUGUAAUGCCUUAUCUCUUUGAAAUUGUGACAAUACUUUGUGUGCUUGUUUUUCACCAAUUUUAUUUCACUUGUUACAGAACUACGUGAGCUAGGGAUGCAAACUGGUUAUUUUAGUUUACGACAGAUCAAAGCUGCUACCAAUAACUUUGACUCUGCAAAUAAGAUUGGUGAAGGUGGAUUUGGGCCAGUUUACAAGGUAGUUACAGAUUUGGAUUUUCCUUUAACAACUGUAUACUAAAGCAGUGAUUAAGAGGGAAAUGCAAUGCUUUUCUGCAGCUAUCUCACAUCCUUGCAUUAUCUGAAUUCAUGAUCCAAAAUUUUGUCCUGCUUGAUCUUAGGGUGUACUGUCAGAUGGUUCAGUAAGUGCUGUUAAGCAGCUCUCUUCUAAAUCGAAGCAAGGGAACCGAGAAUUUGUAAACGAAAUAGGCAUGAUAUCUGCCUUACAACACCCAAAUCUUGUGAAGCUUUAUGGCUGUUGUAUCGAAGGAAACCAGUUGUUGCUCAUAUACGAAUAUUUGGAAAACAAUAGUCUUGCACGUGCACUUUUUGGUAAAUGCUUCACUACGAUUUUGUAUUCCAUUUUAUUAUAUUUCAACAAUGAAUAUUAUGACUUAAGCCUCUACCUCGACCACUUGUAGGUUCUGAUGAACAGCGGCUAAAUUUGGACUGGCCAACUAGGAAGAAGAUAUGCUUGGGGAUAGCAAGGGGAUUGGCAUAUCUUCAUGAAGAGUCAAGAUUGAAAAUUGUUCAUAGAGAUAUAAAGGCAACAAAUGUGCUGCUUGAUAAGAAUCUAAAUGCUAAGAUAUCCGACUUUGGCUUGGCUAAGCUGGAUGAAGACGAGAACACCCAUAUCAGCACACGGAUAGCUGGAACAAUGUGAGUGUUUUCGCUCAUUUCCUCCUGUUAUUAGCUUCCCUAUAUCAAAUUUGUAUAUGAUAUAAGAUUAUAACUUUGGUGCUGAAAAUGUGGAGAUUAAUUUCUUCUAUGCAUUUGAAUUCAUGUCAGAUAAAUAAUAAAUUGAUACAAUGAGAUGGAAAACUUAAUCAAACACUGAAAUAUGGAAUUUCUAAGUAGCAGUUCUUUUUUCCAUUUUAGGUUUAAAAAGCUCAUUCUCUUCAUUGUUUAUUCUGUAAAGUCGAUUGUUGAAACAGCUCUAGAAAGGUCCAACUAUUAUUGAGAAUUUGUUACUACAAAAUCUGAAGCUACAAAAUCUGAAGCAUCAGUGGCUUCGAGGCAUAAGUUGUCAAUCCUCUUUCUCUGGUUUUGGAGAAGCAGAAUUUAGUAAGACUGUCGAGUUUCUGAAGUGGGUUCAUGCAUAUACAGAAAAUUUUGCCUCUCAAAUAUGGUUGAUUAGUUCUUCUUGUCCUCUUUCCAACAAUAAUUUUGUGCAUAUAUUGAUUAUAUGUAUAGCACAAGACUCACCAUUGAGCUGCUGAUUUUUCUUCAGAGGAUACAUGGCUCCUGAAUAUGCAACGAGGGGUUACUUGACCGACAAAGCUGAUGUUUACAGCUUUGGAAUUGUUGCUUUAGAGAUUGUCAGCGGGAAAAGCAACACCAAUUACAGGCCAAAGGAAGAGUUUGUUUAUCUUCUUGAUUGGGUAAACAAUGGAUUCUUGCUCAUCCUUUUUGCUAUAUUUUUUCUGACCAUAUGUGCUUAUAAUGAAGAACGUGUUUCGGGUUCUACAUUGGACUGCAGGCUUAUGUCCUGCACGAGCAGGGAAAUCUUCUGGAGCUGGUGGAUCCAAGUCUUGGUUCAAACUACUCAGAGGAGGAGGUGAUGAGGAUGCUGAACUUGGCCCUCUUAUGCACCAACCAAUCUCCCACUCUCAGGCCACCCAUGUCCUCUGUAGUGAGUAUGCUUGACGGCAAAAUUGCAGUCCAAGCACCAACAAUCAAGCAUGAUUCUAUGAACCCGGAUAUGAGAUUCAAAGCCUUUGAGAAGCUCUCACUGGACAGCCAGUCUCAUGUCUCAGCAUUCUCUGUAGACAGUCAGGUCCAAGGCAGCAUAUCACUUGAUGGACCAUGGAUUGAUUCCUCAAUUUCCCUCCAUAGCAGAGAAGAAACAAGGGACUUUUCUUCAUCAAGCAAGCUUCUUACAGGACACCAAGAUCUUUACAGUAUACAUUUGGACUGAUCAAUGAAAAUAUGGUAUAUUAAUAAUACUUCCAAGUUGUUCUGCAAGAAUGUUUUCUGCAAACUAUUUCGAAUUGAUUCUUGAAGUAGUAGAAGCAGAAAUAAGUAUGUUUUGUUGUAUAAUUACAAUAUUUGUAUAAAAUUAUGUGAAUAAGUGCUCCGGUUGAGGCUUGAUGAAGAAAAAUAUUUAUAUUUCUUUAUUUUUCCAACUUACUCCAUGACGGUAACUCAUCAUUCCACAGAGAGAAAUCAGUAUAUAUUUAUUUUAUUUUGUUCAACUUUAUUUCCAUUUUAUCAUCAUUUGUUAUGUAUCCAAAAAAGUUGAUAAACAGAAGGGAAUAAAAGGUUUUACUCUAUUGGGCUUGAGCCCACUUGAAUUAUCAGACCAUACCAAAUCCAAAGCCCAUUUUCUAGGCUUCAGGCCCAACUGAAUUAACUACGACCCCACCAAUUUGUCUUGGUAUGAUGUGGAAUGAGCAUCUCUACUCUAUUGGGGUUUGGGCCCACUUGAAUUGUCACAUUGUUGAAGCUAACUUUGACUCAGUCCAAUGCCAACUUGUUGAGUUGUUCGCCUACCUGAAUUGAGCGGGAGGCCCACCAAUUUUUAUUGAUUUGAGAUUCGAAGAAAUGAUGGUGACAACUAACAUGUGAGAAGAUGAUGUUUUUGUGGUAGAAAAUCAGAAAACCCCUUAGGGUUCUUAGACAAUCAAAGACAUUCAAAGGCACUUGGAAGUUUUUGGUCAGUAAAAGAACUAUAGCGUCAUAUAUCAAAAUUCCUUGAAUGGUUUUGUUAGGUAACAACAGUUUGAUUUAUGUCAUUGCUUUCAAUUCAUUAAUUAACACGAGUUUUGACUCUUGAAAGUGGGUCAAUGAGGGCAAGGGAUGAAAUGUUUGAAGAAUUGCAGUAGUUAAGGGUCCUUUUCUCAUAUAGGCAAGGGAUAAGGUCCCACAAACACAACCUCAGUGAAUAUAUAUAUAUAUGAUUCAUUGCAUAAAAGUCCUUUCCUGUGGGUCAGCUAGGUUGGGUGGUUAGGGUUAAUAGUUGGGCCAGAUGGGUGGGUUAUGGUAUUUGGUUGACUGGUUCCUUGGAUGACAUUGCAUUGUGUAACCCACUGAUGUUGGAAUGUCAAAGGUAGGAAAAAGAAUUAAUCAGUGAUAUGGAUAGUUCUUGACCUUAUGAUUAUAAAAUAAUCUAUAAUGUAGAUUAUUAAAUUUUCAAAAUACAAAAUUUAGAUUAAAUAGGCCUCUAAGACAAGGCAUUGCAAUGCAUGUGAAAUGAUUCAUGUUUUGGAAUAAAAAUAUAUACAUUUUGUAGGCAAUCCAGGGUUCAAAGCAAGUCUUUACUCACUAGCUUUCAGUCCCCAACUUUUGCUGCUCAGUCUUGCAGCAAAGUCCAUGCCUUACUCACAUAGUGUGAUUAGUUCAAAGGAGAUGUCAUAUACAAGUCAAUCUAAUAUGGACUAAAUUAUUGGUUUUUUUUGUAGAGGACUAGUUUUUCGCUUCAUUAGAUGUUACAUAUUUUUGUCGGAAACAAUAUGGUUAAGCUAAAUGGAUAAAAUUCAUGCAGUUGUUCAAUGCAAAAUGUCUAUCAAGUCUUCUGUCCUGGUGAUUGGCCCCUCAUCCAAUAGAAUCCGAUCAUCCCUUUUCCUUGAUUUUGUUGUCCAUCAAACGCAAAAAUUAGACGUUGUCUAGUUUCUGAGGCAAGUUCAUGGAUAUACUGAAAAUUUUAACUCGCAGACAUUGUUGAUUAGCUCUUCUUGUAUCUCUUUGUAAUGUUAAUUUUGUGCACACAUUGCUUGUUAGUAUAUCACAAGACUCAACAUUCAGCUGCUGAUUUUUCUUCAGAGGAUACAUGGCUCCUGAAUACUCGAAGAGGGGUUGCUUAACUGAGGAACAGCAACACCAGUUGCUGGCCAAAGCAGGAGUUUGAUUGUCUUUUCCAUUGGGAUAUCUUUUGGUUUCCUGCACGUCCUUUCUGGACAGUCUUUUCCUCUACAUCUUUAAGUUUCAUUAUCAAUGUCCUCUGUAAUUAGCAUGCUCAAAGGCAAAUCUGCGGUCCAAGCAACGAGCAUCAAGCAUGAUACAAUCAACCCAGGCAUGAGAUUCAAAGCCUUUGAGAAGCUCUCAAUGGACAGCAAGCUUCAUGUCUCAUCAGGUCCAAGGCAGCAUAUCAGUUGAUGGGCCAAGGAUGGAUUCCUCGGUUUCCUUCAAUAGCAGAGAAGACUCGAGGAUUCUUGAUCAAGCAAGCUUCUUACUAGGUCUGGAACAUGGAAGGGAGUUCUUGUCGCUAUUGCCCAGUCCAUUGCUGCUGCAAAUUGCGAGCAUCGAGCAAACCGUGUAGGUAAUCCUCCUGCAACUGAUGAUUAUCACUGUUUUUUUACUGAAUCCGUUGUUGAAAGUGUCCUUAUUCUGGUCCUGCCUUCCUAUGAAAUUUCCUCUUUAAUUUGAAUAAUUUUACCAACCCUAUAUGAGACGGAUGGUGGGAGGUUGGAUGCAUUUGAUGCUUUUCCAAAAUAGAAUGAAUUUUUUCUAAAUUCCAGGUAGAAUAAUAAGUUCUCUAAGGCCAAACAUCACAUGUCAUUGAGUAUGCUAGUUAAACUAAUUCAUUCAGCAAUUAGGUCCAUUACAGAGGGCACUUUGACAGAUUGCGACGGAUUAUUCCAUGCCUUGGCUUCAUUCAAACAUCCGUUGUCAUUAUUAAUGGAUUAUAUCUAUAUUUAAUGUGACGCGUCAUAUAAAUGAGAUGGCCCCCACAGUUGUUAUUUUCCACAUUGUGACAUGACGUGAGUCCUUCCCCUUGGUCCUUUUGGAAUUUGGAUGCUCCUUGUAUUCAGUGGCAAAUUAGUACGGUUGACUAGUCCACGGCCUUUGUUCAUCAUAUCUGGUUUGUUUCCAAAGAUUGAACGACAAAAUUAUCCUUUUUGUUUUAUUUAUAGCUAAAUAUUAAAAAAAGAAAAAAAAGAAAUCAUUAAUAGUUACACAAUAUAAUUAAAAAAAAUUAAAGAAAUUAAAAAGUUAACAUCUUUUAUAUCUUUGGGCAUGAUUAUUUUGUUAAAAUAAAAAAAUAUUUAAAUUUGUAUAUAGUUUCAGACUAUAAACUGUUUUUACAUAAAUUUGUGCAUAACUUCAAAUUAUGAAUUAUUCAUUUUAUAAUUUCCGACUAUGUAAUAUUAUUUUAUAUAACUUUCAGUUAUACCAUAUAAUUAAAAAUAAAUAAUUAAGAAUCAUAUACAUAACUUCUGAUCAUAUAUUUGUAAUUUUGUAAUUUUGUAAUUUUCCUCAUAACUUUUGGUUAUAAGGAUUGCACAUAUUUUUCAUAACUUCUAGUUAUAAAUUUAUCUUAUAGUUUAUAAUUUAUCCCAUAACUUUUAGUUAUAGGGAUUGUACGUAUUUUUGUAUUCAUAUAAAUUAGUGAAAAUAGAGAGUCAAAGGGUAAUAAAGUAUAAAAUAAUGAUAUAAGUUUAUCACAUACUUUUUUGUGAAAAAGAAGAAAGAAUAGUCUUUGUAUUUUUCUGAAGAGAAGAAACUCUUUCUAUUUCUUUUGAAGAAACUAUUCAUGUUGAUAACGUGUUAUAAAAAAAUAAAAAAAUAAAAACAAGAAAGAGAGAAUAGAAUACAUGAAAAAACUCUCUUGAAUUUCAUUAGGAUCUCUCAAUUUUAUAGGGAGUUACAAAAUAUAUUUAUGGAUAAUCAUCCAUAAAUUACCAUACUGGUAUAGAAUCUCAUAUUUUAUAACAAAAUGUUAAUUGUCAAUAUUUUAAGUUUUUAAAGUUAUCAUCAUAAAUUUCUAACUAAAAGUCUAGAUUAUUAUAAAAUAAGUAUAUAAAUUUUUAUAAAAAAUUAAAGAAAAAUCUUAUAUUAUUAUAAUAUAUUACUAUCUAUUAUCUAUUAAUAUAAUAUUAUAGGAUAAUAUAUUAUUAUAUUUUUUAUACAUUUAUUUAUAAAUAUUAUUUAUUAAUGGAUAUCAAAUUUUUAACUAAUUAAUUUAUCAAUCACAUAAAUAACAAAUCUUUAUGGAUGAUUAAUUUAGAAAUGGAGAUCAAAAUAUUUUUUUUUAUUUUACAUAUCUAGAAAUAUCGGAAUAAUUUCGAUUUAUAUGAUUUAAGAAAAAUAUAUCACAUAUAAUAUAAAUAUAAAAAUUAAGUUAAUCACUUAAUUAUAAAAAUAUAAAUUAUUUAAAGAAAUAUAAAUUAUUUAAUAUUUACUAAGUAUUCAUUCAAUAAAAAAUAAUGGUGAUAAUAAAAGUGGGAGUCCAAUUAGAAUAUUUAAGUAGAGAAAUUUUCAAAUAUCCACACAUUUUAGUAUUAGAGAAUUCAUUAUAAUUGAUUUUCUUUCUAUUUAAUAAUAGAUUUUCUUUCUAUUUUUAAAUUCUUCUAAUUCAUGGUAAUUUUCAAUUUUUGUGUUUUAGGCUAAUUUUAGAAUUGUUUCCUAUUUUUGUGUUUUGGGUAAACUGCUUCCUAUUUUUGUGUUUUACGUUUGUGUAUAUAUAUUCAUUCUUAAUCAAUGAAAAAGUCAAGUAAUUGUUUCUCAAUAAUCAUCUAUCUACUUCAAUAUGAUAUCUAUCCCAGGCCUAAUCUUCUUGGACAUAUUUUUUUUCUUUUUUUUUUUCCUUUUCCUCAAUGACUUUUGGUGCAUCAUUCUCUUCCACUAACGAUCCUAUCACCAUCCAAAACUCCCAAGAUUCUCAACAUCCCCUCCUUACAAUCAAUCUCUCCAAUAUCACCAAAUUGUCAUCCACCAAUUAUCUCACAUGAAGCCUUCAAAUUCAAUAUCUUCUUGAAGGUUAUAAUUUUCAUCACUUCAUUGAUGGCGCUCAUACUCCACCACCACCCACCGUCACCGUCACUGGUGUUGCAUCCCCAAAUCUGGCAUACACAACCUGGAAGCAUCAUGAUCGUCUCAUCUUUAACGCUCUCCUUGGUGUUAUCUCUAUUUCGCUACAACUACUUAUUGCCCGCACCACCACUUCCCUUGAUGCAUGACAACCUUAACCAAUACCUAUGUCAAACCAUCUCGUGGUCAUAUUAAACAAUUGAAGGAACAAUUACAGCAGUGUACCAAGAGCUCUCUAACUUAUUGGACUUACGCCUUUGUCACUACUGUAUAUCCCAUCAAUCAUAUGCCCACACCCACACUACAUCUCUCAUCUCCUUUUGACAAACUCUUUGAGUCUCCACCCAAUUACACUAAACUUCGGGUGUUCGGUUGCUUAUAUUAUCUAUGGUUUCGUCCUUAUUCUCAACAUAAACUUGACUCUUAUUCCACUCCUUGUGUUUUUCUUGGUUAUUCUUCAACACAAAGUGCCUAUAUUGUCUAUCUUGGCCGUCAUCCAAUUUUCUCAGCAGAUCAACUUGCCGACGCUCUUACUAAACCGCUUCCAAGAAGUCACUUCCAAGAAUUACAGGAUCAAGAUUGGACUCUCCUCCGGAGCUCUUAAUAUUUUAUAUUUAUAAAAGUUACUAUAAUAAAUUUUAAUUAAAAGAAUUUAUUUGAAAUAUUGUUUAAUAUUGGAAAAAAGUAGCUUUAGUUAUUUUAUAAAAUACAUGAAAAUUAAAAUAUACAAAAUUUUAAUUAAUUAUAAUUAUAUUUAAAUUUUUAUUUUUGUAUUAUAAAUUAAAAAUGAAAAAAAUCAUUUUUUUUUAAUACCUAUUUUUAAACCAAACAUUGCAAUAAUGUUCCAAAUAAAGCAUUAAUUUUCAUUUUCGCAAAAAAAUAUAGGACUAUUUGAUAAAUUUAAAACAAAAAUUGUUUUUGAGAAUAAUUUUUAGAAACUAUUUUUUUUUAUAUUUUAUAGAAUAGGAAAUGUAAAAUAUUUUUAAUAUGUUUUAUGUAUUUUAAAAAUAAUUUUUAUAUCAAAUUUUUAUUUUUUAUCUUUCUGUCUAUAAUUAUUAUUUAAAAUAACCCUUAUAAAAUAAGUAAAAAUAAUUAAAAAAAUAUUUUUAGAAAAUAAUUUUCAGCUAUUAAACGUGUUUUUUUUUAAUUUUUAAUUUUAAAGAAUAAAAAAUUAUUUUUAACAAUAAUUAUCAAAUAGAUUUUUAGUAUUUCGUUAGCUUUUAAAUAUAUAAUUAAAAAAACCUAUAAAAGAAAAGAAAAAGUUUUAAAAAUAAAACAUUAGUGAAGUAUAUACAAAUUUUCAAAGCUCCCGUUGGAAGGAUGGUUCACGGGUUGACUUUUCUAUGCUAUCAUUAAUUGCAUCAAAGCUUUUUCCUUUACUUUUUGUUGUUUUUCCAUGUUGAAUUUUCAUAAGAUUUGUCAAAAGCCGACCAUUAAGUUUCCAAAAUCACAUGUUGUUUUGCUUUUCUUUUCCACAUUAUAAAAUAUAAAUUCAACACUAACUUUUAAAAGACACUAACACAACCGUUUUUAUAGAAGAUUUAAUUAAGCUUCUUUGGGAAAAAGGGAUUAAUUAAGCCUAAUACUAUUUAAUUCAUAUCCACGUGUAAUAUAAUAUUUUAAUUGUUAAAAUUUUUAGUGUUCUUACAAAUAUAAUUAAAAUUUUGGUAACUAAAUACUUUUAAAUUGAAAUCAUUUUAAUGCAUAAAAGUGUUUGGUUGAAAGGAAAAAGUUUAUUUGCUUUUGCAUGUUGAUUUUCUUUGGAUUUUCUUUGGGGUUUUGGAUAAGGAUGAAAAGCAUUGUAGAUGUAGAAUUUCGAAUAAAAAAGUACAAUAAUUAGAUGGAAAGGAGAGAGAUUCAAGCCCUGCAUAUGUUGAAAACUUCACAAAAAAAAACCCCACAUUUCCUUUGACUUGUCACCUUGUCAAUUGAUUUGUCAUAUAGCUUGUACCCACUUGUAGGAGUAUUAAAAUCCAAGACUAUUACAAAUUAAUAUUUUUUUUCUUUUUUAUUUAGAAAAGAUGAAGAAGAAGGAAAAUAAAAAUAAAAUUAUAUUAUUGGUAACAAAGUAUCUAAACCAUUAAAAACAUUGUCUUUGAUAAAAAAGCAUAUGAAAAUAUUAAUUAUUUUUAAAUAAUUAUUUGAAAUUAUUAUUUUAUAAAUUUUAACUCUUAUUUUAUGAUUUUUUUUUUAUUUUGUAUCAUAAACGUAUUUUUCCCAAAUAAAAACUUAUGGAUAAAUCCUGAUAAUCAACCAUACCAAUCUUCUGUCUUUUGUUGAAUUUGAACCAUCGAGGUUGGCAGCAGUUCCAGCUCUGUGCAUGGAAUUAAGCUGCCAUCUGAGUCUUCAAUUAAUACUGGUAAAUGAACUGCAUCUUUGCAUAAGAAUCUACAGAUGUUCAAACAUAAAUAGCUUCCAAUCUCAGUUUUUCGUAUAACAAACAUCAUUUGCAUAAGAAUUCUAGCAAGAAGAGCUAUAAAAUAAAGUGAGAGAAGAAGAAAGCAAGAAAGAGAUAAUAGAAUGCAUGCAAAAACUCUCUUGAAUUUCAUUAGGGGCCUCUCCCUUUUAUAGGGAGUUACAAAAUAUAUUUAUGGAUGAUCUUCUACAAGUUACCAUAGUGGUACAGAAUAUCAUAUUUUAUAACACUCCCCCUUGAAUGAUCAUAAGAAUACGUCCCAUUAAAACCUUACUAAGAAAAACCCUAGUGAAGGAAAAAGAGUAUAAUAUUCUUUUGGAUUGCUACAACUACCUCGUUAAAAACCUUGUCAGUAAAACCCAAUGGGACAAAACCUGGAUGAAGGAAAAAAUAGUGUAGUGUAAUGACAUUCUUAUCAAUUAGUUCCCCCUCAUGUAGACAUGAUUAUAUUUUCUCUAGUUAUGCAACAUAGAGAUCUUUGUAUUAGCCUAUUCCAACGAGUUUCUUGAGUAUUGCAGUUGAUAAUACAUUUGUGAAUAGAUCUACUAAAUUGCCAAUUGAUCUUAUUCGUCGAAUAGUAAUUUCAUCACUCUUCUAGAGUUAAUGAAAGUAAAAAACUUGGGCAAUAUAUGCCUAAUUCUAUCACCCUCAAUGUAUCAUUCUUUAAUCUGUGCAAUGCAUGCAACAUUAUCUUCAAAUAAUAUUGUCGGGUCACCUUUGAUAGAAGAAAGUCCACAUGAUUCUCGAAUAUACUCGAUCAUAGAUCUUAGCUAUAUACAUUCAUGACUUGCUUCAUAAAUUACUAGUAUUUAUGAAGGAUUUGAUGAUGUGGCCACCAUUAUUUGUUUGACAGAUCUCCAUGAAACAGUAGUACCAUUGUAAUUAAACACGUACCCUGUUUGUGACCUACCUUUAUGUGAAUCUAAAAGAUAUCCUGUAUUUGCAUAUCUAAGCAAUUGUUGUUUUGAUUCCCUUAAGUAAAAUAAACUCAUAUUAGUAGUUCCGCGAAUAUAACACAAUAUAUGUUUGAUACCAUUCCAAUGUCUUCGAGUUUGAAUGGAACCGUAUUUAGCUAAUAAAUUAACAGAAAAAGAAAUGUCUGAAUGUGUACAAUUGGCAAGAUACACAAGUGCACCAAUAGGACUAAGAUAUGGUACUUUAAGACCAAGUAAUUCUUCAUCUUUUUUGUAAGGACAAAAUAGGUCAUUUUUCACAUCAAGUGAUCUAACAACCAUUAGAAAACUUAAACGAUGCGCUUUAUCCAUAUAAAAAUGCUUCAAAACUUUCUUAAUGUAUAUUGAUUGAUGUACUAAAACUCCAUUAGGAAAAUACUCAAUCUACAAACCGAGAUAAAAUUUUGUUUUUUCAAGAUAUUUCAUUUCAAAUUCCCUUUUUCAAGUAAUUUGUUGUUCUUGUGAGCUCUUCAAGAGUUCCAACCAGAUUUAAGUCAUCAACAUAUUGCAAUAAUUGCAAAUCCGGUUUCUGAUUUCUUAAUGAAGAUGCAUGAGCAUAUAGGGUUAUUCAUAUACCAUUUUUUUUAGCAAGUAUUCAUUAAGGCGAUUGUACCACAUGUGUCUAGAUUGUUUUAUUCCAUACAAUGAUUAUUUUAACUUGAUUGAGUACAUGUUACGAGGCUUUGUACAAUUUGCUUCAUGCAAUUUAAUUCCUUCAAGGAUUUUCAUGUAUAUAUCAUUAUCCAUGGAUCCGUAUAAAUAUGUUAUAAUAACAUCCAUGAGACGCAUAUCUAGUCCUUCUAGGACUACCAAACUAAUUAAGAAACAAAAUGUGAUUGUAUCCAUGAUGGGAGAGAAUGUUUCCUCGUAGUCAAUAUCAGGUCUUUGCAAGAAAUCUUGUGCUACUAAUCGCACUUUAUAUCUUAUGAUCUCAUUAUUCUCAUUACGUUUUCGUAGAAAUACCCAUUUGUACCCAACAAGCUUUACAUCUUUAGGUGUUUGGACUACAGGUCCAAAAACUUCUCAUUUUGUUAAUAAGUUUAACUUUGCUUACAUAGCUUCUUUCCAUUUUGACCAAUCAUUUCUAUGUCAGCAUUCUUCCACAUUUCGUGGUUCGAGAUCUUCAUCAUUUCUUAUGAUAUUGGAGGUCACUUGGAAAGCGAAAAUAUUGUUAAUAACAAUAUUAUUUCGAUUCCAUUUUUUUUCUGUGUACAUAACUUACUCAGAUCUCACAAUUUUUAUGUACAUGUGCCUCUUCGAGGGCUUCUUAUUCAAUAUGUGCCUCUUCAAGGGCUUUCUGCAUUAUUUGUGCCUCUUUUGGGGUUAUAGAUUUAUCAAUUUUAAACUGAUCAGUCAUUUUGAUGGUCUCUUUUAGAGUGUCAAGUUUUUCUUAGGUUCUCAUCUUUCGAGGAGUUACAUCAUUUGAGCCGACAAGUCUAUCACGCUUCAGGCGUAUUUUAGAUUCAUUUGUUAACUAUCCUACAGGGACACCAAUCUGUGUUGGAGUAUUUGCAACCAAGAUAUAUGACUUUGUCACUUUCUUUGUAUCAAUGAAUGCAUCUUGUAAUUGAUUUGCAAGAUUUUACAAAUAAAUAAUCUUUUAAACUUCCAGUUCAUAUUGACUGGUACGAGGAUCAAGAUAAGUCAAAGUCAAUGCAUUCCAAGUAAUUUCACUCCGUUCUUCUGGAACUGGCUCUUCUCCCCCUAACGACGAGAAAAUUGUCUCAUUAAAAUGAUAAUAUGCACAACAUGUCAUUCUACCUUUUAAGUGUAUAGGUAGACUAGUCACUAAAUAAAAACUUCUAAUUUUAUAAUAUACAUCCAUACGACCUUUUACCUCAAGGGACCAAGUUGGUUUUACAAGAUUAUUCUAGAUCUAGCAUCGCAUAAAGUGUCAUUCACAUGGAAUCAAAUACUAUUAGUGACAUAGUAUAAGUUUUGGAGCCUUUAAUCAGAUUUCUAUCACCUGAUAUAUUAUUAUUUGUCAUCAAUGUUGUGCAAUUAAUGAGACAAGUGUUUCAUCAAAGUAACAAGUCAUAAAACAUUAUCAUAAAUACCUCGUCUUUAUAGAGUUAAAGAAAUAUUAUCAUAGAGAAAGAGUUAAAAUCAAUGGAAAAAUAUUAGUCAUUGAUGAUGAUUUAAUAAGUUGUAUAAAAAACAUGAGAGCAUAUAUAACACAAUAAAAUAUUCAAAUUUGUACAUAGCUUCAAGCUAUGAACCAUUUAUGUAUAACUUCUAGUUACAUAGUAUAAUUAAAAAAAAAUUAAAUAAAUUAAAAGUUAAUAUCUUUCAUAGUUUUAGGCCAUAAUUAUUUUGUCAGCACAAAAAAAUAUUUAAAUUUGUACAUAACUUCAGGUUAUGAACUAUUUUUGCAUAAAUUUGUACAUAACUUCAAAUUAUGAACUAUUCAUUUUAUAACUUCCGACUAUAUAAUAUUAUUUGAUAUAACUUCUAGUUAUACCGUAUAAUUAAAAAUAAAUAAUUAAGGAUCAUAGUCAUAUAUUUGUAAUUUUGUAAUUUCCCCCAUAACUUUUGGUUAUAAGGAUUGCACAUAUUUUUCAUAACUUCUGGUUAUGAAUUUACCCUAUAAUUUAUAAUUUAUCUCAUAACUUCUAGUUAUAGGGAUUGUACGUAUUUUUGUAUUCAAAUAAAAUAAGUGAAAAUAGAUAGUCAAAGGGUAAUAAAAUAAAAAAUAAUAAUGUAAGUUUAUCACAUACUUUUUUUUUGUGAAAAAGAAGAGAGAAGAGUCUUUGUAUUUAUGAGAAAAAUCUUUUCUUUUGUAGAAAUUAUUCGUGCUAAUAACGUGUUAUAAAAAGAAAAUAAGAAAACAAGAAAAAGUUAAUAGAAUGCAUGAAAAAAUCCUCUUGAAUUUCAUUAGGGAUCUCUUCAUUUUAUAAGGAGUUACAAAAUGUAUUUAUGGAUAAUCAUCCAUAAGUUACCAUACUGGUACAGAAUCUCAUAUUUUAUAACAAAAUGUUAAUUGUCAAUAUUUUAAGUUUUUAAAGUUACCAUCAUAAAUUUUUAACUAAAAGUCUAGAUUAUUAUAAAAUAAGUAUAUAAUUUUUUAUAAAAAAUUAAAGAAAAAUCUUAUAUUAUUAUAAUAUAUUACUAUCUAUUAUCUAUUAAUAUAAUAUUAUAGGAUAAUAUAUUAUUAUAUUAUUAUAUAUUCAUUUAUAAAUAUUAUUUAUUAAUGGAUAUCAAAUUUUUAACUAAAUUAUUUAUCAAUCACAUAAAUAACAAAUCUUUAUGGAUGAUUAAUUUAGAAAUGGAGAUCAUAAUAUUUUUUUAUUUUACAUAUCUAGAAAUAUCAGAAUAAUUUGGAUUUAUAUGAUUUAAGAAAAAUAUAUCACAUAUAAUAUAAAUAUAAAAAUUAAGUUAAUCACUUAAUUAUAAAAAUAUAAAUUAUUUAAAGAAAUAUAAAAGAUAAUUUUAUAUUAUUAUAAUAUAUUAUGUAUCAAUAUAAUUGUGAAGCCGUAUUGUUAAGAUCAAUCACCUUUUAUUUGAAAAUUUGAUUUUUUUUUUUUUUAAUUUGUUUUCCCCUUUCCUUCUGCAAAAAUUCUUCAGCCCCUCCUUUCUCUGUAGAACUUUUUCUUUUUUUCGUUUGCCUCUUAGUCACCCACCCUCUCGAAAUAUAUCUGCAGCAACGUAUCCUACCCUCCCAGCCUUACCCUCUCCUUACUGUAAUAACCAUCUGUCAGGGCUCAGGAGAGAAUAUGUUGUCUCCAAUCCAAGUGGUCUCAAAAAAGAUGUGAAAAAGGCCCAAAAUGAGGUCAAUAAAAAUAUAGUUGAUUUAUCUAUUUAUAAGUAUUAUUUAUUAAUUAAUAUCAUAUUUUAAUUUUUUUUAUUUUAUAUAUUAUUUUAAUUAAUUUUAAAUUAUUUAAAGUAAAUAACUUACAAUUAAAUUAUUAUUUUUUAAUAAUAUAUAUAUAUAUAUAUAUAACUCUUAAAAUUAAUUUAAAUUACUUCAUUAAUAAAAAAAAAAUCAUUCAUAUUCUUUAAAAAUGUUAUCUCUUUCCAUUCAAAGAGUUUCAGCUAUAAGACUUAUAAAUUUUAUUUUUUAAAUAAUUAUUAAUAAUAAAUAAAUUUAAAAUUUAAAAUUCUUGUUAAAAAAGUAAUUUUAUUGAAAAUGAUUAAAAGAUAUGGUAGCAAUCAUUAUUAAUUAUUAAAAUUUAAUAACUCAAAUUAAUUUUUAAAUAUUAAAUUAUUAAUAUUUAAAAAUUUUAUCAAUAGAAUUACCAUAAUAAAUUUGAAUUUCGUAAUAGUAAUAAAUGAAAGACUAAAAAUAAAAAUAAGUAUAAAUAAGAAAUUCAGCUUUUUCAAACAUAAUGAAAAAAAAAGUUAUAUACUCUUAAAAAUAUCUUUUCAAACAUUAAAUUAUAUUUUUCAGAUUUCGUAGAAUUAUUAUAAUAAUUUUAAGUUAAAAAAAGUUAUUCAAAUUAAAUUUUAGGUUAUUAUGAAAAAUAAAAAUAAAUUAUAAAAAAUAAAAAAUAAUUUAUAUGUGAGUUUUAAUUUUUAUCUAACAUAAAAAACUAAAUAUUUUUAAAAAAAUAUUAAAUUAUUGAUAUUUUAUGAGGGGUUAUGGUAAAUAAGAAAAAUAUAAAAGAUACGGUUAUAAAAUUUAUAUAAAAAAAUAAAAACAGUCAACAUCAUUCACCCACAGAGCAUUAGUUUCAUAAAGUAACUAAAGCUACUUUAAAAUCUCAUUUUUGUUACGUGUCUGAGUUUCCAUGCCAUAAAUUUCAUGGGAAUUCAUCCUUAAAUUCAUUUGAAUUUAUAAAAUAAUAAUUUAAUGAAAAAGGAAAAGUAAUGCGCAGCCAUGAACGGACCUUCGUGUGGUUGAACAUUCAAAGCUUCUCCUCUUUAAAAACCUCCUUUAAACCCCUCUCUCCCACUCAUUCAAUUCGGUGUAAAGCGAACCAGCCAUUGCUACAGAGCGAAUCCAUGGAUUCUUCGUCUCUUCUCCUCUUGUUGUUGCUGGGUUUCUUUUGUUCUUCUGAGUUCACAUCCCAUGCUCAACUUAUUCCAAAAGAUGAAGGUAUCACCACUGUAAUCUCACUUGUUCUUUCCAUUUCUGGGGAAAAUGAAACUUGGGUUUUGUUGUUAAAGAAAUUUGGGGAGAAAGAGAAGUAAAUUUGGUUUCGGAACGUGGGUUUUUUCGAGGUAUCUGUGCUUUGUUUAAUACUUCACUGCUAUAAUUUUUUGGAAUCUUGUGGAUUUCUCAUGGUUUGCGAGAAUUUUGACAUCUCUGUUUGUCUCACAGUUGUUUAAAUUUUAUCAUGCUCUGGGAAUUCUUAUGGAAACAGAAAAGCAGGCAUAUCAAAUUAUGUUUUAUUUUCUUUUUCAAAUUUUCCUCUGCUUUCUCUGCUACCAAACGUUGGCUUAUAUCAUUCUGCUGGAAAAUUGUUCGUGCCUCUGAGCCAUAGCGAAUUUUUUAUCUGAAACGAUAGGCUAUAUUUGGUUACGGGUAAUAAGAAAUUUUAAAAUAUAUAAAAUUUUAAUUAAUUUAAUUAUAUAUAUAUUUUUUUCAUAUUUAUACACUUGAAAACAAAUGUGAGAAAAGAUUUGAUAUUAAUUACUUUGAAUAGCUUUUGGAUAGAGCCCAGAGUUAUCAAUCCAUCAUUGGACAAAGAAAAAUAUCUAUAUUUGUAUUUAUUACCAUGGUGGCAAAUUCCAUUUGAUUAAGGAAAAUACAUAUGUUUAUUUUAGUAUUUGGACUUUAUUUACAUUGGAUUAUUACCUAUAUUGUCAGGAAAUGGUAGAAAAAGAAGGAAAAGGAACAGUACCAUGUCCACUUGAAUUGUCAGACCAUAUUGAAGUCAUCUCUGAGUCAGUCCCAGGUCCACUUGCUGGACUUUGGGCCUACCUGAAUUAAUCUUUAGGCCCACCAAUUUGUCUUGAUUCCAUGGUUGUGUGGAAUAAGGAUAUCGGGUUGCGUGUGGAAAAUUGGAUGAGUUACGGAUUGUUGUUGAUUGGUUGUGUGAUAUCAACUGGUCUUCAAAAUCAAAGGCAGAAGAAGAACAUUGAUGUGGCUAGGUCUUGACCAUAUGAAAUGCAUAUUUUGGACUAAAAUACAUGUACCAAAAUAGGCCGUAUUUUUUCAAUUUUUUUAAAAAAUAUUUUUUUGUUCUUCGGGAAAAAAUGAAUAAGAAAAUGUGUUUUACAACUAGGAAAAAAAAAGGAAAAUAAAUUUAUGUUUUUAAAAAUUAAAAAUAACGUAUUUUUAGAAAAUAUCUUUUCGUAUUUUCAUUUGUUUUCUAAUGAUCAUUUUAAAAACUAAUUAUACAAAUAUAGAAAAUAAUUAAAAAUAAAGUGUUACAAAUAAAAAUUAGUUUUAAAAUAUAUUUAAAAAUAAAAAAAAUAUGUUAAAAACGUUUAAGUUCGUAAAGAGAUUUUUGUAUUACAAAAUAUCAUAAAUUUUUUUUGAAAAACUAUUUCUCAAAACUAUUUUUGAAAACACUUCCCAACCAAAGCUUAGUUUUCGAAAAUUAUCCUACGAUGAUUUGUUAAAACAAAAUUUUGCUUUUGAACUUAAAACAUUUUUAACCUAUUUUCUAUGUUUUUAAAAAUAAUUUUGAAAAAUAGUUUUUCUCUCAUAUUUUGUAAAACAAAAUUUUGUUUGAAAAUUUAAAAUAUUUUAAACCUAAUUUCCAUUUUUAAAAUAACUUUUAUAGUGCUUUGUUUUAACCACUCUCCAUAUUUAUAUAAUUUUUUUAAAAAAACAUCUCUCAGAAAACAAUUAAAAACAUCUUAAAGAUGUUUUUAGAAAAUACCAUAUUUUUCUAUUUUUUGAUUGUUAAACAUGUUUUCUUAUUCUUUUAUUCUUGAAGACAAAGGCAAGUUGGUCAUUCAUGUAGCUUAUUUUUUUAUUGUUAAACAUGUUUUCUUAUUCUUUUAUUCUUGAAGACAAAGGCAAGUUGGUUAUUCAUGUAGCUUACAUGGUGUGAUCACUUCAAAGGAGAGGUCAUAUGCAAUUAAAAUUUAAUGAAGUAUAAAUUAUUGGCUUGUUUUAGUAGAGGUUUGGCUGAGUAUCAUCAAUAGUGCUUUAAAAUUUGGUAAUAUUAGAAGUCACUUUAAGAUUGGAAUUGGUUGUAGAGGAUUACACUUCAUAGAGUUGUUAUCAUUAGUCAUUCUUUUUCUGUAUAUUUAUAAAUCCUUAUAACCGAUCAUUUUGUAUCUACUCUGUAACAGUGCAAACUCUUAGAACAAUAUUCAAAAAGCUAAACUACAAAUAUUGGAACAUAAGCCAAGCUUCAUGCAAUCGAGAUUUCAACCGAACCAUCGAUGAUAAUAGCUACAGCAAUGUCACAUGCAACUGUACCUUCAAUGAAGGAACUGUUUGCCAUGUCACAAACAUGUAUGAUUUUCUUUUCUUGUUCUUCCCUGACAUGAUACAUAUAUCAAAAAUUCAAUCCAUUAGAUUAAUGGAAAAGUAAUUGCAUGAGUAUAUGGAAUGGAAUAUUAUUUGUUUAAUGUUAAUAGGAAAGAAUUAAAGACAUCUUUGGAUUACAGAGGCAUUAUUUUUCCUUUCUAUCUCUUUGUAGGGCCCUUUGAUUUUUGUGCUUUGGUAAAUUCCCAAUGCAUUCAUGGACUAAAACCUUGUUUUCAUGCAAAAUGAAUUGCCCAAAGUCUAGUGAAUGAAAGCCUUGUCUUUGUUUUAUAUUGAUUCAGUUUCGAUCUCUUGAACUUGAUUUGCAAAUGCCUUGUUUCCAUAUCAAUUAACAUAUGUUAGUGAGCAAUUAAUUCUGUCAUUAAGUCCACUUUCUAGUGGCUGAAUGAAAUGGCCCAAUGCAACUAGAGCUUUCUUGUGGAUUUUCACUUGCUCAUAAUGUCAGAGUGCUAAAGGGUAAAUGUUGGUUCCCACACUAUUUGAUCAAAGCUUCAAAUGAUUGUUUACAUUGAUUAUUAGGUUUCCUGUCAUAACUUUGACCUUUUCCACUUUUCAAGAUAAAAUUGAAUGUCUAUUUUUUAUUAUACAUAUUAUAAUAUAUGGUUAAAAGAACACUUUGAUGAUCGAUCUAUAAAAGAAUUGAUAUGGUUUGAUUCCUCAAUUGAAUCAGUAGUAUCUCUAGAGUCCGCUUCUUCUCAAUGUUAUGCGUACAAAGAGAAAAAGUAAAAACUAUCAUUAAAGCAGUCCAAGCAAGACUUAGAGUGCGCUUGACAGUGUUUUAUAUUUGAAGUAUUUUUAGUUUAAGUGUUUUUAAGAGAAUUACCCAUCAAAUACUUCUCCAAAAAGUACUAUUAGUGAUUUUUCAAUUUUUUAAAAGUAUUUGUUGAAUUUUGUCAAACGCCUUAUCUUUCUUUACAAACGCCUUAUCCUUCUUUACAAACGCCUUUUAUGCUAGAAGUGCUUUCUCAAAUAGUGGAAUCAAUAGCAUAAGUCAAAAAAGGAUUAUCACCCAACACCAUUGAUAAACCAAUCCUAUAAAACCACUUAUGAUAAAACAAGUCCUUAUAGGAUUUCUAGUAAAGUCGGAAAACAUUAAGCAGAAGCACAAUAUGCUUAGGAGUGAGCACUUUAGCCUGUCUACCAAGCCUAGUUAUUUUGUUAUAUAUCAGUUGUACUUUUCCUUUUCUUAUUUUUUGCUUCCUUUUGUGAAUUACAGCCAGCUGAAGGGUCUUGAUUUGGAUGGAACUUUACCUGAUGAGUUUGGAGAUCUUCCUUAUCUGCAAGAACUGUAAGUGACAUGUUUCUCGACAUUGGGAAGUCAAUUGACCAAAUUUGCCUUGAUGUUUCAUUGGGUUUUUUCAACCUAUCAGACAAAUUUCUUAACUCAAUAAUACCUUAAUCCCUACUACAUGGGGUUGCAGUUUCACUAAACUACAGAGGUUAGUUCACUUCUGAUGUGUUUGAAUAUACCAUGGAAUUAAGUUAGACCAUUGUGUUUCAAAUAACAUUCAAAACAAGUCCAUUGCGUUUACCGUAGUAUUUACAUGAUUUUAUUGCCUUUUUUAAAUAAUAAUAAUAAUAAUAAUAAUAAUAAUAAGUGCAGGCAAAGAUUAAAACAAAUAAUCUCAUUUCAGUUUUGUUGUGGUGAUUACCAACUUUUGUGUUUUCUAGUAAUAGUAAUAGACUGGAUAAACUGUCAUGGGACAGCUAAAUAUUGCCUGAAAAUUAUUUGAUCAUCAUCAUCGGAUUCAGUUUUUGAUAUUGUACAGUCAUCUCCAGUAUCUGACUUGAACCCAAAUGAGGGAUUCUUCUUUUAUCCGGUGACCAUGUAAAAUUAAGAUAUACUAAGGGAUUCUUUUUUUUUACUAAAGCAGUGAUCUCUCCCGAAACUAUAUCAAUGGAUCGAUCCCUACAAGUCUCAGUCGGCUUUCUCUUACCAUUCUGUAAGUUCUGAUUAAUUGCAUUUGCACUUGUGAGGUGAGGAUCCUGUUUUCCAGUAAUUUACUAAGUAGUUCAUAGUUGGGAAAGUUUAACUUUUGGUACACUGCAGCGCUCUUGUUGGAAACAGAAUCUCUGGGUCGAUUCCUGAAGUAAUCAGUAAUAUCAGUACACUUGAGGAGCUGUAAGUCAUGAAAUGGAGUUGAAUGUCUAUUAGAGAAAUUAAUGAUGCCCAACCUUGAUUACAAAUCCAAAUUUACUUUUCCAGGGUCUUGGAAGCUAAUCAGCUUGGAGAACAUCUCCCUCCAAGUCUUGGAAAGUUGAGUCAUUUAAGGAGACUGUAAGAAUGCUGUUCUCAUCCCUUUCCUUAUAUGCAUAUUAAUUAUUCAUUUCUUUUAUUUCAAAUAAUCACUAAGUCCUUGUAUUCUGGUUGUAAUCUGCUUAGCUGCCAAAAUGCCCAAAAUCAAUUUGAGGAAGCUAAUUUUUUGAGUCAAAGACUUUUAUAAUGCAUUUUGUGUGAUGAAAUGACUCAUGGAUAUGGUGAUUGUAUACUGGUUGAGUUCAUUUUCAGUUGCACAAUUGCUUGUUUUUGAGUUCAUUUACUUCGAGUUAAUGAAAAUAAUGGGAAGAUGGAUUUUCAUAUAUUUGAAAGUGCAAUCUACCUUUUUUGUUCCUUUAUCUCCAGAGUGAAUCAUGAGAAAUAUUUAUAACCAAGAAGACAAAUAUAGGCGAACAUGGCUAUGAACUAGGCGGUUUUUAUGGACUGACAGAUGGAAAUUCAUAUAGGCUAUUUCUAUUUUUCUAACAUUAAGAAACCGAGUUUAGUAUUCAUUAAUUCAUCCUAUGAUGAAAUGGAGAUGUCGAGCAUGAUUUGUAAUGCUUCAUAGAGAAUAGAAGUAAAGAUGAUGAGGACUAAUCUGCUGGGUAUUUACACCUUGUGCUUUUAAUGCCAAAGUUCAUCAUUUGGGAAGUUACUUUGUUUGGAGGGUGAUAUUUUUUCUUAAUGUUUUCAACAAAAGACUUUGCAUUGACCCUCUAUUCUGGUUGUGUUGUCUAAUUACUAUUUUCAGGGAAUUCAUCUGUUUUUUUUCUUUUGGUUCUCCUACAGUGUUCUUUCUGCAAACAAUUUCAUUGGAACAAUACCAGAAAAUUUUCACAAUCUGAAGAACCUAACUGAUUUGUAAGUGAUAUAAUUAUUUGGACAUUUAUACUUUUAUGCAAAUUUAGAGUUUUCUGUACUCCAUGUACCAUUUGCAGUAGGAUAGAUGGGAAUAAUUUAUCUGGGAAGAUACCAGAUUGGAUUGGGAAUUGGACCAACCUUGAGAAACUGUGAGUAUUAUACUUCAUUUCAUUUACCUGCCAAUUUGUCCACUGAGAAAAUUUUCAUACAAGCUCAGUUAAAUUCUCUAGUUAUCUAUAAAGAUAUUAAACUGUUGCAGGUAUCUGCAAGGCACAUCAAUGGACGGGCCCAUUCCUUCUACUAUAUCCCAGUUGAAAAACUUAAUCGAAUUGUGAGCAUGUGUUCCACUAUCUGAUAGUUGCUUUAUUCAGUUCAUGAUGUUAUUCACGGUUAAAAUUGAAUUCAUAGAAAUAUAAGCAUGUAAUUUGUUUUGCUGUAUCUUAAUCGUCAGGUUAAUAUCUGAUUUGAGUGGACCGACUACAUCUUUCCCCAAUUUGAAGGAUAUGAAAAACUUAAAAAUAUUGUGAGUUGAAGAUAGAUAUACUUCAUGAAUCAUUGACAAGCUGCAGUCCCAAGUUAUCCACUUUAUGUUCCAUUAACUUAUCAAGAUGUUUUACUCAUUUGUGUUAUGCAGGGUGAUGAGAAAUUGCUCCAUUACAGGUGAAAUCCCAAAAGACAUUGGAUAUAUUGAGAGUUUAAAACUUUUGUAAGUUUUUUUUAAUGGGUGUUCUUAGAGAUGUUCUUAAUUUUCUUCAUUGGUAUAUAUGUAUGUAAGAAGAAAAAUAUAAUCAGGAUAUAAUUGUUCUAUGGCAUACGAUCAGUAAAUUACAUGGUUGUAUGGAAACAACUUCUUUUCUGAUUCAUGUUGAACUUUUUUCUUGCAGAGACCUGAGCUUCAACAGACUGAAUGGUAAAAUUCCAGAGAGCUUUAAGGAAGAAAAAGAGGACAGAGCAAAACUUAAUUUCAUGUAAGUUAAAUACUUGUAAUAAAGUGGAAUUCUAAAUAUUCAGAAAUAUACAUUUUAUUUGCUCCUUAACCAAUCAUUUUUAUCCAUUCAUAGCUUGUUUAAUUGUAACUGAGAUAUGGUGCUAUCUAUGUACACAGGUUUCUCACCAACAACUCACUGACUGGAGAAGUGCCCAACUGGAUAAGUUCGGACACUAAAAACAAUAUGUCAGUAUUUGUCAGUCUCCUGUUGUUCUGAUUUGGCUACGAUAUCAUUCAUUUAUUGUAGAAUGUUACAUACAGAUGCGGUCUUUUUUUAUUAGUGGUUCUUGUGAAACCAAAUUAAUAUUUCAAUCUCUCAUUCAAUCAAGAAAUAUAUCACUAACUCCACUUCAAUCUCUGUUGCAGUGAUUUAUCUUACAACAAUUUUACAGGGCCACUUCUUUGGUCUUACAAAAACCAAGUGUAAGCUUUCUUCCAUCUAUUAUUUGUACAUUUUGUUCUGUUUUUCCCUCAUCUUCUUGAAACAUUUUUUCAUAACUCCACAGGAACUUGGUUUCAAGUUAUGCAUCUUCAGCAAGAGAGAUGUACGUUCUUCCAACCUUGUUUUACAUGUGCAUUCAGCAUUAGAAUAAUAAACAAGAGACUGAAUCAAAGUUCAACUUUGUAGGACCCCUUGGUUAAAGAAGGAUCUCCCUUGCCCUCGAAAAGCCAAAUGUAAGCUUUUGUAACCUAUUGUACUCUGCUAGUAUGAAGUGGCAAAUAAGUUGAAUCUCUGCCUUGAUUCCAAUUACAUUUACUUGCAGACUAUUCCUUGUAUAUCAAUUGUGGAGGAGUGCAAACAACUUUUAAAAGGAAGGCAUAUGAAAAAGACGACAAUGUUGAGGGUCCAUCACAGUUCUUUACUGAUAGUAUAGACAAAUGGGCUUAUAGCAGUACAGGGGUUUUCAUAGGUGAUGAGGAUGGUAGUCACCUAGCCAAAAACACAUCUGCUUUGAACUCAGAGGAUGCUGAGAUCUACCAAACUGCUCGUCUUGCUCCCAUCUCACUCAAGUAUUAUGGGCUUUGCUUGCGAAAGGGCAUUUAUAGACUGCGACUCUACUUCGCUGAAAUCAUGUUUUC
rnacentral:lncRNA from 1 species